UCUCGACUCUUGGUCACUCACCAAUCUCGAUAAUCUUUGUAACUGGACUGGCAUUACUUGUAACUCUGCAGGUUCAGUCUCUGAGAUUAACCUUAGUGAGAAACAACUUGAUGGAAUGCUGUCCGAGUUUGGUUUCACUUCAUUUCCAAAUCUCAACAAUCUCACCCUCGCAUACAACUUCUUCUCGGGUCCAAUACCGCCAGCCAUUGAGAAUUUAACACAGCUUCAAUACCUUGAUUUAAGCUUUAAUUAUCUCGAUGGUCCCAUUCCGUUCCAGGUUAGCCAUCUUCAGAGGUUGCUCAUCUUAAACCUGUCACAGAAUGCAUUGCAAGCUCCAAAUUGGUCCCAUUUCUCUCCCAUGCCUUUCUUGCGCAUCCUCGACCUUAAUAGCAAUCAUCUUGCGUCGAACUUCCCAGAAUUUAUAUCCAAUUCUCAUAGCUUGGCUAUCCUUGACCUUGGAUAUAACAACUUUACAGGUGACCUUGUGCGUGAAUUUACUAAUCUACAAAAUCUUGAAACCCUCUACCUAGAUGAAAAUUCUUUUGAGGGGCCAUUUCCGCCGGAUGUAUUCAGGCUUUCCAAAUUAAAACAUCUUCGCCUGUCAGGUAACAAAUUCUCAGGUUCAAUUCCCAAUGACAUAAGGUUGCUUUGUGAUCUUGAAUCCCUAUAUUUAAGCAACAAUUCCUUUAAAGGACCCCUUCCAUCAAAUAUAUUCAAGCUUUCAAAAAUAAAACAUCUUGUUCUUUGGAGUAAUAAGUUUUCUGGUUCUGUUUCCAAUGAUAUAGGUUUACUUUCUGAGCUUGAAACCCUCGAUCUUAACUCUAAUUUUUUUGAGGGGCCGCUUCCGUCAAAUAUAUUCAAGCUCUCCAAACUAAGGUAUCUUUCCCUUUGGGGUAAUAACGUUUCAGGUUCUAUUUCCAAUGAUAUAGGUUUGCUUUCUGAGCUUGAAACCCUCGAUCUUAACUCUAAUAUUUUUGUGGGGCCGCUUCCGCCAAAUUUAUUCAAGCUCUCCAAACUAAAGAUUCUUUCCCUUUAUAAAAAUAACUUUUCAGGUUUUAUUUCUAAGGAUAUAGGUUUGCUUUUUGAACUUGAAACCCUCUAUCUUGGCUCUAAUUUUUUUGAGGGGCCGCUUCCCCCACAUGUAUUUAGGCUCUCCAAAUUAAGAGAUUUGGGUCUCAGAGACAAUAGAAAUUUAUUUCAAGGAAGUAUUCCUAUUGGACUGGGACUCUUGACUAAUCUCAGGUACUUGAGUCUAUUUUCCAAUGAUCUCAGUGGCUAUAUUCCAUCUGAGAUUGGAAACCUGAAGCUACUAAAAGUUCUUGAACUCGGUUCUAAUCAAUUGACAGGACCGCUUUUAAAGAUAGUUUCUAAUCUCAAAAAUCUUAUAUAUCUUGGUGUAAGUGGUAAUAGUCUUAGUGGAAAUAUUCAGAGUGACUUGUGGAAAUAUAACGAUCAUCCAACUUUGGAAUACAUCAAUUUAAGUGGGAACCAUUUUACGGGUAUAGUUUCUCUCUAUAGAUCUUUGUCAUAUGUAACUAAGCUAGUAAUCUGAUUAUUGCCUUUUCACCAAAGUUUCAACAAUCUUGACAGGUGAGCUUCCAACAACAAUUUGCAAUGUCACAUCCCUUUUGCUUCUUGAUUUGUCAAAUAAUGAAUUAAGUGGUGCACUUCCAAACUGUUUCGGAAAUCUUGCUGAUAGAUUGCUUUACGUUAAUCUUGCUAAUAAUCAGUUUCGAGGAACAAUACCAACUACUUUCUCCAGGAGUUGUCAGCUGAAAUAUCUAAACAUGGAUAAUAAUGAGUUUGAAGGAUUGUUGCCCCCGUCUUUGGAAAACUGUAAGCACUUGAGAAUUCUUGAUAUUGGCAAUAAUAAAAUAGGUGGUACAUUUCCGUCAUGGCUUUAUGUACUUGGAGAGCUAGAAGUCCUUGUCUUGCAAUCAAAUAAACUCUAUGGUACAAUAAGUGGAAGGAGCAUAGAAGAUCCCUUCCGCAAGUUGCGGAUUGUGGAUCUGUCCAACAACCACUUCACAGGCCAUUUGCCAAUUCAAUACUUUAAGAAUAUGAAAUCAACUGAUAAUUUGUAUAGUUAUCAGCUUUCCACAGCAGUUUUUUCUUUCCAUUAUGAAGCAGCAGUCUCAUUAAUUGUGAAGGGAACAGAGUAUGAAGUAGCAAAUAACCUUCAUAUUUACACAGCCAUUGAUCUGUCGUGCAACAAAUUUCAGGGAGAAAUUCCAAAGGUUACUGGAGAGCUUAAAUGGCUGGCAUUGCUCAACUUAUCUCAUAAUAGUCUAACAGGACCUAUCCCGUCAUUGCUGAGAAAUAUGAAAGAACUCCAAUCUUUAGAUUUGUCCUCAAAUCAACUGACGGGGGCUAUUCCACCUCAGUUAACUGCGCUGACAUUUCUAGAGGUCUUAAACCUCUCGGGAAACCAUCUUAGUGGAGAGAUUCCUCAGAAAGGACAAUUCAGCACAUUCAACAAUGAUUCGUAUCUAGGAAACUCCGCUUUAUGUGGAUCACCAUUGACGAAGAAAUGUGCAAACACAGCAUCACCUCCACAAGAAGUCGGAAAUGUUGAUGAAGAUUAUGCGGGUGAUGAAUUGACAUGGGAAGCAAUCAUGAUCGGAUAUGGAUGUCGACUGAUAUGUGGAUUGUCAUCUGCAUACAUUGUUCUCAAACUAGGAAAGCCUUGGUAGUUUGUGAGAUAUGUCGAAGUACUGCAACAGAAGUUGAUGAAAAGAUGCUUGAAGAAAGGUACUGGUCGACCAAUAAGAACUUGAAAGUUGUUGUCCUGGUAGACAUUUCUGAACCAGUAGUAUUUGGUAUUAUGUGAUAUUCUGUUUGGUCCGGACUCAUAACGAUUUCGCUUGCUUCAGGAGUAUUAAUAUUAACCUUCCUAUCUUGAUCAAUGUUAAUGCAAAUUAAAAUGAAAAGGCAAAAAAUAUGCAUCAAAUCCCCUCCUGUUGUACCAAGAUUCAUUAAUUAAGAGGCAUGGCUUUUGUCUCUCCAAGUCUUCGAGAAAUUAUUCCAAGUCUUCUUUGGAGGCCUACUGCCUCAACAACCUUUCAAAGAUGUAGCAGUUGCUCGACAGUGAUAUAUAUAUUAGAUAAAGACUAUGCAACAACCAACGUGACAGAAAAAUCAAAAUAGGACAAAAUCCGUACGAAUCAAAAUAGUUUAUUUCUAAGGGGAAUAGCUGAAUUAAAUUGUAAGAGAAGUAAAACAGAUUCUUUUAUAUUUUGGAAUAUAACUGAAAAAGAUUUUGAGAUAAUUUUCAGAAAUCAAACCAGUCAAAUAAAUAUUCGCUGAAGGAACAGAGUAAAGAUACAACGAAUAUAACAAGUUGUAAGAUGAAUAUCGCUGAAUCAAACAGGGUAGAACCCGUACAAAAACGCCAAACAGAAAGGAUCAAAACAGAGUAAUCAAAUUUACCUAACACUAAUAGAAGUAGUGCUGAAUAAAAGAGAACGAAAUCUGUACCUUAAAAAUAGCAAACGCAAACACUAACCAACCUCACAAGGGACCAUCUAAACUCCCUAACCCCGACUUUAUCUUAAACUCCAAAUAUCUCCCUGACUCCAAUAUGCCCAGAACAAUAAACGAAUGUUUUGACCUUCUAAACGAUGUUUUCUGGAAUAACGCAAAACACGAAAAUCGUAGAGAACGAAAAGACCUUUCCGAAAAGGUAAGGCUCGUCAAGAACGGAGUCAUAACGAAUCGGGAAUUAAAUAAAACGUCCGCUGAUUCAGAACUCAAAGCGAGAACAGGAUCUGAUUAAGUUUUGUAAUUUUGAGAACAGUUUGAAACAUAAUCUGAGAAAACAUUAUAAACGAAAGUAUAUGAGAUUGAAAGAGCUUUCCGAAACAUCAAGAAUCAUCAAAUUCCGAUAAGAAUUGAAUUUUCUACGAAUUUUACAAGACAGCUGAUUUGUGAGAAUAAAGCCCUACGAAUUUUUGUCAUAAAAAUGAAGAGAAGGUUGAGUAGCUCUCAAAAGUAUAUAAAAAGAAUGAGAGAACAAAUCAAUAUACUCCCUUUGUCCCUCUCGUUUAUUUACAGUGUUUGACACGCAUUUUAAAGCGCAUAUAAAACAUAGUUCUAUGAUUUAUUUUCAAAAUUUUUCUUUUUUGUAUAAAAAUUUAAACAUCAAAUUUUUAUCUAGAAAAAAAGGAAGUUCAAAAUAAUUUAUUGAACUACGUUUUACGAGAGCAUUAGAAUGCGUGCCGAGCCCCCGUCCCCCAAUGUAAACAAAUGAGAGGGACGGAAGGAGUAUAUAUACAGAGUCUUGAGACCCUAAUUCUAAACCUAUCCAUUAUCUGAAUGCAAGGCUGAUCUAUAUUUUAAGUACACUAUCCUAAUUCAAUUUUAAAUCCUAUUCAUAAUCUAAUUUUAAUCCUUUAUUAUUAUUACUAACCAAUUAAUAUUAUUUUAAAAAAAUACUGGAUAUUACAUUCCUGAUCAGACUAGUGAUCGGAUUGCAACCGCAAAGCAGCCUAUAUAUAGUGACAAUUAAAUACACAACAAAACAACUUCUUUCUUCUCUCUUGGGUUAUAAUACUCAGACGGACAAGCUAUAUCUGAGGCGAUUUUCUGGGCGAUUAAACACACAAUAAAAGCAGCUUCUUCUUCUUCAAUUAAGGUUUAUUCUACACCCAAUCACAUACACACACACACUUUAAUAUGACUAGUGAGUUCAAUUUUUGGUGGUAUUAUAUGAUUAUCAUGUUCUCUUUUUAAAUAUUAGUAACGUUAUUUUCGGAGUGGACUCUGUUGAUGUUUAAAUUUGAUAUAGAUAUUGUAAUUGAAAAUUUAUGUUGAUUUGUUGUUCAGAUUUCAAGUAUUAAUUUGUGUGUGAUCAAAAUUUUGCUUCUACAUCGAUUAUCAGGAGGAAAUAUGAGGCCGAUCUUGAUCAAAGGACACGAAAGGCCAUUAACAUAUCUAAAGUAUAACAAGGAGGGUGACCUCCUCUUCUCCUGCGCAUUAGACAGAAACCCCGCUGUUUGGUACGCUGAUAAGGGAGAGCUUUUAGGCACUUACCGUGGGCACAUUGGUUCUGUUUGGGGUUGUGAUGUUUCUAGGGAUUCAAAACUUUUAAUAACUGCAAGUGCGGAUCAAACAGCAAAGGUAUGGGAUGUUCAAACUGGGUCUGAGCUGUUCACGUUUGAAUUUAAGUCCACUGUGAAAUCAGUAGAAUUUGGUGUCGGAGACAAGCUUGCUGUCAUUGCAACAGACUCCUUUCGUGACAUGUCUUCUGCAAUUCAUGUCAAACACAUAGCCAGAGAUCCUAGUGAACAGUGCGGUGAUUCUGUGAUUGAAUUCUCACCUGGAGGAAGAAUCAAUAGAGCUGUUUGGGGACCUUUAAAUAGGACCAUAAUAAGUGGUGGUGAACAAGGCGUUGUUCGUGUGUGGGACGUUGAGACAAAGAAAGUGAUUUAUGAGUCAGACAAGGAUACUGGUCAUCAGAAGGCCAUUACAUCACUUGCAAAAUCAAGAGACGGUUCACAUUUACUUACUGCUUCCAUUGACAAAUCAGCUAAGCUUUGGGACAUCAGAUCAAUGAAACUUCUCAGGACAUACAAGGCUGAAGCCCCAGUUAAUGCAGUUGCACUCUCUCCACUACUUGAUCAUGUCGUGCUCGGAGGUGGUCAAGAUGCAUCGACUGUUACAAACGAUCCUCGUGCUGGCAAGUUUGAGGCCAAAUUUUAUUCCAAGGUCCUUGAAGAAGAAAUUGGAUCUGUGAAAGGACACUUUGGUCCGAUAAAUGCAUUGGCAUUCAACCCUGAUGGAAAAAGUUUCGCAAGUGGAGGUGAAGAUGGUUAUUUGCGAUUACAUCACUUUGAUCAUGACUACUUCAACAUGGCGAUUUAAUUCGAAUUACUUACAUUGCUACGUCUUUUUUUUUUUUUUUCCGGUUUUAUUCAAGUUAUUUUCUGGUUUUUAUGUUGAUCUUAUGUUCUUUGUUAUAAAUAGAAGUGUGGUUCCUUUUAAAACUAUUUACAUAAGUUUUUGGCUUUUCAUGUAAUUUAAUCAAAGUAAAUGCCAUGAGAUCCUGAAUAUAUCUACUUAUCUAUCUAUCUACUUAUUAAAGCAGAAUCAGGGGAAAAAUAUACCAGAAAUUGGAUGAAAAAUUUACAUACACACCCUCAAUUAUUCAUCAAUUCCGAAAUUGGCCUGUAGUUUAGCUGUUAACUUGCAGGAUUUUUGUAAAAGUAGGAAUCAGCGAUUCUUAGGUACCCCAGUGACCCCGAAUCGGUUUCUCAGAUUCUUGGAAAUCCUCGGUCAGUUGAUUUAGAUUGUGGGCAUAUAUACACCUAUAGUCAGCCUCCGGCGGUGCAAUCUUUUGGUGGUGUUUUUCAGCCUUUUCUGCUAUAGCGAUUCUUGUUAAAACAUUCAGGUGCUAGGGUUGUUUUGUUGGUAAAGGGAAUUGGAUUGUUGUAUCUGCGGUUGUGGCAAAGGUAAUUUUCUUGCCCUUGCUAUUCUUUUGGGAUGUCUGAUUAUAAAUAGCCCUUCUAACUUUGUUCACCUGUUCUGUAUGAUGUGUGUCAUUUGUGAUUGAGUCGAGCAGUAUAUCAUUUUGAUGCAUAUUGUUAAUUUCACUCUGGGAAAUUUUUAUGCUGAUGUUUGGGCAAUUAAUUCUGGUUAUUUCGUUGAUUUUGUUUGUGGUUUGUUUCCACCUGCCAUUAGAACUGUAAAGUAAAGUGUAUUUAUUGAUCAUGAUUCAAGUGUUUGUAGAUAAUCGAUGUGGGUGACAAAGAAGCUGCAAAUGAUGAUGGUUCUUCACAAAUUUUAUCUGCUUUGCUUCCUUUUGUUGUGGCUCUCACCAUGGUUGUCAAGUCGACGACUGCUGUUGCUGCUCUUGCUCAGCCCUCAACUUUCACCUGGUAACAACUUUUGUAUGUUUGGUAAAAUAUUUUGAUUUUUUUUUUUUUGUAAGGGUAAAAUAUUUUGAUUGUGAUAAGCUAAUUUAUUGUUUUUUAAUGAUUCCAACACUACAACAGAUUUAGCAUCACACAACGGUUUUUGCCCGUUGUCUGAGACCACGGAAAACCGUGGUCUAUCGAGACGCCGUCUGAUAUGCGUAUCAGACAACGGUGCGCACCGUUGUGUGAUAGUGCUAAACACGAUGGUUUACGUUAAAAAAAUUGUUGUGCAACACCCAGAACCAACAACGUUUACUCUUAAACGUGGUGUUGUUAGAAACACUCCUUAACAAUAGUCGAUUUCAAAAAUGGUGUUGUUAGAGAGACUAUCCACAACAGUUUUAUUAGCUCGCAAGACUUGUUGGAAAGAUGAUCAUACAACAGUAGUUGAAAUAGAGAAGCUCGUUCUUUCCUCUCUUGUACAACGGGUUUCGAACACCAAGCCACUUGUGUAAGGCCCCUUCUAACAAUGUUUUAAUUAGUGAGGUUGUUGUGUUUAGUUACGUCAGACAAUGGUUUUCUUUCAUAGUUGGUUGUCGUUUACAUGUUUUAACAAUUGUUUCUGUUUCAUCAUUAUUGCAAGUCAUUUGUUUGGACAAUGGUUUUGUGACAAUAAAUCAUUGUUUCCAGUUUUAUGAGACAAUGUUUUUAAUGAAUAAUGAUUAUUGUAUCAUGUUCAGUAUGACAAUGGCCCUGUAUUAUCCCAUUACCUAAAUACAUAAUAGACAAUGAUUAACAUAACUCGAUUAAACUAAGCUAGAGAAUGUAAUUAAAAAGCCAAAAAUUUGUAAACAAAAAAUUUCAUUAUGCACUAAUAACCAUUGUUACAACCAAAUCAUAUAUACCAUCCAAUAUCCAGAAAUAUUUCCCCCGAGGAUGGCAAAUCUCAAAAAUAUAAAUACCUACAAUAAAUGGUAGCAUCUAGAGAGGCAUAUGUGACUACAAGAGUCUUUUGUGAGCUUUUCAACUACCCAGCCCAGGAACAAUCCUCUGAUUGCAUUCUUUUGAUUCGGAUGGAGCCCUCCUGCUAUCUCUUUUGGAAGUGACUCUACUGCAACCACCUGUAAUACAUAAAAAAGUUCUUGAUAUGCUUUUCGUACAAAGAAAUUAAUGUGGUUGAGGAGUAUGUUUCGAGUUCAAAAUAUACCAGUGUGCCAUCUUCCAUGGUUUCACGUCAUUCAUACACAAUAAAUUGUAGCAAUUGUGAGCCCUAUCAACAUACCAGUCUUUCUGUAUUUAGAGUUGGAGCAGCUAAGCCAAAAUCAGACAAAUGGGGAUUGAGUUCAUCAAGUAAAAUAUUUGCUGACUUUAAGGUACUAUUAACAACAUAAGGAACAACAUCAGCAUCUUGCUUCUAUCAUCAGUGAAGUAUAAAAACUCUUGCAAGCUACUAUUUGCAAUAUAAUCAUGGACCAGAAGACGUACCAUGUUCAGCGGAAUAUCAUUCAAAUCUCUGGCAUGGUUGUUGUGAUGGAUAAAAAUAAGUUCCUUUAUGACCUGAAUUAAACAUUAAAAGAUACCAAAUUAACCGAAAUGCGUAGAGAUGCACAAAAAGUCCAGGCCCGAAAAUAUGGUCAUAGAGAUUUAAAAAAAGUCGAAAAUAAAGACAAACCAUGUGAGUAAAAAGCAGAGUAAGGAGGAUUGAUGGUAGUGUUUGAUAUAGAUGCCAUGUGGGUAGAUCCAUAUGAGCUGCUGGAAGCAGAGAGAUUUCUUCCAAACUCUCUUACAUUAUUGACAACAUUUGUGUUAACAUAUAUGUGUUGUAUAUGAAAUUUUAAAGAUUAGAUACAUAAAUAUAAUAUUAUUCGGAAAAUAUAACAUACCAUCUCGAGUCAUUUUCUUGCUUGGUCAUUAAAAUAACCUACAGCAAGUAAUGUACCCUCACUCUAUAAGAAGAAGAUGGACAAAAAGAAGUCAGUUGUAUGGAUGCCUCGGAAUAUAUACAAGAAUGUCCCAGGGAUAUUUAUUCAGUUGAUGAAGCAUGUAUAUCUAGAAAUUAACAAACCUCAUCAGCCAAAACAAAUAUAAAAUUAAUAAAAUCAUCUGUCUCCAAACACACAGAUUAAAAUCAAAGCACAAAUGUUAUCACACAAAACCAAGACAACACAAGAUCCAUCACUAAAACACACAACUACUACUAAAAUCAAACACACAAACAAAAAUCUCAUAUAGAUUCAAACUUUAUCCCCAAAAUCAAGUAUAAUUACACAGUAAAAAGCAUUCGUUUACCUCUUCAUAAGGUGAAUUGUUGUUAAACUAAUCAGCACGGUCAACACCGGCAUCAAAAACUUGAAUGGCCUUUGGGGUUAUCGCCGACAGAACAGAUCUGAGUAAGCUUUGUAGAAAAUGAGAUAGAGACGGGGGAGGGAGGGGAGAGUUCAGAGGAGGGUGAGGGAGAGACAGAGGGCGAGAGGGAGGGGAGGGGCGAGAUGCUUUAACAAAUCAAUUGCGGCAAGAGUGGGGAAGACACAGCCGCACCAGAAGAGGAAGAGAUAGAUUCAGAAGAAGAGAGAUUUACUCUCACUUACAAAUUUUAGGUCAAAAUAGAGGGGGGGAAAUGAAAAUUUGGAUAAACAAGUAGAGAGGGAAUUGAAAAUUUUUGUAAGGUGGAAAUCAUUCGUUCAUCCCGUGUAAAUAACAAAAUCAAUGUAUUAUAAUAUCCAUAUAGUUGAAUUAUAAAUAAAUGAAUUUUUUAAAUUAUAUUUUUGUAUUUGAUUACAAAUAUUUCAUAUUAAAUAAAUUUUAAAAACAAUUUUAAUGUAGAUGUCAAUAUCUAAUUAUUUUAGUUAUUUGUGAAAAUCUUCAAAAAAUUAAAAAUUAAUCUGGUAAAUCUUUUUGACAAAAUAUAGUUGAAAUACAACUAUUUAAUAAAAAAUUAAUAAUUCUUUAAAAGUUAAAAUUCUCAUUUUCUCGAUGUAUUCCGUUUUUGUACUCUUUGUCUAAAUAAAAUAUACACAAAUUUUUAUUAUUCAUUUGUAAUAAGAAGAUAUUUGUGUGGUUCAAAUGUCAAUAUUAGUAUAAAUUUCAUAUUUACAAUAUAGGAUGUACUUAAUAGAAGUUUUGUGAUCUAUAUGAUUAACCCCGUAUUAAUUUUGAAAUAUUUUCGAUCAUCCAAACAUAUAAAGAUCUUAAUAUCUAUCAAUAUUAGUCAUGUAUAAUAUUUUUAAAUUUUUCUAUAUUUAUUUAUAUCUUGUUGUAACAAAACUAGUGAUGAUCGUUGUUUUUAUGUCAUUUCUUAUUUUUGUACUUUUUAUCAAAAAAUUAUAUUUAUAUUAUGCAUAUGUCCAAAUUUGUAUUAUUCAUUUGUAAUUGGAAGAUAAUUUUGUUGUUCGGACCUGAGUAUUACUAUGUGUUUUAUGUUCACAAUUUAGGAAGCACUAGAUAGAAUUUUUGUUAUCUACAAAAUUUGCUCUGAAUUAAUUUAUAAAUAUUUUUUUCGAUGAUAUAACCGUACGGAUGUUAAUAACUAACAAUAUUAGUCAUGCAUAAAAAAAUUAGAUUUUUUUAUGCUUAUUUUAUAUGCUUUUUUUACAAAACUAGUCAAUUGUAAAUUUUGUCUUAUUGUAAAAAGGUAAUUUUUGUCUUGUAGUGUCCAACAGACAACGGUACUUAUAGGCACGUGUGUUGUAUGAGUUAAAAUGACACAACUGUUAUGGACAUUAUACAGUCAUAACAAAAUCUAUUGUCUAAAAUAGGCUCAAACAAUGUUUCGGGAAAAACUCGUUGUGUGUAAGUAGUGUAGACAAUGGUUUCUGGGAGGCAAACCGUUGUAUAAUAAAUUUUCAUUUUUAAGAGUUAGAAAUUCACAUUUUCUUGAUUAGUUCUUGUUUUUGUACUCUUUGUCUUAACAAAUAUACUUAUAUUAUGUAUAUAUGCAAAUAUCAAUUGUCAUUUGUACUAUGAAGAUAAUUUUGUAGUUCGAACAUGAGUAUUGGUAUGUGUUUUAUAUUUACAAUUUAGAAAGUACUGAAUAGGAUCUUUGCUAUAUAUAAGAUUAGCUCCGUAUUAUUUUAUAAAUAUUGAUUUUGAUGAUCUAACCGUACGGAUGUCGAAAACUAACAAUAUUAGUCAUGUAUAAAAAAAAUCAAUUUUUUAUGUUUAUUUUGUAUGUUUUUUUUAACAAUACUAGUCAAUUGUAAAUUUUGUCUUACUGUAAAAAGGUAUUUUUUGUCAUGUAGUGUCUAACAUACAAUGGUUUUUAUAUGCACCUAUGUUGUAUAAUUGAAAAUGAUACAACUGUUACAGAAGUAUACCGUUCUAAGAAAAUCUAUUGUCUAAAUUAGGCUCAAACAACGGUUCACGGAAAAUCCGUUGUAAAAAAGUAGUGUAGACAACAGUUUAUGGGAAGGAAACCGUUGUAUAAUAAAUUUUCAUUUUUAUGAGUUAAAAAUUCGCAUUUCCUUGAUCAAUUCUUGAUCUAAUGCAAGAAAAACAUAUGACUAUCAAGAAAUUGAUUGUUUUGUUAUAACUUUGGUUAGGACUUUGAAUCUUUGCACUCUCUUAUGUACAUCCAUUUUCUUAAAAUUCAUUCAAUCAUACAACAUUUUAUUAGUUAGUAGAGGCUUGUCUAUAAUGCCAUGCUACAAUGCUAACAAAAACACUUGUAUGUUAGCUUCCCAGUCACACAACACUAUAUAAAACCCUUGUUUGAACUCCUCGUAAACAACACAACAAAUAAAACACUUGUCUAAUUACAACGACGGUUUCUUGAACUAUUGUCUGAAGUUUCUUCACACAUCGGCUCUCAAAACAGUUGUCUAACAUGCAUCAUUACACAAUACCACAGUUAAGAAACCAUUGUCUAAUUGAAUUUACUAGACAACAAUUUUUUAACCGUUGUAGGUCGUAGAUGUUAGACAAUAGUUUUUCGAGGCCGAAAAGAAAGUGUUGUGUCUUUUUUCCAAACAACGCUUUUUUCACCGUGCGUUGUCUGAUCAGUGUUGUCUAAUGGUGUUAUUGUUGUAGUGCAAGUUGGAUUUAUUUAAUGCUAAUAGGUACUUGUUCAAGUGAGGAGAUUUAACUGAGAUUCAGGUUCUGGCAUUUGUCUUGUGUUGUUAUUUGUUUAUGUACCGGUUUUGAGAGUCAUUAGAGAUAUGUAAGGUAUUUAUUCCUAUUUUUUAUUAUUAGUAUUACAUCGUUUUCGGGUAAAAUAAUCGAUGAUUGUUUGUUUUAACUGUGUAAUAGCCUUAUGAUCUGCCAACUUAUGUAGACAUGUGAUAAACAUGUUGACUGUGGUCAAUAUUUUAGAUGAGGUAGUGUGUUUGUUGUUAUUGCAAGACUUUUUGGAAUAAUCAUUGUCAAAAAGAACUAACGAUGAAUGGAAAUGAAGUUCUGAAGAAGUGAUGAUACAAUGUUAAAGAGAUUGCUUUUUGUUGAAUUUUUCUGACUCUGGAAUUAAACUGCGUUAGUAUCUUCUUCUCUGAUUUUCCUUAUUUGGUAGACCUACUACUUUCAGAAGAUACAUGUGGUAUUUGUUUGGUUGAUUAAUUUUGGUAAGAUACAGUUUCCGUUUGGAAUCAGACUAUCCAUUGAACAAUCAGACUAUCCAUUGAAGAUUUUAUGCUCGCUCUUAAAUGGUUGAUCCACUGAUCUUAUUCUUACUUCAUAUGAGCUAAAGCCAGCUCUAGGGGUGUUUCUCGCAUACAAAAAAAUUAAAAAAAAUAUUAUGAAACUAUACUUUGCAGGAGUCUCAAAAUAAAUAAGUGUAAACGAUAAACUUAAACACCUAACUUCUUAAACACCUAGCAUAACACGGGUGAGCAUAUGGUCAAUCAUACCAAAUUGAAUAAAUCGAAAUUAAAAUUUAAAUAUUUUUAGACUGGACCAAACUGAAAUAUUUUGUCCGAUCCAGUUCAGUAUGAUCGAAAAGAAUUGAUUCUUUUGGAAAAAGUAACUUAAUAUUAUAAAUAAAAUUAAGAUUUAUAAUUUAUUUAAAAACUAUCAAUGAAUCAUCAACACUUCUUCAAAAAUAGAUACAUUUGAAUUUAUACAUUAGAUAUUAUAACUUCUAAAAAGUAUAUAAAAAUAUAUAAUAUAAAUAUAAAUUUAUAGUAUAAUUUUUUUGACUAUUUAGAAUAUAUUUUUAACCCAAAUAUUUUUUUUUAAAAUCAAAUUUUAUUUCGAUGAACUUUUCUAGAAAAUUAAGAUAGAAACGAAACUCAUUCCUACAGUAAGGUUUCAGUUUUUCGGCUGCAAUACGGUUUUGCUCAUCAUUAGCAUAAAUGGAGUAUGUAGUAAAUAUGAAUGAAUGGCAUGGGAAUUCUUGGAAUGGUAUCAAGAAUUAAGAUUAAAGCACAUUAGAAGUUUAGAACCAUGAAUGUUAUUUUUGAAAAUAGUAAUCCCUCCGUUUCUUAUCACGUUUCUCGUUUGAUAUGUCGGAACGGUUCAUAAUAUGAGACAAAUUAGUAAUUUAUGUCCAAUUUAUAAAAUUAAAUAUAGUCAUGAGUGAUCUUGUUGGAUUCGUAUCUAUGAGUACUUUAAUAAGAUGAAAUUUUUAUAUUUAAUGUUAAUACAAAAUUAAAAUAUAUUAAUUAAAAAUAUAUAUUGACAAACGUGAUAAAAACAAACAGCAAAAAUAUUAAGAAACGAAGCGAGGGAGUAAUAAAUAUGCUUUAUGCUGAACUGAAUUGAGUGCGUGGAAGCUUGGGGAGGCAGCUUACUACAGUAUCUACGUGUAUCUGUAUAUGCAAUAAAGACACAAAUACUCACAGGAGAUUAUUUUUCAAACACUUAAUUUCCCCCUUUCCUUCUCGUAAUAUUCAACUCAAUUCAUCACAUCAUCUUCUUCAGACAAACAACUAUACUCACUUCAGAUCAUCACAUCAUCUUCUUCUUGACUUCAGAUCCACAUUUCAAACCCUAAUCAUUCGCUUGGUCCCCUCCCUCUCUGUAAUAAUACAAUUCUUUCUACACACAAACAAUAACAUCAUCAUCAUCGAGUGAAGCUUCAUAUCCACAUUCCAAGACCUAAUUACUCGCCAAACCACUCUCGCUCUCAUGGAGGAGGCCUUAGAAAUGGCGAGAUCGAAUGAUACCAAGAAGCGAAGGGCGGGAGUGGAUCGGCUGCAACAGCUUCUUGAAGAUUCAAGAAAGUGCUUGUCAUCGUCGGAAGUGACGGCGCUAGUCGACACGUGUCUUGAGCUUUUGAAGGACACGUGUGUUGCUGUCGUCGGCCGCGGAGUUGUUUAAGUUGCAUUCUGAUAGAAUUAUGACGGCGGUUGUUGAUAGGUUGUGGGAUGGGGAGCAGCGGGUUCGAGACUCGGCGAGGAGGCUGUUGAUUACCCUUAUGGAGGUAAUUUAUUAAUUUUCUUGGGGAAUGCCAGUUGAUUUUAUGGAAUGUGAUAUAGUAUAGUUUCUAUCAAUCGAGUAUCUUAAAUUGAUGACUACAACAAGUAUUAUCGUUUUGCACGCAAGUGGCUAAACUUUUAUGCAUGCCAAAUUGCCAAUCGGGUUUCAAUUUCAGAUCUCUGCCUUCACUUGCAUACGAACACAUUUGAGUUUAAAAAGAUGAAUCACCUCAUAAAUAUCAUUAAUAAUUAGUUGGUGUUAAUAGUGCACUGAAAAAUGGGAGAGAAUGACAAGACUAUAGACAGUAGUAGGGCUGAGCGAGAUGUUAAUUGAGUACUUAUAUGAUGCUUCACUAUGUUCAGGGAGUUAGUUUAUUGCUUCUUUCCUACACUUUCACUUGAAUUAGUACUAAUUAAUAAUUCCUUCUCUAUCUUGUAAAAUUUCUCCUUCAUUGCUAAGCAUAUCUACUCUGAUUAAUUUUCAAACAAACUUUACUACUGAGAUAGGAUUGUUUGCUGGGUAGGAGCACCAUAGAAUGAGUAGCUCUAUUGCUAUAUACUGAAGGGUGCGGUGGCAUCCUCGGUUAUAUUUUAAGUGCUACUUCGAAUUUAGUUGUUGGCUUUUGCAAUUUAUUUUCAUUCACAAUGUUUUAAUAAUGAUACCCCAUAUUAGGUGAGAGAUAUUAGUGCCAGGCUGGAGCAGAUUCAGAUUCAACCAGCAACUUCCGUCUCUUCCAUCUCUGAAGGACUUAAUAGUAAUCUUCUCCACCAUGCACCUGAUUUAGAAGUAUAAUGUAUUAAUGUGAACUUUUUAUUUAUAUUUAUUUCCAUGUGUAGUAAAACGAUCACAUCUUUUAAGAGCUUAGUACAAUGUUAUGUACAAUGUGUAAUUAAUUAAGAGGUUUGUACAUAGUUUAGUAUGAAAUGGAAAAAGUUUGUACAGAAGUUUAUUUGUUCACAUUACAGCUGAGACGAGCAAGCAAAAACCAUCAGAGAAUUCAAAGGAUAAUGAUAAAGGAAUUGAGCCCCUACUGGAACUGCCGGAAGAUAUUAUCUUUCUACAAAUUCUGCCUAAGUUGAACAGCCUAGAUGUUCUUCCCCUGGUUUUGGUGGCUAGGAGUUGGGCCUCCUUUCUUUUGCAUGAGGGACCCAGACUGAUGUUAUUCAACCCACCUAAAAAUCCUACACCUAAACACACUUCAAUUUUAUUUGAUGUAAGCCCGAUUCCGUACUCUGUUUCAGUUUUGUUAUCCCCAGAGAGCCGCCAACUGUGUCAGUCUAGGUGUAUAAUUGUUCCAAUCUUGAAUUCUGGUAUAAAACAUGCUGUUCCAAUUUUCACUGACUACCCAGAUUUUUUAAAGCAGGGGGAAGUCCCAACUGUAGUGGGAUCUUCCAGUGGUAUUAUAUGCCUCUAUAUCACCAGUUCUCCCUCUAGAUACAUCCUGCUAAACCCCUUAACAAAACAUUAUAAAGAGGUUGGGGCCCCUUAUAUUUUUGUACCAGAUUGUGAGCAAGCUUCUGUAACUUCUGGAUUCUUUUAUGAUGAAUGGACUGAUGACUUAAAGAUCGUACAAUUGUUGAGAUGGGAUCAAAGGCUUACGAGCUUGGAUGCUCCGGGACCCAAAAAGAUACAUGCGCUUCGCGUUUGUUCUGUAAAUUCUGCAAAUUGGGAAGUUGUUGACUUGGGGCCAAUGAAAGUCUCCGAUCGUCUUGGUGGUGUGUUAUUUUUGCCGAAAGCUCUCGUCACAUUUGUAGAUGCGUUUGCUACAGAGCCGGAGAUUAACUUUUGGUUGGAUUUUCGUGAUUGCCGUCUAAAGGCAGUUCCGGAAUUAGAAGGGGCUGAACUCAGUAUGAAAUCGGUUUGGUGGAAUAACCAGGUUGGUGUUAUUGUUGGAACUGACAGCAUUUAUGUCCUUGAUGAGGAGUUUGCAGCCUGGUAUUACUGCACAGUGCUUCCGGACGUGGGAAAUUGUGUAUUCUGUUUAGAUGAGAACAAAAUUGUGGGGAUGGGGGCUGGGGAAAGCGGAAGCGUAAAUGAUUACAAUAUUCUUAAUUCCACAAGCGGCGAAAUCCAACAUAUAAUCUCGUUGCCUUCUUGCAGGGUUUUUCCGUAUGUUCCUACAUUCUACUAUAUCGAGGGAAUGGCUAAUUUUUAGACUUUUGCAAGUCACAAUGUAAUAAAAGAAUGUAAACAGUACAUAGCAGCAAUACCUCUCUAUAGCAUAUAGUUUCAGAUACAACAUGUAUUGUGAUGCCAGCUUGUAGAGUACAAGUAUUAUUCUAGGUGAUUGAUUGUUGAGAAUAAUAGAGGCAACCGGUUGCAUGAUGGUAUCCUUGAAACUUUCAUAAUUACUAAUAUCGAACUCAGAUAGCAUGCAAUUUUUCCGGAGAUCAUAUUCUUUAGCUAUCAACUAACUCUACAUUAUAUAUUAUGUCCCAGAUCAAUGAGUUUGUUUGCUAUAAUGUCCUAUUUUAUAUGUGAUUUAGGAAUAUGUUCCAUUAACUUGUUAUCACCCUCAAAUCUAAAAUCUAAGACUACCAUGUCCUUAGUUUAUUUUGUUUAAUAUUUGUGAAUAGACUCUAAUCUGAUCAUAUCAAUUAUAUUUUAGUAACAGAUGUUUAAAUGCAUAUGUUUUUGUUAUCUAGUUAUUUCAAUGAUGAUGGGAUUAAAUUUUUUUAUUCUUGUAAUAUGUACAAUGAUUGGUUUAGCUUUAAUAUUUAUUUUUAUUUUUAUUUACCAAUUUUAAUGUAGGUAAAGUUUUAUCAGCAAAUUUUAUUUUUUGUAUGCAGUAAUCUGUUCUAAUAUCAAAUUUUGAUUUAGAUCGAGUAUUAGUAUGUUGAAUUUGCAUUCAUCUAGUUAGAUGAGUGAAACUGGCUAAUUAAUGGAAAAUCAUAAGUACCUGAGUUGUUUUCAAAUUUUUUUCCCAAAUUUUAAUUGUUUGAUUGGUUUCUUCAAAUUAAUAUUAAUGGAAUCAUGAACGCACAUAAAUAAUUUAAUUAAAAAUUAUUUAUUUAUGUGUCAUUUAGAAAAAAUUGGGGACAAAAUUUGGGAUAGUAAUGGGGACGAAAUAUGUGUUAGCGUUAAUGGUUUAGCGGCAGUGGAGAACGCAAUUUAAGAGCAAAUCCAAUAGUGUCCUAAACUAGUAUCCUAAAUUAAAAAUUAAGGUAUUUAUAUAAAUGAGUGCUCCACCUAAUGAGUGCUCCACCAAUGUCCAGUGAUACCUUAAAAUACUAGGAAAUCCAUCAAGCGUCUCGUUUUUAAGACAUCACUAGGCAUGCCCUAUUUCACUUCUAUCAAUAAAAUAUAUCUUUCCCUCGUUUUUUACAGAUCUCUUCUCUCUCAUUUUUUCCAUUUAUGCCCAAUUAUAAUUCAAAUAUAAUACACCUUCAGUCCCUUUUUAGUUGUGAAAUUUACAAAAAUAAUUUGUCCUUAAAUAAUAUUCUCAUCCUUGUUCCAAUACAUAUUUAUACAUAUUUUUUCAUGUUUACCCCUUGAUUGUUGGUUCAAAUGUUUGACUGUACUACUAAUAUAUACAGUUUUGACUUAGUAUUUAAUAUAAUAAAUAAGGGCAUGCGUGGAAACAACUUACAACAUUUAAUUUUCUUUAAUAUAUGUAUUUUUGCAAAUGUGACAACUAAAAAGGAACAGAGAGAGUAUUAUUUUAAUCAUAAAACAUAUUGUUGGAGUUAAUAUAAAAAAAUCAUGUCUUAAAUCAUAAGAUUACUAUAUUUAAUUAUAUUUAUAAGGCAUCUAAUAGUACAAUAUUGGAUUUGCUCUGAUCACAGAUCAAUCAAAUGAUCGGCAACUUAAGCGAUCAAAUGAGAUGACUCGCAUAGUCCACGCUAAUCGAUAUCCUUAAGAGGAUGUUUGCCUGGGCUUAAAGCCCUUGCUUUAAGCCAUCUUUGGCUUUAAGCUGAAAAAUGUCUGUUUGUGUAAUAAGUCAGAAGCCAGCCUAAAGUCAGAAAUAAGCCAGAAGCUGACUUAAAGCCAGAAGUUAAUUUGAGGUACUUUUUUCAGUGGCUAAAUUUUUUUGAACUUUUUUUUUGAUAAAAAUUACUCCUAAAUCAUAAGUUUCUUAUAAAUCACUUUUAUUUUUAUUAUUAUAUUUUUAAUAACUCAUAAGUCAUUCAUAAGCCAAAAUUACCCAAACAGACAUUUUAAGCUAUCAGCUUAUCAGAUAAGACACGUUAAGUCACAAGUCACAUUAAGUCAUAAGCCAUAAGCUCAGCCAAACGGGCAAGUUUUCUAAGAGACAUUCCUGCUUAGUGCAUUUUUAAUAGGGUUGCCUAAAUCGUUGACGAAAUUGGACAUGUGAGACAUUAUAUAAAAUUUGUUAAACAUGUAAGUGAUUGUGUUUCAAUAAUGUUAACUACAUUGAUAGAUUAUAACUUAAAAAUAGUAUGUUAUUAAUAUUUAGAUUGUUAUAAAAAAAUAUAUGAGUUUAAUAUGAUAGGAAAUGAUGUGUAAAUUACCCCGAUUAUAUAUAUAUAUAAAUAAUAAUAUAUUUAUAUAUAUUAUACUAAAUAUAUUAUUAAAAAUAGAUAAAUUUUAUAAUAUAAUCAAAAGUAAAAAAUAAUCUUUAUUUUUAUUGAUUGAUUAUAAAUAUAUUGUAAUAUAAUAUAUUUUAUAAUUUUAAAUUGUUGUUUAUUUAUAUUAUAAAUCAAUUUUAAUAUGAUUUGAGGUUGAAAAUAUAAGAUAAUAUUAUUUUAUUAUUAUAUUAGGAGUUUGUAGUUUGUUUUUUAAUUAAAAAAAUAUAUUAUAUAUUAUAAAAUUAUUAUGUUUUUAUUAAAAAAUAAAAUUCCCCGAAACCCCGCGGGGAUCCCCGUUCCCCGUUCGGGGCGGGGAUCGGGGCGGAAAAUAAUCCCCGUUCGAGGUUCGGGGCGGGGUCGGGUAGGGCCGUAGGGGUAUUGAAUUCGGGGAUCGGGGUCGGGGAUAGCACUCCCCGCCCUCGAAGUCUCCCCGUGCCCAUCCCUAGUCGAACCUCUAGAGGUCCGUAAAAAAUCUCCAAGAAGAUUACACUAUGUAAUCUUCUUGGAGAUUUUUUACGGACCUCUAGAGGUUCGACAAAUAUAGUGGCCGGUAGGAUGUUGGUUAAAAUUAUAGAUAAGUGGUGUCUAUGGUUGAGUGUGAUUUUUUUGAAUAGAAUGGCUAUAUAUUUUAUUUUUGGGAUGCCAACUCAAUUUUUAAACUAAGGACUUCUCAUAUUUGGAGAUGCUAUAUGAUGGCAAAUCCCGCAAAUCUUCAAUUUUGACAUAUAUUAUCCUAAAUUCUCUUUCAACAAUGAUUGAUUCAAAUUUGGAUCAAGAUUGUUGGAUCCCGCUGACGUGGCAGUGACGUCAUGUUGACGUGGCGCCCUGGGGUGGACCCCGGUGCUGACGUGGCAGAUGACGCGGCGGUGACAUGGCGCCUGGUUGGGGUCCCAUUACUAACGUGGCAUUUGGGUAGAAAGUAUAAAUUACGGAAAAUUGAUGACAAACUGAGAGGUGCAUAUUAUAAGUUUUAAAAAGUAUGAGGAGAUAUUUGAUCAGUUUAAAACUAGUUUUUAGGUUUUUAGGCUAACCGUGGUUUGUAUAUUCGAGCAUCCCCGUGUAUAUUGACAUAUAGGUAAACUCCUUGCAAUACUUUGAGCUGCAAAAUCCAUCAAAAUUUUGAUUUAUCAUGUAACUGUUUGACAGAGUACUUCCAACUUUCAAGCGUAAGUAUCAAAAUCACUACCUUCAUAUGUUCCAUUAAGCGUGAAAGGUACAGAAUAAGAAGUGAAAGAAAUCCUUUAUAUUUACACGGCCAUUGAUCUUAUAGGAUCACCUAGCCCAUCAGUGCUAGGGAAUACGGAACCAUCUUAUCAAUUAACGAAGAAAUGUAUGCAUGCAGUGUCACCACCACAAGUCAGAAAUGGUGAUGAUGCUAAUGAUAAUGAACUCAAUUGGGAGUGAUCCUAAUGGGAUAUGGAUGUGGAUUGGUAUGCGGAUUCUUUGGGGUUUAUUGUUCUUACAAUGGGAAAGCCUUGGUGGUUUAUGAGAUACAUUGAAGUAAGUUGAUAAUGACAUGCACGGCUUAAUUAAGAUUAAUUAAGACAAACACCUUGACAAAAUGUUGUCUUAGAAUGAUAUGUAUUCUGAUUUUUCCUAAUUUAAAAUCAAAUUUAUUACAAUUAAAGUUAAAAUCUGCGUAGCACAUACUAUACUUUGAUUAAAUUUUUAUUGAAGUUGUCCAUAUUAACCUAGUGGCCGAAAGUGAAUAAAUUAAAUUAGUGGGGUCUAAUAUAAAAAUUGCAUUAAUUAAAAUUUGUAAUGUAUAGAUUAUGCUAAAGCUAUUCAUUAUAAAGAACAUAGGAAUGUUAAUCUCUUUAUAUGUUUGCAUGCGGAUAGUCUCUCGGGAGUGUGGUAUAUUGUCAUGGCUGGAAAAACGGCUAAUUUCUACGGUUUUUUUUUGACAGAAAUUAAUUUUGACGGAAUACUGUCGAAAUAUCGAAAGUCGAAAAUAAGCCGCAAAAUUACUUUUUUCAAUUUUCAAUUGAAAACUGUCAAAAAAGUCUCUGGCAAAAUUAUAUUUAUUUCUACAGAUAAUGUCGAAAAUAUUUUCCUGCAAAUUUCCCGCACCUUAGUUGUGAGCGGAAAUAGAUAGUUUGGACAGAAUUCCGUCGAAAUUACGCGAGUUCUUUGUAGUGUGUUUUCACACAUACGCUGAUAAUCUUUGGGGACUGGGGUAUAUUGUUUUCGCAAAGCACUGGUAGUUUGUGAGCUUGUCCAAUUUUUCCCCCCAUGCCUAUACUGGUUGGUCUCAGUCUUAGUGGUAAUAAGCUGGCGUCAAAUUUUCCAGAAUUCAUAUAUAAUUGCUAUAACAUGAUCCGAUGCCUGAAUCAGCAGCUAACAAUUUACGUAAUCUUGAAGAACUAUAUCUUGGUGCCAAUUCUUUCGAGGGCUCAUUUCCAACGAAUAUAUUCAAGCUUUCCAAAUUAAGGGUUCUUGACCUAUCUGUGAAUAAUUUUUCAGGUUCCAUUCCCAAUGGUAUAGAGAUGCUUCCCGAUCUUGGAAUAAAUCGUAUUUAUAAUAAUUCAUUUGAAGGAAUUAUUCCUUCUUCAAUUAGUCUACUUAAAGAUCUUCAACACCUAGACUUCGGUGACGACAACCUUGUGGUUUCAAGUAUAAUGUCUUACGGGUCCAAUCUAACCGAUCAUUACAGGCAACCCCAUUGGAGAUGCUCUUAAUAACAUUUUAACUAGAGAGUAUUUUCUAUCAAUUGCAUUUGUAUUAAAUUUGAUUUAGAUGAAGAGAAACAGAAUACAUAUGAUCCCGAGACAACAUUUUGUCAAUGUUUUCGUCUUGAUUGAACAGUCUUCUUCAUGCGUGUCCUUGUCAACUUCAGUUGCAGUAAUUCAAUGUAUCUCAGGAACCACCUUGGCUUUCCCAUUUUGAUAACAAGUAUCCUGAAGAUAAUCCGCAUAUCAAUCCACAUCCGCGCGUAUCCCAGUUGAUUUAUUAAUUUAUUCAUGAAGUGUUGCGAACGACAUUCCUGCAAAAGUAAAAGUCAGUGGAAUUUGUAUGAUAGCAUGAUGAAUAUUUAAAGUUUCAGUUAAAAUUUCACCAAGUAUUUUAUUUCUGGCUUAAGUCCCGGAUUGACGAAUUCUGCUGAUCACAUUUCUAAUCGACCAAUUCUGGUCGAAUAAAUUAAAUGGCACACUUCCUGAGUUGGUGGUAGGGGCGUUCUUCUUGUGUUUCUUUCUUUUCAUUAUUGACAUUGUUAUCCAGGCCCUUGCUUCUGGGCUUUUGUAAAGCACCCAUUUACGCCAUUGUCAUGAUCAUAGCUAGUCUUCCAUAUCCAAGAUACGCGCAUUAUAGUGGAUUUAUCUUUAUUAGUGAUUUCUGUGGAAAUGCAUAAUCUUAAUUAUAAGCUCCAAUAUUAUAAAAUAAACCUAACUUAUUAGAGUUAACAGGGCAUUUGUGUUGAUAAUUUGCGCAAUGUUAAUGGGGAUCGCUCCCAAGUCUUGGACGGACUCUUUCCAAGUCUUCUGAGGACCCAUCUGCACACUAAUUUGUCCGCCAACUAAAAAUUUAUAUAUAUUUUUCCAUAGAAUAUAAAUAGUUGGGGGUACUAACAGAACCUCUAGUAAAAUUAAUUAAUACCGUUAUGAUUUCGCAAACACAGCAGACAGCAGGCAUAAGGCUUAUAAAUAGAAGUGUCGUAUUUGGUUGAUGGUCAAGUUGAGUGGAAAUAUGGCACACUUUGUAAAGCCUUGUUAUCCUCUUCUCUUUGUUUUCUUUCUCUCAUUACUUCAAUCCAUUCUAACAACACAAGAGGGAGAAGCUCUUGUGAAAUGGAAGAAUAGCCUAGCCCCUUCUUCUUUUCUCGACUCUUGGUCACUCACCAAUCUCGAUAAUCUUUGCAACUGGACUGGCAUUACUUGUAACUCUGCAGGUUCAGUCUCUGAGAUUAACCUUAGUGAGAAACAACUUGAUGGAAUGCUGUCCGAGUUUGGUUUCACUUCAUUUCCAAAUCUCAACAAUCUCACCCUCGCAAUUAACUACUUCUCGGGUCCAAUACCACCAGCCAUUGAGAAUUUAACACAGCUUCAAUAUCUUGAGUUGAGCAAUAAUUAUCUAGAUGGUCCCAUUCCUUUCCAGGUUAGCAAUCUUCAGAGGUUGCUCAUCUUAAACCUGUCAGAGAAUGAACUGCAAGCUCCAAAUUGGUCCAAUUUUUCCCCCAUGCCUUUUUUGACCAUCCUCGACCUUUAUAAAAAUAAUCUUUUGUCAGAAUUUCCCGAAUUUAUAUCUAACUCGUGUAACCUUACGUACCUUGACCUCUCAUCCAACAAGUUUAGAGGGGAUCUUGCGCGAGAAUCAGUAUUAACCAAUCUAGGUGAUCUUGAAACCCUCUAUCUUAUUAGAAAUUCUUUCAAGGGGUCAUUUCCGUCAGAUUUAUUCAAGCUUUCUAAAUUAAAACGUCUUCACCUGUCGAGCAACAAAUUUUCAGGUUCAAUUCCUAAUGCCAUAAGGUUGCUUUGUGAUCUUGAAUUCCUAUAUUUAGGCAACAAUUCCUUUGAAGGACUGCUUCCACCAAAUAUAUUUAAGCUUUCAAAAUUAAAACAUCUUGUUCUUCGGAGUAAUAAGUUUUCAGGAUCUGUUUCCAAUGAUAUAAAUUUGCUUCCUGAACUUGAAUAUCUCGAUCUUAAUUCUAAUUUUUUUGACGGGCCGCUUCCUCCAGAUGUAUUCAAGCUCUCCAAACUAAGGUUUCUUUACCUCUCGGGUAAUACCUUUUCACGUUCUGUUUCCAAUGAUAUAGGUUUGCUUUCUGAGCUUGAAACCCUCGAUCUUAACUCUAAUUUUUUGAGGGUCCGCUUCCGUCAAAUAUAUUCAAGCUCAAAUUAAAAAUUCUAGACCUCUCAAACAAUAGAAAUUUAUUUCAAAGAAGUUUUCCUAUUGGACUGGAACUCUUGAGUAACCUCAGCUACUUAGGUCUAAGUUCCAGUAAUCUCAGUGGCAAUAUUCCAUCUUACAUUGGAAACCUGAAGCUACUAAUAUCUCUUGAUCUCAGUUCUAAUCAAUUGACUGGACCGCUUUCAAAGCUCGUUUCUAAUGUCACAAAUCUUAUAUUUCUUGAUUUAAGAGAUAAUAGUCUUAGUGGAAAUAUUCAGACUGACUUGUGGAAAUAUAACGAUCAUCCAACUCUGGAAUACAUCAAUUUGAGUGGGAACUAUUUUACGGGUAUAGUUUUUCUCUAUAGAUCUUUUCUUUUGUCAUAUGUAACUAAGCUAGUAAUCUGAUUAAUUGCAGUUUUACCAAAGUUUCAACAAUCUUGACAGGUGAGCUUCCAACAACAAUUUGCAAUGUCACUUCCCUUUCGGUUCUUGAUUUGUCAAAUAAUAACUUAAGUGGUGCACUUCCAAAAUGUUACGGGAAUCUUGCUGAUGGAUUGCUUUACAUUAAUCUUGCGAAUAAUCACUUUCGAGGAACAAUACCCACUACUUUCUCCAGGAGUUGUCAGCUGAUAUAUCUGAACAUGGAUGAUAAUGAGUUUGAAGGAUUGAUGCCCCCAUCUUUGGCGAACUGUAAGCACUUGAAAAUUUUUGAUAUUGGCAAUAAUAAAAUAGGUGGUACAUUUCCGUCAUGGCUUUAUGCACUUGGAGAGCUAGAAGUCCUUGUCUUGCGAUCAAAUAAACUCUAUGGUACAAUAAGUGGAAGGAGCAUAGAAGAUCCCUUCCCCAAGUUGCGGAUUGUGGAUCUGUCCAACAAUCAAUUCACAGGCCAUUUGCCAAUUCAAUACUUUAAGAAUAUGAAAUCAACUGAUAAUUUGUAUCGUUAUCAGAAUGACACAGGAGUUUUUUCUUUCCAUUAUGAAGCAUCUGUCUCAUUAACUGUGAAGGGAACAGAGUAUGAAGUGAAAAAUAUCCUUCAUAUUUACACAACCAUUGAUCUGUCCUGCAACAAGUUUCAAGGAGAAAUUCCUGACGUUAUUGGAGAGCUUAGAUGGCUUGCAUUGCUGAACUUAUCUCAUAAUAGUCUAACAGGACAUAUCCCAUCAUUGCUGAGAAAUAUGAAAGGACUCCAAUCUUUAGAUUUGUCUUCAAAUCAACUGAAAGGGGCUAUUCCACUUCAGUUAACUGCAUUGACAUUUCUAGAGGUCUUGAACCUCUCGGGAAACCAUCUUAGUGGAGAGAUUCCUCAGAAAGGGCAGUUCAGCACAUUUAACAUUGAUUCUUAUCUAGGAAACUCCGCGUUAUGUGGUUCACCUUUGAUGAAGAAAUGUGCAAACACAGCAUCACCUCCACAAGAAGCCGGAAAUGGUGAUGAAGAUGAAGCUGGUGAUGAAUUGACAUGGGAAGCAAUCGUGAUGGGAUAUGGAUGUGGACUGAUAUGUGGAUUGUCAUCUGCAUACAUUGUUCUCAAACUAGGAAAGCCUUGGUGGUUUGUGAGAUAUAUCGAAGUACUGCAACAGAAGUUGAUGAAAAGAUAUGCAUGAAGAAAGGUACUGGUAGAUCAAGAUGAACUUGAAAGUUGUUGUCGUGGUAGACAUUUGUGAACCAGUAGUGUACUAGCUGCAUAAGUAUUUGGUAUUAUGUAAUAAUCCGUUUGGUCGGGACUCAAAAUGAUUUCUCUUGCUUCAGGGGUAUUAAUAUUAACCUUGCUAUCUUGAUCAAUGUUAGGGCAAAUUAAAAAGAAUAUAAAAGCAAAAAAUUUGCAUCAAACACCUGUUGUACCAACAUGCAUCCAUUAAUUUGCUUUCAUCUAUUAAGUAACAAUUUAAGAGCGCUUCCACUCUGUUUAAGCAUGGAGAUAACACAAAGAAGGCAAGUCCAUGGACUAAUAUAUUAACACGUAGUCCACAUCUAUGGUAUGAACAAUUCAUAUUGCUCUUCUAUCUGUUCAACAGUCUCCCGAAGAUAGGCCAAAAAUGUCAUCUGUGGUUCUUAUGUUUGUCAGUGAAGGAGAAUCUCUGAUGCCUACACAACCUGGUGUUUUUACAGAAAGGAAUGUAGGUGAAACCAGGGGCGUAAAAUGAAUCAGGACUAAAAUCUGCUAAAAUGAUAAUUAUUUACUCAUCAUUCAAGAUUAGUCGGGCUCAAAGAUUUAUAUGGAUUUUAAGAACAAACUAUGACUAAAUAUGAAAAAAUCAUUAAUUUUUCCGACUCAAUAUUUUUUAGCCUCCCCCGGCCCUGGGUGAAACCAUAAGCUUCUCUGGUGCACAUCCAAAUCAUUCAGUUGGUUCUACUUUCAGCUCACCCACAGGAACAUCAUUCUGCAGGUACUCUUUUAUCUGUACUUUCUUAUAUUGUAUGCCAGUAAAUUUUAUAUCGACAAACUGCACAAUACACCUCGAUCUCAUAUUAUUGACAGGUGAGCUCCUCUCAUAAUGCUCACAGGCGAACCCCUGCAUAUAUACUUUGUGAUGUCAUUGAUGAUCGAUAGACUUGAAAAAAAAUUAUGACAAAGAUUCAUAAAAUAUCUACUUCCAUCCUAAUUCAGUAUUCAAUAUUAUUCAUUCGUAUCAUCAUCCAAUCAAUUCUAAUAGUUCUUCUUUAAAUCAGUACAAAUAUUGUUAAAUACCUGGAUGAUGGUUGUCUUUCCGCGAACCAAUCAUGAAAUUACCUCUGUAUAAAUCCAUCGGAAAUAAGACAGUUAAUAUCCCAAUCGAAUACACCCCGUCAGUUGUCAAACUCCUCGAAACGUAUUAAUCACUUUAGAAAAUUUGUUCCACUGGCGCUAGUCAGUCCCAGAGUUGGUGGUGGGUGCUUCUGGGCUUUCGAAAAGCACCCAUUUACUCCAUUGUUUAGAGAAGUAAAACCCCACCUUCCGCUCAUUUGAUUGAUCAGCUGAAUUAGGCAGAGUUUACAUGGUCAUGAUCAUAGUCUCCCAUNUUAAUAGUCUGACAGGACCUAUCCCAACAUUGCUGAGAAAUAUGAAAUAACUCCAUUACUCCAAUCUUAGAUUUGUCCUCAAAUCAACUGACAGGGGCUAUUCCACCUCUGUUAACUGCAUUGACAUUACUUUUCUCUUUAUAUUCUUUCCUUUUGUAUGUACCUAUGCUAAUUAUCUGAUUAUUAAAAUUAUAACAAAGCUUCAAGAUUUUUAACAGGUGAGCUUCCACUAAAAAUUUGCAAAGUCACUUCCCUUUCGCGUCUCAUUAUGUUAGAUAAUGGGUCAAGUGGUGCACUUCCACAGUGUUUGGGGAACCUUUCUUUGCUUGGUUUCAAUAAUCUUGCUAAUUAUCAAUUUCAAGGACCAAUACCAACGACUGUCCAAGACUUGUCUGUGCAUAUCUAAACAUCCAUAACAAUCACUUUGAAGGUUUGUUGCUCCAAUCUUUGGCAAACUGUAAACACUUACAAAUUCUUGAUAUUGGAAACAACGUUGGAGAGCUAGAUGUCCCAGUUAGGGCGGUAAUUCGACUAGAGCAAACCGAGUUUUGAGCGGAGCCAAAUUCGAGCCAAGUUUAAUCGAGUCGAGCCGAGUCGGCUCGUUUAGCUAAUCGAGCCUAAAACUUAGCCCGAACUCGACUCAUUUAAUUUCACGAGUCGAGUCGAGCCAACUCGUUUAGCUAAAUGAGCUGAUUUUAACAAGUCGAGCGAGCGAGCUCGUAUAAUUUUAACUUAGUCGAGCCUGAAUCUCUACCCAAACUAUUGGCUCGUGUAAUUUCGCGAGUCGAAUCGAGCCGGCUCGUUUUAUUAAACAAGCCGAAAUUUUUGCCCGAAUUUGCUCGUUUAACAAGCCGAUCUGAGCCUAGUUAAAUGAGUUCGAGUUAGUCGAGCUCGCGAGCUGCGAGCUCACCUGCCAGCUCUAGUCCUAGUCUUGCAAUCAAAUAGGUUUAACGGUAUAGAAAGUGGAAGGAGCACAAGGCAUCCAUUCCCCAAGGCUAUUUACCAAUUCAGUACUUUGAGGAUACAAAAUCAUUCUGCAGGUACUCUUGUAUCUGUACUUUCUUGUACUGUAUGCCACUUUGACAGUAGAGUAAAAUUUAUAUCGACAAACUGCAUAUGUUCUGAACUACUCCUCUAUCCCAAAUUAGAUGAGCUAGUUGACUUUGAGCACGUAACUUAAGGUACAUUGACCAACUAGUUCCGAUAUUUAUUUUUUUAAUUUUUCUUUUGUAAAUGAAAAUUUCAUAUUUAAAUUUUUAUUUGCAAAACUAAAAUUUAAAAAUAUGUAAUGUGGCUAUGCGGUCAAUGUCAACGAGCUCAUCUAAUUUGGGAUUGGGAUGCAGGGAGUAUUACGUACUAUGUUAUGCAAGCUGUUUACAACUUUCAUCAAAAUUUUCAAACAUUUCUGAAUAUGUAUUUUCAAAGAAUUCUCGGGCACUCUUAAGGCCUAUAAUUAUUGGAACUCUCACGUUAUGGACCAGAGGACCACUAUGUAUUUUACAAGCACGACGAAUCAUGUGGUCAUUAUGGACUCCCCAAGCCUUAGAGGACUCAUUCCAGGUUUUAGGAGGACCACUGCCUAGCUCACCCUUUCGGAGUGAUGUAAAUUAGUUUCCAGACACUAAAAAUAAGUAAUCAGAUUAAUCAUUACAAAAUUUUGAUAUAAAAUCAGAAUAAAUCCUAAACUUUGAUGAUACAAAAAAAAUUAUAAUUGUAAAUUAUACAAUCAAAUUAAGAUCGAAUUAACUUCCCUCACACUUAAAAUUUAUAGCGAUCAAAUCAAAAUCGAAUUAACUUUCCUAUUACUAAAAUUUAAUUACAAUAUUAUUAGAUAAAGAGAAUAUAUAAUAAUCAAGAGAAAAUAGAUUUUUUUUUGCCACUCAACUUAUUGUGUUUUAAGAAACUUACCACCCAACUAAAUUUUUUUCCUUUUGCUCACUAAUGUUAGGUUUGGAUUUGUUUUUAGCCACCAAAUAAGGUUCGGAUUUGAUUACCAGCAUUAUGAUAAUUUUUUUUGUCACUAAACUUAUUGCGUCUUUAGAAACUAACCACUGAACUAAAUUUUUUUUAUUUUACUCACUAAUGUUAGAUUUAGUUUUUUUUGUCACUAUAGUUAGGUUCAGAUUUGAUUAUUAGCAUUACAUUAAUUCUGUGUAGCAUUUUUAAAAUAUGGUAGUAGUCUGUGAUAUUUAGAUGAUUUGAUAUAUGUCUGUAUUUUUAUAUAUAGUAUAUUUUAUGUCCCCAAGGUCGUUUACCUUGGGUCAUAAAAAUUUUACACUCAUUUUAUGACUUUUAAAAGAUGUAGUUUCAUAAAUAAUUUUAUUUUUUUCUUUCGAAUUAAAAUUCAGCAUUUGAAUUUUACACACAAAAAAAUCGCAAGAAUAAGAUAUGAAACUAUGCUUUACAAGAGUCUUAAAAUACGUGCUAAACGGUAGAAAAAACUGUAAACUAAUGAGAGGUACAUAGGGAGUAAUAAUAACAUAAAAUGAUGCACAAUCAUCGAAUUAAGUUUUCCUCUCUCUAUAUAUUUAUUUUGUAAAUUUUAAUAAGAUAAAGUUAUUAAAAUUUAUGAUAUAAAUUUAAGAGAUAUCUUAGAUUGAGUGGCAAAAAUUUAGUUGGGUGGUAAGUUUCUAAAAACACAAUAAAUUGAGUGGGAACAAAAUCUAUUUUCCCAAUAAUGAGUGGGAAUAAAAUCUAUUUUCCCAAUAAUCAAAGUGACGAAAAAUCAAAGUCAUCUAAUAAGUCCAGAAAAAAUAUGACCAUUAGUAUAUUGAAAUAAUAUUCACGCAUUUAUAUACGAGAAUAUAUGGUCCACAAGUUAGUGCACAAUGUCCAAGAAUCUUUAUCAAAUAACACGGCAAGCAUGCAGCAUAUAAAUAAGAGUGGGCAGUAUGGUAUUGCAUUCAUAACCCACUUGAGCAGAAAUAUGGCACACUUCCUAAAGCCUUCUCACCUUCUUCUCUUUGUUUUCUUUCUCUCGUUACUUCAAUCCAUUCUACCAACAAGACCAGAGGGAGAAGCUCUUGUGAAAUGGAAGAAUAGCCUAGCCCCGUCUUCUUUUCUCGAUUCUUGGUCACUAACCAAUCUCGAUAAUCUUUGUAACUGGACUGGCAUUACUUGUAACUCUGCAGGUUCAGUCUCUGGGAUUAACCUUUAUGAGAAACAACUUGAUGGAAUGCUGUCCGAGUUUGGCUUCACUUCAUUUCCGAAUCUCAACAAUCUCACCCUCGCAUACAACUUCUUCUCGGGUCCAAUACCACCAGCCAUUGAGAAUUUAACACAGCUUCAAUAUCUUGAUUUAAGCAUCAAUAGUCUCGAUGGUCCCAUUCCUUUCCAGGUUAGCCAUCUUCAGAGGUUGCUCGUCCUAAACCUGUCACAGAAUGCAUUGCAAGCUCCAAAUUGGUCCCAUUUCUCUUCCAUGCCUUUUUUGCGCAUCCUCAAGCUCAGUAGGAAUCAUCUUGUAUCGAAAUUUCCAGAAUUUAUAUCCAAUUCUCAUAGCUUGGCUAUCCUUGACCUUGGCCAGAACAACUUUACAGGUGAUCUUGUGCGUGAAUUUACCAAUCUACAAAAUCUUGAAACCCUCUGGCUUUAUCGUAAUUCUUUUGAGGGGCCAUUUCCGCCGGAUAUAGUCCAGCUUUCCAAACUAAAAGAUCUUGCCCUGUCAAGUAACAAAUUUUCAGGUUCAGUUCCCAAUAACAUAAGGUUGCUUUGUGAUCUUGAAUACCUAUAUUUAGGCAACAAUUCCUUUAAGGGGCCACUUCCACCAAAUAUAUUUAAGCUUUCAAAAUUAAAACAUCUUGUUCUUUGGAGUAAUAAGUUUUCAGGUUCUGUUUCCAAUGAUAUAGGUUUGCUUCAUGAGCUUGUAACCCUCAAUCUUAACUCUAAUUUUUUUGAGGGGCCGCUUCCGCCAAAUGUAUUCAAGCUCUCCAAACUAAAGUUUUUUGCCCUUCAUGAGAAUAACUUUUCAGGUUUUAUUUCUAAGGAUAUAGGUUUGCUUUCCGAACUUGAAAUCCUCUAUUUUGGCUCUAAUUUUUUUGAGGGGCCGCUUCCUCCACAUGUAUUUAGGCUCUCCAAAUUAAGAGGUCUGGACCUCUCACACAAUAGAAAUUUAUUUGAAGGAAGUAUUCCUAUUGGACUGGGACUCUUGACUAACCUCAGGUACUUAGAUCUACAUUCCAAUAAUCUCGGUGGCUAUAUUCCAUCUGACAUUGGAAACCUGAAGCUACUAGUACUUCUUGAUCUCGGUUCUAAUCAAUUGACUGGACCGCUUUCAAAGAUCGUUUCUAAUCUCACAAAUCUUAUAUGUCUUGAUGUAAGUCAUAAUAGUCUUAGUGGAAAUAUUCAGAGUGACUUGUGGAAAUAUAACGAUCAUCCAACUUUGGAAUACAUCAAUUUAAGUGGGAACCAUUUUACGGGUAUAGUUUUUCUCUAUAGAUCUUUUCCUUUUCUCAUAUGUAACUAAGCUAGUAAUCUGAUUAUUGCAGUUUCACCAAAGUUUCAACAAUCUUGACAGGUGAGCUUCCAACAACAAUUUGCAAUGUCACUUCCCUUUCGGUUCUUGAUUUGUCAAAUAAUGAAUUAAGUGGUGCACUUCCAAACUCUUUGGGGAAUCUUGCUGAUGGAAUGCUUUACCUUAAUCUUGCUAAUAAUCAGUUUCGAGGAACAAUACCAACUACUUUCUCCAGGAGUUGUCGGUUGACAUAUCUAAACAUGGAUAAUAAUGAGUUUGAAGGAUUGUUGCCCCCAUCUUUGGCGAACUGUAAGCACUUGAAAAUUCUUGAUAUAGGCAAUAAUAAAAUAGGUGGUACAUUUCCGUCAUGGCUUUAUGCACUUGGAGAGCUAGAAGUUCUUGUCUUGCGAUCAAAUAAACUCUAUGGUACAAUAAGUGGAAGGAGCAUAGAAGAUCCCUUCCCCAAGUUGCGGAUUGUGGAUCUGUCCCACAAUCAAUUGACAGGCUAUUUGCCAAUUCAAUACUUUAAGAAUAUGAAAUCAACUGAUAAUUUGUAUCGUUAUCAGAAUGACACAGGAGUUUUUUCUUUCCAUUAUGAAGCAUCUGUCUCAUUAACUGUGAAGGGAACAGAGUAUGAAGUGAAAAAUAUCCUUCAUAUUUACACAACCAUUGAUCUGUCCUGCAACAAGUUUCAAGGAGAAAUUCCUGACGUUAUUGGAGAGCUUAGAUGGCUUGCAUUGCUGAACUUAUCUCAUAAUAGUCUAACAGGACAUAUCCCAUCAUUGCUGAGAAAUAUGAAAGGACUCCAAUCUUUAGAUUUGUCUUCAAAUCAACUGAAAGGGGCUAUUCCACUUCAGUUAACUGCAUUGACAUUUCUAGAGGUCUUGAACCUCUCGGGAAACCAUCUUAGUGGAGAGAUUCCUCAGAAAGGGCAGUUCAGCACAUUUAACAUUGAUUCUUAUCUAGGAAACUCCGCGUUAUGUGGUUCACCUUUGAUGAAGAAAUGUGCAAACACAGCAUCACCUCCACAAGAAGCCGGAAAUGGUGAUGAAGAUGAAGCUGGUGAUGAAUUGACAUGGGAAGCAAUCGUGAUGGGAUAUGGAUGUGGACUGAUAUGUGGAUUGUCAUCUGCAUACAUUGUUCUCAAACUAGGAAAGCCUUGGUGGUUUGUGAGAUAUAUCGAAGUACUGCAACAGAAGUUGAUGAAAAGAUAUGCAUGAAGAAAGGUACUGGUAGAUCAAGAUGAACUUGAAAGUUGUUGUCGUGGUAGACAUUUGUGAACCAGUAGUGUACUAGCUGCAUAAGUAUUUGGUAUUAUGUAAUAAUCCGUUUGGUCGGGACUCAAAAUGAUUUCUCUUGCUUCAGGGGUAUUAAUAUUAACCUUGCUAUCUUGAUCAAUGUUAGGGCAAAUUAAAAAGAAUAUAAAAGCAAAAAAUUUGCAUCAAACACCUGUUGUACCAACAUGCAUCCAUUAAUUUGCUUUCAUCUAUUAAGUAACAAUUUAAGAGCGCUUCCACUCUGUUUAAGCAUGGAGAUAACACAAAGAAGGCAAGUCCAUGGACUAAUAUAUUAACACGUAGUCCACAUCUAUGGUAUGAACAAUUCAUAUUGCUCUUCUAUCUGUUCAACAGUCUCCCGAAGAUAGGCCAAAAAUGUCAUCUGUGGUUCUUAUGUUUGUCAGUGAAGGAGAAUCUCUGAUGCCUACACAACCUGGUGUUUUUACAGAAAGGAAUGUAGGUGAAACCAGGGGCGUAAAAUGAAUCAGGACUAAAAUCUGCUAAAAUGAUAAUUAUUUACUCAUCAUUCAAGAUUAGUCGGGCUCAAAGAUUUAUAUGGAUUUUAAGAACAAACUAUGACUAAAUAUGAAAAAAUCAUUAAUUUUUCCGACUCAAUAUUUUUUAGCCUCCCCCGGCCCUGGGUGAAACCAUAAGCUUCUCUGGUGCACAUCCAAAUCAUUCAGUUGGUUCUACUUUCAGCUCACCCACAGGAACAUCAUUCUGCAGGUACUCUUUUAUCUGUACUUUCUUAUAUUGUAUGCCAGUAAAUUUUAUAUCGACAAACUGCACAAUACACCUCGAUCUCAUAUUAUUGACAGGUGAGCUCCUCUCAUAAUGCUCACAGGCGAACCCCUGCAUAUAUACUUUGUGAUGUCAUUGAUGAUCGAUAGACUUGAAAAAAAAUUAUGACAAAGAUUCAUAAAAUAUCUACUUCCAUCCUAAUUCAGUAUUCAAUAUUAUUCAUUCGUAUCAUCAUCCAAUCAAUUCUAAUAGUUCUUCUUUAAAUCAGUACAAAUAUUGUUAAAUACCUGGAUGAUGGUUGUCUUUCCGCGAACCAAUCAUGAAAUUACCUCUGUAUAAAUCCAUCGGAAAUAAGACAGUUAAUAUCCCAAUCGAAUACACCCCGUCAGUUGUCAAACUCCUCGAAACGUAUUAAUCACUUUAGAAAAUUUGUUCCACUGGCGCUAGUCAGUCCCAGAGUUGGUGGUGGGUGCUUCUGGGCUUUCGAAAAGCACCCAUUUACUCCAUUGUUUAGAGAAGUAAAACCCCACCUUCCGCUCAUUUGAUUGAUCAGCUGAAUUAGGCAGAGUUUACAUGGUCAUGAUCAUAGUCUCCCAUAUAUCCCUGAUACGCACAUUAUAGUGGAUUUAUCUUUAUCAGUGAUUUCUGUGGAGAUGCAUAAUCAUUAUAAGCUCCAAUAUAAAAUUUUAAAGUUAGUAUGGGAAUUUGUGUUGAUAAUUUGCGCAAUGUUAACAGGAUUGCUCCCAAGUCUUGGACGGACUCUUUCAAAGUCUUCUCAGGACCCAUCUGCACACUAAUUUGUCUGCCAACUAAAAAAUCAACAAUAUGUUACUCCCUCCGUUUUUCUUAAACUGAGGUUAAAAUUUUUGACACAAGAUGGGUUGACAGUAUAAAAUUAAAAUAUUUGUGAAUAAAAAUUUUGGUUAUAUUUUUUAUUUAAAAAGAAAAUCUUGAAAAUAAUAUUAUUAACUACCAGUCAGAUCACUUAAGUGUAUGUCCAAAAUUAAAGCGGCAUAUAAAAAAAAGGGAGGAAGCAUGUACUAACUGUUUCCAUAACAGUUUACAAGUAUAAGCUAUACCCCCUCUCUAUUUUUUUCUAUGACAGCUUUGAUUUUGGGCACACAUUCUUAAGUGUUUUGACCGGAUAGUUAAAAAUUUAUCUUCUAAAAUUUUUAAAAAAAGUAAAAUCGCAAAAAAAAUUAGAAAGCUGGUAUUUUUGAUAAAUUUCCAAAUAUGUAAUCAAGAAAAAUAACUUUUACUAUCCAAUCAACUCAUUUAAAGAUGUGUGUCAAAAAUCAAAAUAUCAUACAAAAAAUAGGUAUACAUUUUUUUAAUAGAUUAUACUCCCUCUGUUCCAAAAUAAGUGUCAGCUGGGGGUAAUAACAAGACCUUAGUCAACCCAAGCACAGCAGACAGCAGGCAUAAGGCAUCAGGAAUUUCACAGGACCAUUAUCUUUCUCUUAUUAACUGUGAAGGGAACAGCGUAUGAAGUAGCAAGAACCUUCAUAUUUACACAGCCAUUGAUCUGUCGUGCAACAAAUUUCAGGGAGAAAUUCCAAAGGUUACCGGAGAGCUUAGAUGGCUUGCAUUGCUCAAUUUAUCGCAUAAUUAAUAGUCUGACAGGACCUAUCCCAACAUUGCUGAGAAAUAUGAAAUAACUCCAUUACUCCAAUCUUAGAUUUGUCCUCAAAUCAACUGACAGGGGCUAUUCCACCUCUGUUAACUGCAUUGACAUUACUUUUCUCUUUAUAUUCUUUCCUUUUGUAUGUACCUAUGCUAAUUAUCUGAUUAUUAAAAUUAUAACAAAGCUUCAAGAUUUUUAACAGGUGAGCUUCCACUAAAAAUUUGCAAAGUCACUUCCCUUUCGCGUCUCAUUAUGUUAGAUAAUGGGUCAAGUGGUGCACUUCCACAGUGUUUGGGGAACCUUUCUUUGCUUGGUUUCAAUAAUCUUGCUAAUUAUCAAUUUCAAGGACCAAUACCAACGACUGUCCAAGACUUGUCUGUGCAUAUCUAAACAUCCAUAACAAUCACUUUGAAGGUUUGUUGCUCCAAUCUUUGGCAAACUGUAAACACUUACAAAUUCUUGAUAUUGGAAACAACGUUGGAGAGCUAGAUGUCCCAGUUAGGGCGGUAAUUCGACUAGAGCAAACCGAGUUUUGAGCGGAGCCAAAUUCGAGCCAAGUUUAAUCGAGUCGAGCCGAGUCGGCUCGUUUAGCUAAUCGAGCCUAAAACUUAGCCCGAACUCGACUCAUUUAAUUUCACGAGUCGAGUCGAGCCAACUCGUUUAGCUAAAUGAGCUGAUUUUAACAAGUCGAGCGAGCGAGCUCGUAUAAUUUUAACUUAGUCGAGCCUGAAUCUCUACCCAAACUAUUGGCUCGUGUAAUUUCGCGAGUCGAAUCGAGCCGGCUCGUUUUAUUAAACAAGCCGAAAUUUUUGCCCGAAUUUGCUCGUUUAACAAGCCGAUCUGAGCCUAGUUAAAUGAGUUCGAGUUAGUCGAGCUCGCGAGCUGCGAGCUCACCUGCCAGCUCUAGUCCUAGUCUUGCAAUCAAAUAGGUUUAACGGUAUAGAAAGUGGAAGGAGCACAAGGCAUCCAUUCCCCAAGGCUAUUUACCAAUUCAGUACUUUGAGGAUACAAAAUCAUUCUGCAGGUACUCUUGUAUCUGUACUUUCUUGUACUGUAUGCCACUUUGACAGUAGAGUAAAAUUUAUAUCGACAAACUGCAUAUGUUCUGAACUACUCCUCUAUCCCAAAUUAGAUGAGCUAGUUGACUUUGAGCACGUAACUUAAGGUACAUUGACCAACUAGUUCCGAUAUUUAUUUUUUUAAUUUUUCUUUUGUAAAUGAAAAUUUCAUAUUUAAAUUUUUAUUUGCAAAACUAAAAUUUAAAAAUAUGUAAUGUGGCUAUGCGGUCAAUGUCAACGAGCUCAUCUAAUUUGGGAUUGGGAUGCAGGGAGUAUUACGUACUAUGUUAUGCAAGCUGUUUACAACUUUCAUCAAAAUUUUCAAACAUUUCUGAAUAUGUAUUUUCAAAGAAUUCUCGGGCACUCUUAAGGCCUAUAAUUAUUGGAACUCUCACGUUAUGGACCAGAGGACCACUAUGUAUUUUACAAGCACGACGAAUCAUGUGGUCAUUAUGGACUCCCCAAGCCUUAGAGGACUCAUUCCAGGUUUUAGGAGGACCACUGCCUAGCUCACCCUUUCGGAGUGAUGUAAAUUAGUUUCCAGACACUAAAAAUAAGUAAUCAGAUUAAUCAUUACAAAAUUUUGAUAUAAAAUCAGAAUAAAUCCUAAACUUUGAUGAUACAAAAAAAAUUAUAAUUGUAAAUUAUACAAUCAAAUUAAGAUCGAAUUAACUUCCCUCACACUUAAAAUUUAUAGCGAUCAAAUCAAAAUCGAAUUAACUUUCCUAUUACUAAAAUUUAAUUACAAUAUUAUUAGAUAAAGAGAAUAUAUAAUAAUCAAGAGAAAAUAGAUUUUUUUUUGCCACUCAACUUAUUGUGUUUUAAGAAACUUACCACCCAACUAAAUUUUUUUCCUUUUGCUCACUAAUGUUAGGUUUGGAUUUGUUUUUAGCCACCAAAUAAGGUUCGGAUUUGAUUACCAGCAUUAUGAUAAUUUUUUUUGUCACUAAACUUAUUGCGUCUUUAGAAACUAACCACUGAACUAAAUUUUUUUUAUUUUACUCACUAAUGUUAGAUUUAGUUUUUUUUGUCACUAUAGUUAGGUUCAGAUUUGAUUAUUAGCAUUACAUUAAUUCUGUGUAGCAUUUUUAAAAUAUGGUAGUAGUCUGUGAUAUUUAGAUGAUUUGAUAUAUGUCUGUAUUUUUAUAUAUAGUAUAUUUUAUGUCCCCAAGGUCGUUUACCUUGGGUCAUAAAAAUUUUACACUCAUUUUAUGACUUUUAAAAGAUGUAGUUUCAUAAAUAAUUUUAUUUUUUUCUUUCGAAUUAAAAUUCAGCAUUUGAAUUUUACACACAAAAAAAUCGCAAGAAUAAGAUAUGAAACUAUGCUUUACAAGAGUCUUAAAAUACGUGCUAAACGGUAGAAAAAACUGUAAACUAAUGAGAGGUACAUAGGGAGUAAUAAUAACAUAAAAUGAUGCACAAUCAUCGAAUUAAGUUUUCCUCUCUCUAUAUAUUUAUUUUGUAAAUUUUAAUAAGAUAAAGUUAUUAAAAUUUAUGAUAUAAAUUUAAGAGAUAUCUUAGAUUGAGUGGCAAAAAUUUAGUUGGGUGGUAAGUUUCUAAAAACACAAUAAAUUGAGUGGGAACAAAAUCUAUUUUCCCAAUAAUGAGUGGGAAUAAAAUCUAUUUUCCCAAUAAUCAAAGUGACGAAAAAUCAAAGUCAUCUAAUAAGUCCAGAAAAAAUAUGACCAUUAGUAUAUUGAAAUAAUAUUCACGCAUUUAUAUACGAGAAUAUAUGGUCCACAAGUUAGUGCACAAUGUCCAAGAAUCUUUAUCAAAUAACACGGCAAGCAUGCAGCAUAUAAAUAAGAGUGGGCAGUAUGGUAUUGCAUUCAUAACCCACUUGAGCAGAAAUAUGGCACACUUCCUAAAGCCUUCUCACCUUCUUCUCUUUGUUUUCUUUCUCUCGUUACUUCAAUCCAUUCUACCAACAAGACCAGAGGGAGAAGCUCUUGUGAAAUGGAAGAAUAGCCUAGCCCCGUCUUCUUUUCUCGAUUCUUGGUCACUAACCAAUCUCGAUAAUCUUUGUAACUGGACUGGCAUUACUUGUAACUCUGCAGGUUCAGUCUCUGGGAUUAACCUUUAUGAGAAACAACUUGAUGGAAUGCUGUCCGAGUUUGGCUUCACUUCAUUUCCGAAUCUCAACAAUCUCACCCUCGCAUACAACUUCUUCUCGGGUCCAAUACCACCAGCCAUUGAGAAUUUAACACAGCUUCAAUAUCUUGAUUUAAGCAUCAAUAGUCUCGAUGGUCCCAUUCCUUUCCAGGUUAGCCAUCUUCAGAGGUUGCUCGUCCUAAACCUGUCACAGAAUGCAUUGCAAGCUCCAAAUUGGUCCCAUUUCUCUUCCAUGCCUUUUUUGCGCAUCCUCAAGCUCAGUAGGAAUCAUCUUGUAUCNUUUUUAUUUAAAAAGAAAAUCUUGAAAAUAAUAUUAUUAACUACCAGUCAGAUCACUUAAGUGUAUGUCCAAAAUUAAAGCGGCAUAUAAAAAAAAGGGAGGAAGCAUGUACUAACUGUUUCCAUAACAGUUUACAAGUAUAAGCUAUACCCCCUCUCUAUUUUUUUCUAUGACAGCUUUGAUUUUGGGCACACAUUCUUAAGUGUUUUGACCGGAUAGUUAAAAAUUUAUCUUCUAAAAUUUUUAAAAAAAGUAAAAUCGCAAAAAAAAUUAGAAAGCUGGUAUUUUUGAUAAAUUUCCAAAUAUGUAAUCAAGAAAAAUAACUUUUACUAUCCAAUCAACUCAUUUAAAGAUGUGUGUCAAAAAUCAAAAUAUCAUACAAAAAAUAGGUAUACAUUUUUUUAAUAGAUUAUACUCCCUCUGUUCCAAAAUAAGUGUCAGCUGGGGGUAAUAACAAGACCUUAGUCAACCCAAGCACAGCAGACAGCAGGCAUAAGGCAUCAGGAAUUUCACAGGACCAUUAUCUUUCUCUUAUUAACUGUGAAGGGAACAGCGUAUGAAGUAGCAAGAACCUUCAUAUUUACACAGCCAUUGAUCUGUCGUGCAACAAAUUUCAGGGAGAAAUUCCAAAGGUUACCGGAGAGCUUAGAUGGCUUGCAUUGCUCAAUUUAUCGCAUAAUUAAUAGUCUGACAGGACCUAUCCCAACAUUGCUGAGAAAUAUGAAAUAACUCCAUUACUCCAAUCUUAGAUUUGUCCUCAAAUCAACUGACAGGGGCUAUUCCACCUCUGUUAACUGCAUUGACAUUACUUUUCUCUUUAUAUUCUUUCCUUUUGUAUGUACCUAUGCUAAUUAUCUGAUUAUUAAAAUUAUAACAAAGCUUCAAGAUUUUUAACAGGUGAGCUUCCACUAAAAAUUUGCAAAGUCACUUCCCUUUCGCGUCUCAUUAUGUUAGAUAAUGGGUCAAGUGGUGCACUUCCACAGUGUUUGGGGAACCUUUCUUUGCUUGGUUUCAAUAAUCUUGCUAAUUAUCAAUUUCAAGGACCAAUACCAACGACUGUCCAAGACUUGUCUGUGCAUAUCUAAACAUCCAUAACAAUCACUUUGAAGGUUUGUUGCUCCAAUCUUUGGCAAACUGUAAACACUUACAAAUUCUUGAUAUUGGAAACAACGUUGGAGAGCUAGAUGUCCCAGUUAGGGCGGUAAUUCGACUAGAGCAAACCGAGUUUUGAGCGGAGCCAAAUUCGAGCCAAGUUUAAUCGAGUCGAGCCGAGUCGGCUCGUUUAGCUAAUCGAGCCUAAAACUUAGCCCGAACUCGACUCAUUUAAUUUCACGAGUCGAGUCGAGCCAACUCGUUUAGCUAAAUGAGCUGAUUUUAACAAGUCGAGCGAGCGAGCUCGUAUAAUUUUAACUUAGUCGAGCCUGAAUCUCUACCCAAACUAUUGGCUCGUGUAAUUUCGCGAGUCGAAUCGAGCCGGCUCGUUUUAUUAAACAAGCCGAAAUUUUUGCCCGAAUUUGCUCGUUUAACAAGCCGAUCUGAGCCUAGUUAAAUGAGUUCGAGUUAGUCGAGCUCGCGAGCUGCGAGCUCACCUGCCAGCUCUAGUCCUAGUCUUGCAAUCAAAUAGGUUUAACGGUAUAGAAAGUGGAAGGAGCACAAGGCAUCCAUUCCCCAAGGCUAUUUACCAAUUCAGUACUUUGAGGAUACAAAAUCAUUCUGCAGGUACUCUUGUAUCUGUACUUUCUUGUACUGUAUGCCACUUUGACAGUAGAGUAAAAUUUAUAUCGACAAACUGCAUAUGUUCUGAACUACUCCUCUAUCCCAAAUUAGAUGAGCUAGUUGACUUUGAGCACGUAACUUAAGGUACAUUGACCAACUAGUUCCGAUAUUUAUUUUUUUAAUUUUUCUUUUGUAAAUGAAAAUUUCAUAUUUAAAUUUUUAUUUGCAAAACUAAAAUUUAAAAAUAUGUAAUGUGGCUAUGCGGUCAAUGUCAACGAGCUCAUCUAAUUUGGGAUUGGGAUGCAGGGAGUAUUACGUACUAUGUUAUGCAAGCUGUUUACAACUUUCAUCAAAAUUUUCAAACAUUUCUGAAUAUGUAUUUUCAAAGAAUUCUCGGGCACUCUUAAGGCCUAUAAUUAUUGGAACUCUCACGUUAUGGACCAGAGGACCACUAUGUAUUUUACAAGCACGACGAAUCAUGUGGUCAUUAUGGACUCCCCAAGCCUUAGAGGACUCAUUCCAGGUUUUAGGAGGACCACUGCCUAGCUCACCCUUUCGGAGUGAUGUAAAUUAGUUUCCAGACACUAAAAAUAAGUAAUCAGAUUAAUCAUUACAAAAUUUUGAUAUAAAAUCAGAAUAAAUCCUAAACUUUGAUGAUACAAAAAAAAUUAUAAUUGUAAAUUAUACAAUCAAAUUAAGAUCGAAUUAACUUCCCUCACACUUAAAAUUUAUAGCGAUCAAAUCAAAAUCGAAUUAACUUUCCUAUUACUAAAAUUUAAUUACAAUAUUAUUAGAUAAAGAGAAUAUAUAAUAAUCAAGAGAAAAUAGAUUUUUUUUUGCCACUCAACUUAUUGUGUUUUAAGAAACUUACCACCCAACUAAAUUUUUUUCCUUUUGCUCACUAAUGUUAGGUUUGGAUUUGUUUUUAGCCACCAAAUAAGGUUCGGAUUUGAUUACCAGCAUUAUGAUAAUUUUUUUUGUCACUAAACUUAUUGCGUCUUUAGAAACUAACCACUGAACUAAAUUUUUUUUAUUUUACUCACUAAUGUUAGAUUUAGUUUUUUUUGUCACUAUAGUUAGGUUCAGAUUUGAUUAUUAGCAUUACAUUAAUUCUGUGUAGCAUUUUUAAAAUAUGGUAGUAGUCUGUGAUAUUUAGAUGAUUUGAUAUAUGUCUGUAUUUUUAUAUAUAGUAUAUUUUAUGUCCCCAAGGUCGUUUACCUUGGGUCAUAAAAAUUUUACACUCAUUUUAUGACUUUUAAAAGAUGUAGUUUCAUAAAUAAUUUUAUUUUUUUCUUUCGAAUUAAAAUUCAGCAUUUGAAUUUUACACACAAAAAAAUCGCAAGAAUAAGAUAUGAAACUAUGCUUUACAAGAGUCUUAAAAUACGUGCUAAACGGUAGAAAAAACUGUAAACUAAUGAGAGGUACAUAGGGAGUAAUAAUAACAUAAAAUGAUGCACAAUCAUCGAAUUAAGUUUUCCUCUCUCUAUAUAUUUAUUUUGUAAAUUUUAAUAAGAUAAAGUUAUUAAAAUUUAUGAUAUAAAUUUAAGAGAUAUCUUAGAUUGAGUGGCAAAAAUUUAGUUGGGUGGUAAGUUUCUAAAAACACAAUAAAUUGAGUGGGAACAAAAUCUAUUUUCCCAAUAAUGAGUGGGAAUAAAAUCUAUUUUCCCAAUAAUCAAAGUGACGAAAAAUCAAAGUCAUCUAAUAAGUCCAGAAAAAAUAUGACCAUUAGUAUAUUGAAAUAAUAUUCACGCAUUUAUAUACGAGAAUAUAUGGUCCACAAGUUAGUGCACAAUGUCCAAGAAUCUUUAUCAAAUAACACGGCAAGCAUGCAGCAUAUAAAUAAGAGUGGGCAGUAUGGUAUUGCAUUCAUAACCCACUUGAGCAGAAAUAUGGCACACUUCCUAAAGCCUUCUCACCUUCUUCUCUUUGUUUUCUUUCUCUCGUUACUUCAAUCCAUUCUACCAACAAGACCAGAGGGAGAAGCUCUUGUGAAAUGGAAGAAUAGCCUAGCCCCGUCUUCUUUUCUCGAUUCUUGGUCACUAACCAAUCUCGAUAAUCUUUGUAACUGGACUGGCAUUACUUGUAACUCUGCAGGUUCAGUCUCUGGGAUUAACCUUUAUGAGAAACAACUUGAUGGAAUGCUGUCCGAGUUUGGCUUCACUUCAUUUCCGAAUCUCAACAAUCUCACCCUCGCAUACAACUUCUUCUCGGGUCCAAUACCACCAGCCAUUGAGAAUUUAACACAGCUUCAAUAUCUUGAUUUAAGCAUCAAUAGUCUCGAUGGUCCCAUUCCUUUCCAGGUUAGCCAUCUUCAGAGGUUGCUCGUCCUAAACCUGUCACAGAAUGCAUUGCAAGCUCCAAAUUGGUCCCAUUUCUCUUCCAUGCCUUUUUUGCGCAUCCUCAAGCUCAGUAGGAAUCAUCUUGUAUCGAAAUUUCCAGAAUUUAUAUCCAAUUCUCAUAGCUUGGCUAUCCUUGACCUUGGCCAGAACAACUUUACAGGUGAUCUUGUGCGUGAAUUUACCAAUCUACAAAAUCUUGAAACCCUCUGGCUUUAUCGUAAUUCUUUUGAGGGGCCAUUUCCGCCGGAUAUAGUCCAGCUUUCCAAACUAAAAGAUCUUGCCCUGUCAAGUAACAAAUUUUCAGGUUCAGUUCCCAAUAACAUAAGGUUGCUUUGUGAUCUUGAAUACCUAUAUUUAGGCAACAAUUCCUUUAAGGGGCCACUUCCACCAAAUAUAUUUAAGCUUUCAAAAUUAAAACAUCUUGUUCUUUGGAGUAAUAAGUUUUCAGGUUCUGUUUCCAAUGAUAUAGGUUUGCUUCAUGAGCUUGUAACCCUCAAUCUUAACUCUAAUUUUUUUGAGGGGCCGCUUCCGCCAAAUGUAUUCAAGCUCUCCAAACUAAAGUUUUUUGCCCUUCAUGAGAAUAACUUUUCAGGUUUUAUUUCUAAGGAUAUAGGUUUGCUUUCCGAACUUGAAAUCCUCUAUUUUGGCUCUAAUUUUUUUGAGGGGCCGCUUCCUCCACAUGUAUUUAGGCUCUCCAAAUUAAGAGGUCUGGACCUCUCACACAAUAGAAAUUUAUUUGAAGGAAGUAUUCCUAUUGGACUGGGACUCUUGACUAACCUCAGGUACUUAGAUCUACAUUCCAAUAAUCUCGGUGGCUAUAUUCCAUCUGACAUUGGAAACCUGAAGCUACUAGUACUUCUUGAUCUCGGUUCUAAUCAAUUGACUGGACCGCUUUCAAAGAUCGUUUCUAAUCUCACAAAUCUUAUAUGUCUUGAUGUAAGUCAUAAUAGUCUUAGUGGAAAUAUUCAGAGUGACUUGUGGAAAUAUAACGAUCAUCCAACUUUGGAAUACAUCAAUUUAAGUGGGAACCAUUUUACGGGUAUAGUUUUUCUCUAUAGAUCUUUUCCUUUUCUCAUAUGUAACUAAGCUAGUAAUCUGAUUAUUGCAGUUUCACCAAAGUUUCAACAAUCUUGACAGGUGAGCUUCCAACAACAAUUUGCAAUGUCACUUCCCUUUCGGUUCUUGAUUUGUCAAAUAAUGAAUUAAGUGGUGCACUUCCAAACUCUUUGGGGAAUCUUGCUGAUGGAAUGCUUUACCUUAAUCUUGCUAAUAAUCAGUUUCGAGGAACAAUACCAACUACUUUCUCCAGGAGUUGUCGGUUGACAUAUCUAAACAUGGAUAAUAAUGAGUUUGAAGGAUUGUUGCCCCCAUCUUUGGCGAACUGUAAGCACUUGAAAAUUCUUGAUAUAGGCAAUAAUAAAAUAGGUGGUACAUUUCCGUCAUGGCUUUAUGCACUUGGAGAGCUAGAAGUUCUUGUCUUGCGAUCAAAUAAACUCUAUGGUACGAUAAGUGGAAGGAGCAUAGAAGAUCCCUUCCCCAAGUUGCGGAUUGUGGAUCUGUCCCACAAUCAAUUGACAGGCUAUUUGCCAAUUCAAUACUUUAAGAAUAUGAAAUCAACUGAUAAUUUGUAUCGUUAUCGGAAUUCCACAGGACCAUUAUCUUUCUCUUAUGAAGCAGCAGUCUCAUUAACUGUGAAGGGAACAGAGUACGAGGUAGCAAAGAACCUUCAUAUUUACACAGCCAUUGACCUGUCGUGCAACAAAUUUCAGGGAGAAAUUCCAAAGGUUACUGGAGAGCUUAGAUGGCUUGCAUUGCUGAAUUUAUCUCAUAAUAGUCUGACAGGACCUAUCCCAUCCUUGCUGAAAAAUAUGAAAGAACUCCAAUCUUUAGAUUUGUCCUCAAAUCAACUGACAGGGGCUAUUCCACCUCAGUUAACUGCAUUGACAUUUCUGGAGGUCUUCAACCUCUCGGGAAACCAUCUUAGUGGAGAGAUUCCUCAGAAAGGGCAGUUCAGCACAUUUAACAAUGAUUCUUAUCUAGGAAACUCCGCGUUAUGUGGAUCACCUUUGACAAAGAAAUGUGCAAACACAGCAUCACCUCCACAAGAAGUCGGAAAUGGUGAUGAAGAUGAUGCUGGUGAUGAAUGGACAUGGGAAGCAAUCGUGAUGGGAUAUGGAUGUGGACUGAUAUGUGGAUUGUCAUCUGCGUACAUUGUUCUCAAACUAGGAAAGCCUUGGUGGUUUGUGAGAUAUAUCGAAGUGCUGCAACUGAAGUUGAUGAAAAGAUAUGCUUGAAAAAUUGUACUGGCCGAUCAAGACGAACUUGAAAGUUGUUGUCCUUGUGGACAUUUCUGAACCAGUAGUGUACUAGCUGCAUAAGUAUUUGGUAUUAUGUAAUAAUCCGUUUGGUCAGGACUCAUAAUGAUUUCUCUUGCUUCAGGGGUAUUAAUAUUAACCUUGCUAGUUAAUUCAAAUUAAAACAAAUAUAAAAUCAAAAAAUUUGCAUCAAACACCUGUUAUACCAACAUCCAUUAAUUUGCUUUCAUCUCUUACGUAACAAUUUAACAGCGAUUCCACACUGUUUUAGGCAUGGAGAUUACACAAAGAAGGCAAGUCCAUGAACUAAUAUAUUAACCCGUAGUCCACAUCUAUGCUACGAACAAUUCAUAUUGGUCUUCCAUCUAUUCAACCGUCUCCCGAAGAUAGGCCAAAAAUGUCAUCUGUGGUUCUUAUCUUUGUCAGUAAAGGAGAAUCUCUGAUGCCUAUACAACCUGGUUUUCUUACAGAAAGGAAUGUAGGUGAAACCAGGGGCAUAAAAUGAAUCGGGACUAAAAUCUGCUAAAAUGAUAAUUAUUUACUCAUCAUUCGAGAUUAGUCGGGCUCAAAUGAAGAUUUAUAUGGAUUUUAAGAACAAACUAUGACUAAAUAUGAAAACUAGACAACCUGGUUUUCUUACAGAAAGGAAUGUAGGUGAAACCAGGGGCGUAAAAUGAAUCGGGACUAAAAUCUGCUAAAAUGAUAGUAAUUAUUUACUCAUCAUUCAAGAUUAGUCGGGCUCAAAUGAAGAUUUAUAUGGAUUUUUAAGAACAAACUAUGACUAAAUAUGAAAAAAAUCAUUAAUUUUUCCGACUCAAUAUUUUUUAGCCUCCCCCGGCCCUGGGUGAAACCAUAAGCUUCUCUGGUGCACAUCCAAAUCAUUCAGCUGGUUCUGCAGGUACUCUUCUAUCUGUACUUUCUUAUAUUGUUUGCCAGUACAUUUUAUAUCGACAAACUGCACAAUACACCUCGAUCUCAUACACAGGUGAACUCCUGCAUAUGCUUUGUGAUGUCAUUGAUGAUCGAUAGACUUGAAAAAAAAUUAUGACAAAGAUUCAUAAAAUAUCUACUUCCAUCCUAAUUCAGUAUUCAAUAUUAUUCAUCCCGUAUCAUCAUCCAAUCAAUUCUAAUAGUUCUUCUUUAAAUCAGUACAAAUAUUGUUAAAUACCUCGAUGAUGGUUGUCUUCCCGUGAACCAAUCAUAAAAUUACCUCUGUAUAAAUCCAUCGGAAAUAAGACAGUUAAUAUCCCAAUCGAAUACACCCCGUCAGUUGUCAAACUCCUCGAAACGUAUUAAUCACUUUAGAAAAUUUGUUCCACUGGCGCUAGUCAGUCCCAGAGUUGGUGGUGGGUGCUUCUGGGCUUUCGAAAAACACCCAUUUACUCCAUUGUUUAGAGAAGUAAAACCCCACCUUCCGCUCAUUUGAUUGAUCAGCUGAAUUAGGCAGAGUUUACAUGGUCAUGAUCAUAGUCUCCCAUUUCCCAGAUACGCGAAUUAUAGUGGAUUUAUCUUUAUCAGUAAUUUCUGUGGAGAUGCAUAAUCAUUAUAAGCUCCAAUAUAAAAAUUUAAAGUUAGUAUGGGCAUUUGUGUUGAUAAUUUGCGCAAUGUUAACAGGAUUGCUCCCAAGUCUUGGACGGACUCUUUCAAAGUCUUCUCAGGACCCAUCUGCACACUGAUUUGUCUGCCAACUAAAAAAUCAACAAUAUGUUACUCACUCCGUUUUUCUUAAACGAGGUUAAAAUUUUUGACACAAGAUGGGUUGACAGUAUAAUAAAAUUAACAUUUUUGUGAAUAAAAAUUUUGGUUGUAUUAUUUUAUUUAGAAAAAGAAAAUCUUGAAAAUAAUAUUAUUAACUACCCAGUCAAAUCACUUAAAAGUAUAUGUCCAAAAUUAAAGCGGCAUAUAAAAAAACCGAGAGAGAGUAUGUACUAACCUGUUUCCAUAACAGUUUACAAGUAUAAGUUAUACUCCCUCUCUAUUUUUUUAUAUGACGCUUUGAUUUUGGGCACAUAUUUUUAAGUGUUUUGACCGGAUAAUUAAAAAUAUUAUUUUCUAAAAUUUUUAAAAGAAAGUAAAAUUGAAAAAAAAAUAGAAAGCUGGUAUUUUUGAUAAAUUUCCAAACAUAAUCAAGAACAAUAAUUUUUACUAUCCAAUCAACUCAUUUACAGAUGUGUGUCAAAAAUCAAAAUAUCAUAUAAAAAACAACAAUAUGUUACUCCCUCCGUUUUUCUUAAACUGAGGUUAAAAUUUUUGACACAAGAUGGGUUGACAGUAUAAAAUUAAAAUUUUUGUGAAUAAAAAUUUUGGUUAUAUUUUUUAUUUAAAAAGAAAAUCUUGAAAAUAAUAUUAUUAACUACCAGUCAGAUCACUUAAGUGUAUGUCCAAAAUUAAAGCGGCAUAUAAAAAAAAGGGAGGAAGCAUGUACUAACUGUUUCCAUAACAGUUUACAAGUACAAGUUAUACUCCCUCUCUAUUUUUUCUAUGACGCUUUGAUUUUGGGCACACAUUCUUAAGUGUUUUGACCGGAUAGUUAAAAAUUUAUCUUCUAAAAUUUUUAAAAAGAAGUAAAAUCGCAAAAAAAAUUAGAAAGCUGGUAUUUUUGAUAAAUUUCCAAAUAUGUAAUCAAGAACAAUAACUUUUACUAUCCAAUCAACUCAUUUAAAGAUGUGUGUCAAAAAUCAAAAUAUCAUACAAAAAAUAGGUAUACAUUUUUUUUAAUAGAUUAUACUCCCUCUGUUCCAAAAUAAUUGUCAGCUGUGACAUUUUGCAAAAGUAGCUGGGGGGUAAUAACAAGACCUUAGUCAACCCAAGCACAGCAGACAGCAGGCAUAAGGCAUCAGGAAUUUCACAGCACCAUUAUCUUUCUCUUAUUAACUGUGAAGGGAACAGAGUAUGAAGUAGCAAGAACCUUCAUAUUUACACAGCCAUUGAUCUGUCGUGCAACGAAUUUCAGGGAGAAAUUUCAAAGGUUACUGGAGAGCUUAGAUGGCUUGCAUUGCUCAAUUUAUCUCAUAAUAGUCUCACAGGACCUAUCCCAUCAUUGCUGAGAAAAAUGAAAGAACUCCAAUCUUUAGAUUUGUCCUCAAAUCAACUGACAGGGGCUAUUCCACCUCAGUUAACUGCAUUGACAUUACUUUUCUCUUUAUAUCCUUUCCUUUUGUAUGUACCUAUGCUAAUUAUCUGAUUAUCAAAAUUAUAACAAAGCUUCAAGAUUUUUAACAGGUGAGCUUCCACUAAAAAUUUGCAAAGUCACUUCCCUUUCGCGUCUCAUUAUGUCAGAUAAUGGGUCAAGUGGUGCACAUCCACAGUGUUUGGGGAACCUUUCUUUGCUUGGUUUCAAUAAUCUUGCUAAUUAUCAAUUUCAAGGACCAAUACCAACGACUGUCCAAGACUUGUCUGUGCAUAUCUAAACAUCCAUAACAAUCACUUUGAAGGUUUGUUGCUGCAAUCUUUGACAAACUGUAAACACUUACAAAUUCUUGAUAUUGGAAACAACAAAAUAGGUGGUACAUUUCGGUCAUGGCUAUUUAUUUUGGAGAGCUAGAUGUCCUAGUUAGGGCGGUAAUUCAACUAGAGCAAACCGAGUUUUGAGCGGAGCCAAAUUCGAGCCAAGUUUAAUCGAGUCAAGCCGAGUCGGCUCGUUUAGCUAAUCGAGCCUAAAACUCUGCCCGAACUCGACUCGUUUAAUUUCACGAACGAGUCAAGCGAGUGAGCUCGUAUAAUUUUAACUUAAUCGAGCCUAAAUCUCUACCCGAACUAUUGGCUCGUGUAAUUUCGCGAGUAGAAUCGAGCCGGCUCGUUUUAUUAUAGAAGCCGAAAUUUUUGCCCGAAUUUGGCUUGUUUAACAAGCCGAUCUUUCAUCAAAAAUUUCAAACAUUUCUGAAUAUGUAUUUUCAGAGAAUUUCUCCAGCACUCUUAAGGCCUAUAAUUAUUGCAACUCUCACGUUAUGGACCACUGUGUAUUUUACAAGCACGACGAAUCAUGUUGUCAUUAUGGACUCCCCAAGCCUUAGAGGACUCAUUCCAGGUCUUAGGAGGACCACUGCCUAGCUCACCCUUUCGGAGUGAUGUAAAUUAUUUUCCAAACAUUAAAAAUAAAUAAUCAGAUUAAUCAAUACAAAAUUAAAGAUAUAAAAUCAGAAUAAAUCCUAAACUUUGAAUAUACAAAAAAAAUUAUAAUUGUAAAUUAUACAAUCAAAUUAAAAUUGAAUUAACUUCCCUCACACUUAAAAUUUAUAGCGAUCAAAUCAAAAUCGAAUUAACUUUCCUAUUACUAAAAUUUAGUUACAAUAUUAUUAGAUAAAGAGAAUAUAUAAUAAUCAAGGGAAAAUAGAUUUUUUUUUUUUGCCACUCAACUUAUUGUUUUUUAAGAAACUUACCACCCAACUAAUUAUUUUUUCCUUUUGCUCACUAAUGUUAGGUUUGGAUUUGUUUUUAGCCACCAACUAAGGUUCGGAUUUGAUUACUAGCAUUAUGAUAAUUUUUUUUGUCACUAAACUUAUUGUGUCUUUAGAAACUAACCACUCAACUAAUUUUUUUUUAAUUUACUCACUAAUGUUAGGUUCAGUUUUUUUUUGUCACUGAAGUUAGGUUCGGAUUUGAUUAUUAGCAUUACAUUAAUUCUGUGUAGCAUUUUUAAAAUAUGGCUCAUAAGAAUUUUACACGCAUUUUAUGACUUUUAAAAGAUGUAGUUUCAUUAAUAAUUUUAUUUUUUUCUUCCGAAUUAAAAUUUAGCGUUUGAAUUUUACACACAAAAAAUCGAAAGAAUAAGUUAUGAAAGUAUGCUUUAUAAGAGUCUUAAAAUACGUGCUAAACGGUAGAAAAAACUGUACACUAAUGACAGGUAAAUAGGGAGUAAUAAUAACAUAAAAUGAUGCACAAUCAUCGAAUUAAGUUUUCCUCUCUCUAUAUAUUUAUUUUGAAAAUUUUAAUAAGAUAAAGUUAUUAAAAUUUAUGAUAUAAAUUUAAGAGAUAUCUUAGAUUGAGUGGCAAAAAUUUAGUUGGGUGAUAAAUUUCUAAAAACACAAUAAAUUGAAUGGGAACAAAAUCUAUUUUCCCGAUAAUCAAAGUGACGAAAAAUCAAAGUCAUCUAAUAAGUCCAGAAAAAAUAUGACCAUUAGUAUAUCGGAAUAAUAUUCACACAUUUAUAUACGAGAAUAUAUGGUCCACAAGUUAGUGCACAAUGUCCAAGAAUCUUUAUUAAAGUAACACGGCAAGCAUGCAGCAUAUAAAUAAGAGUGGGCACUGGGCAGUAUGGUAUUGCAUUCAUAACCCACUUGAGGAGAAAUAUGGCACACUUCCUAAAGCCUUCUCACCUUCUUCUCUUUGUUUUCUUUCUCUCGUUACUUCAAUCCAUUCUACUAACAAGACCAGAGGGAGAAGCUCUUGUGAAAUGGAAGAAUAGCCUUGCCCCUUCUUCUUUUCUCGAUUCUUGGUCACUCACCAAUCUCGAUGAUCUUUGUAACUGGACUGGCAUUACUUGUAACUCUGCAGGUUCAGUCUCUGAGAUUAACCUUUAUGAGAAACAACUUGAUGGAAUGCUGUCCGAGUUUAGUUUCACUUCAUUUCCAAAUCUUAACAGUCUCACUCUCGCAUACAACUUCUUCUCGGGUCCAAUACCACCAGCCAUUGAGAAUUUAACACAGCUUCAAUAUCUUGAUUUAAGCAUCAAUAGUCUCGAUGGUCUCAUUCCGUUCCAGGUUAGCCAUCUUCAGAGGUUGCUCGUCUUAAACCUGUCACAGAAUGCAUUGCAAGCUCCAAAUUGGUCCCAAUUCUCUCCCAUGCCCUUUUUGUGCAGCCUCAACCUCAGUAGCAAUCCUCUUGCGUCGAAAUUCCCAAAUUUCAUAUCCAAUUCUCAUGGCCUGACUCACCUUAGCCUUGAUCAAAACGAGUUUACAGGUGAUUUAGCGCGUGAAUCAAUAUUUGCCAAUCUGCAUAAUCUUGAAGUCCUCAGUCUUGUUGGCAAUUCUUUUGAGGGGCCAUUUCUGCCAAAUAUAUUCAAGCUUUCCAAAUUAAAACGUCUCACCCUGUCAAGUAACAAAUUUUUAGGAUCAAUUCCCAAUGACAUAAGGUUGCUUUGUGAUCUUGAAUUCCUGUAUUUAGGAAACAAUUCUUUUGAAGGACCGCUUCCACCAAAUAUAUUCAAGCUUUCAAAAUUAAAACAUCUUGUUCUUUGGAGUAAUAAGUUUUCAGGUUCUGUUUCCAAUGAUAUAGGUUUGCUUUCUGCGCUUGAACUUUUGAAUCUUCACUCUAAUUUUUUUGAGGGGCCGCUUCCGCCAAAUGUAUUCAAGCUCUCUAAACUAAGGUUUCUUAACCUCUGGGGUAACAACUUUUCAGGUUCUGUUUCCAAUGAUAUAGGUUUGCUUCCGGAGCUAGAAAUCCUCAAUCUUCACUCUAAUUUUUUUGAGGGCCGCUUCCGCCAAAUAUAUUCAAGCUCUCUAAACUAAGGUUUCUUAACCUUUGGGGUAAUAACUUUUCAGGUUCUGUUUCCAAUGAUAUAGGUUUGCUUCCUGAGCUAGAAUUCCUCAAUCUUCACUCUAAUUUUUUUGAGGGUCCGCUUCCGCCAAAUGUAUUCAAGCUCUCUAAACUAAAGUUUCUUCAUCUUCGAGGUAAUAAGUUUUCAGGUUCUGUUUCCAAUGAUAUAGGUUUGCUUCCUGAGCUUGAAAUCCUCAAUCUUCGCUCUAAUUUUUUUGAGGGGCCGCUUCCGCCAAAUGUAUUCAAGCUCUCCAAACUAAGGUUUCUUUCCCUUAAGGAAAAUAAAUUUUCAGGUUCUGUUUCCAAUGAUAUAGGUUUCCUUUCUGAGCUUGAAUACCUAUAUCUUGACUAUAAUUUAUUUGAAGGAAGUAUUCCUAUUGGACUGGGACUCUUGACUAACCUCAGCUACUUAGAUCUAAGUUCCAAUAAUCUCAGUGGCUAUAUUCCAUCUGACAUUGGAAACCUGAAGCUACUAGUAUUUCUUGAUCUCAGUUCUAACCAAUUGACUGGACCGCUUUUAAAGAUCGUUUCUAAUCUCACAAAUCUUAUGAAUCUUGAUGUAAGUGAUAAUAGUCUUAGUGGAAAUAUUCAGAGUGACUUGUGGAAGAACUCUAUAUCCUUACGUUACAUUAAUUUUGCAAAUAAUUAUUUGUCUGGGAACAUUCCUAAGGAAUACAACGAUCAUCCAACUUUGGAAUACAUCAAUUUAAGUGGGAACCAUUUUACAGGUAUAUUUUUCUCUAUAUAUCUUUUCCUUUUCUCAUAUGUAACUAAGCUGGUAAUCUGAUUAUUGCAGUUUUACCAAAGUUUCAACAAUCUUGACAGGUGAGCUUCCAACAACAAUUUGCAAUGUCACUUCCCUUGCGGUUCUUGUUUUGUCAAAUAAUGGAUUAAGUGGAGCACUUCCAAAUUGUUUCGGGAAACUUGCUGAUAGAUUGCUUUCCAUUAAUCUUGCUAAUAAUCAGUUUCGAGGAACAAUACCAACUACUUUCUCCAGGAGUUGUCAGGUGAAAUAUCUAAACAUGGAUAAUAAUGAGUUUGAAGGAUUCUUGCCCCCAUCUUUGGCGAACUGUAAGCACUUGAAAAUUCUUGAUAUUGGCAAUAACAAAAUAGGUGGUCCAUUUCCGUCAUGGCUUUAUGUACUUGGAGAGAUAGAAGUCCUUGUCUUGCGAUUAAAUAAACUCUAUGGUACAAUAAGUGGAAGGAGCGUAAAAGAUCCCUUCCCCAAGUUGCGGAUUGUGGAUCAAUAGACAUCGGCUAAAAAGCGAUGUCUAUGUAAAAUCAGACCGAUGUCUUCGUGGGUGAUGAGAAAAGUAAGUGCAUUACACAUCGCUUUCUAGCCGAUGUCUAUAACCUAUUUACACAUCGUUUAAUAUGACAAUCUGAUGUAUUUUUUAACAGUAGAUACCUUCACUAUAAUUUCAGUUCCUCAUUCCUAUGCCCUCUAUAUCAUUUUAAACUUGUCACAUGCUUAAUAAAAUGAUACUUUAACAUCUUAAAACUUGUAAAAUAGAUGUAUAUGAUAACCUUUUACAUCAUGCUUUUAUAGGAAGUGAUGUGGUACCCUUCUUUUCUUUAAGAAAGCGAUGUCUUUGUUCUUGUUUUACAUCAGUGAUUUUUAUACUCUGAUAUCUAUUAUAUAGUUUAACAUCAGGCUUUUUCUUGUUAACUGAUAUGUAUUCAUUCUUAUGACAUCGCUUACUAAGUGAUGUAAAUGUUAGUUUUAAAUUGCCAUGAAUCCUCCUGUUUCUUAUGAAUCCCCCUGUUUCAUUUAAAUUUCCAACAAAUUCCAAAACAACACCAAAGCUAUACUAAUUAAACAACCAAUUACCAAUGUCUAGCCUACCAUAACAGAACUAAAACAAAACUAGCUAGCAAAACAAUACUUCCGCAAAAGCCAAAUAUAUUACCAUCAAUCAUUACCAAUCAAAUUACAUCCCACAAUCAAAGAAACUGCACAAAUCCUAAAUAUUAACCAAGCAACCAUAAUUUACAAGCAGUUCACCACGUACUCCAGCAACCAUAAUUUACCAACUACAUUUCCCUCCAUUUAUCAACAAAAUCUACUUAGCUAGCUAGUGUCACUGUCUUACAUAAACUGAACUAAUUAAAGGAAACCAAAGUUCUCCAAUAAACCAAAGGCCUGUUUAUAAGAAGGACUCGAUAUGGCUAAGUGUCUCAAACCGAACCUCGUCAAGCUCAGCCUUGGAACAAAUCACUUUUCGAUUCUUGGAUGCCCACUGAAAAAUGUAAAACAAUAACAUUGAAUUAUACCUAAAUUUAUAUGUACACCAUUUAAUUAUAUCAACAAUGGAUUAGGCAAAGAAAAAUACCCUUUUAAAAAAUGUCAUUUCAUUGUCCAUGACAAUCUCUUUCAUAUACCGCAUAAUAACAUAGCCGCAUUCAGUUCCACCGGGCUGUUUAGGACAUCCCUAUUUAACCAAAAAAAACUCAAAAUAGUAAGUAAAGUAAUGCCCCUGGUUCUAAGCAUCAGUAGCACAAAUUGUUAAAAAUAAAUACGAAAGCUUACUGUAAUAUAUUUGAAGCUUGGGGCUUUAUUUCCCCUUCCGGCCUGAACAUUGAAAGUAAUCACAGCCCUGUCAUCUUGGCAGUGUUAAUAAUGCACAUGCAUUUAUAUCUCCAUAAGAAAGAUAAUCAAUAAAAAAAUAAAUGAAAAUACCUUGAUAUUGCUUUUUCCAAGUUGGGGAAACUAGUUGAACGAGGCAGAGGAUUAAGUAUGAAAACCUCGCCACCCCAAAACAGAACCAAUACCCAAUGGAAACUAUUUUUAACAAAUAUUUAUGAAAAACACAAUUACUAUCAAAAUCAUAUAAAUUUUAUUUUCAGUCAUGUAAAAAACUAAAUAAAAGAGAUUUAUAAUAAAUAAGAAAACACUUAAGCUACUUACUUGCUAUUAUGCGGCAUCAAAAAGAGACGAUCAGGAUUACCCUCUUUAAAUCGAUUAACCAAGUUAUCUUCAAAAGAAUUGUUCAUCAAGUUCAGCGAGGCUCCAGGAUCACAAAAAGCAAAUUGAUCCUUAGUGCCAUUUUCACGAACCACGCAAUGCAAGUAUCUACAUUGUAAAUGAAAUGAAAUUAUAUAAAAUUACACGAAUAUGAAUUAUAACUAAACAACAGUCAUGAUCUAGAAGACAGUAAUUAAAAAAAGUUUACUCACGCCAUGUAUGCAGCAAUUGCUGCUUGGCCAAUCAUAUUAAACUCCAGCAAGGCGACUAUGUUUUCAUACAAGAUGAAGAUUCUUUUCUCGAUACCAAACACCUCAGCAUCACACGGGAUUUGAAUUGAGUCUCCGGAGGAUUGCAUAAAUGUUGUUGCAUGUUUAUACAACAACCGAAAGCGUUUUGGAACAUUUUUAUUGAUCUCCAUGUUAUGAAACAAGGACUGGACUUUAUCUAAAUCGGUUUUAGGUUCCUUUACUUUCCGUUUACCUUUCUGAAAAAUGAACAAAAUUAAUUUAAAACAAAAUAUAACAAAAUAUAGGGGUAACAUAUAAUAGUACAAUCCAGUACAACAAUUAUGUUAAAGUACACACCAUAGUAGGAAUAGUAGGAGGGGCAUUUGGGAAUAUGAUCAAGUCGCGGGGCCAUGAGACGUACGAGCCAACAGCUUGCUCUACUGUUUCAAUCUCACCUGGUACCGGUUUAGGAAUCUUGGCUUGUCCUUGAAUUGGGCCAUCCACUGAGACGCGAACACAUCCAGGCUCUAUCGGCACUCCAUGUAUAGAUUUGUUCAUGUUAUCAUCAUCAAACAACAAACCAAAUGCCACUUUAUUUUCUAUUGUGCCUACAGCCAACUCACAUUUUCGUGGACCGGCCUACACACAUAUAUUUAAACAAUUAUGACGAAUGCUUGAAAUAUGUUGAGCUAAAUUGAAUAAAUGUGCUAGUUAUUUUACCUUAUUCUCUGGUGGAUUAGGUUCCAAGUCAACUUCAAUCAUCUCUGGUUCCAGUUUUUUCACCACCUCUGUCUUAGCUUCUUUGACAGUGUUUGCCUCACAACUUGCUUUAUCAGAAGCAAUAGGAGAUGAAAUAUUUGCUUUGCUGAGCAAGGCCUUCAUUUCAGCCAUCUCCUGCCUUGUCUUCUCCAUUUCCAUGGCCAUCUCUUUCUUGGCUUUCUCCAGCUCCGCGUCCCUCUCUCGAUCCCUCUCCAACAACUCAGCUUUGGUGAUUCUAUUUCUUCUUCCUGGUGGUAUAUUAAAAAAAAUUGACGGGCUCACAAAGCCUCCAACUCCUCGAACCCUCCCCGAAUGUUCAGGAGUUUGUAGGGCCGUAGUCAACACAUCUCGACUCCCAGAAGGAGUGAAUUCCCCCUUACUUUGCUGCUCUAGUAAAAUAUUCUGACAUGAAAAAUAUGAACAUACAAAUCAUCAUCUAGUGAACCUCAUCAUCAAUAUUAACUUUAAUUUUACGAGCCUUUUAAUUAUAAAUACUCACAAUUCUUUUUCCUAUUUCAGCUAGGUCUGAAUCCUCAUCAUCAGCAUCAUCAGCCUCAUCAUCAUCAUCAACAUUAUCAUUAUCAUCAUCAAUUUUAAUUUUACGAGCCUUUUGCCACAUGAGAGCCCGAUCAGGUUCUUCAUCGGCAGCCAAAGUUCCUUUCUUGAUCUGAUUAAAAUCAAAAAAAAAUUAAAAAGGCCAAGAUAUGUAAAAUACAAUUAUUUAGGUUCAAUGCUUAAAAUACAACUAUUUUUAUACCUCUUCUUCCAAUAAUCCAAUGUAACCCUUUCUUGAUGUCCGGUGAGGAUAUUUUCGAUUACUCACCCUCAGCUUUUGUUUUUCACUAAAAGACUUCAAAUAUUUUAAAUAAUAUUAGAAUACUAUUUUUCAGAAUAUAAAAAGACAUUUAUAUCACAAUAAAGCAGAACAUAAAAUAUAUUUCAUACCAGAAAUUUCGAGGUAGUCCUCUCAGCAACAAAAUUUUUCCAAGCCUCCUUUCCAACAAAAGCAUACUUCUUUGGAGGCUUUCGUAAUUUCUUCUUCUGCCCAAGAUACGGCCUCACAUAAUCUCUUGUUAAAUUUGCUUUAAAAUUCCUCCACUUUGCUCCUGCAGACCUGAUCAACCCCUUCUCAAGUUGCUUAGGAACUUUAAAUGUCUCCUGCAACCAAUGUUAAUUGACAAAAUUUACAAAAUUAUACUCUAAAUGAGUAGAAGAAAAUGCAAAAUUUACAAAAUGCAUAGGAGAUUACUUAUUUUUAUACCUUCACAUCAAUCCAUAUUUUCUCCUUUAGUUCAUCAGGUACCUUUGACCAGUUAGGAUAAUCAAUCGGAAUCAUUGUCCUAGCCAACAUUCCAGUGUAGGAUUGUAGACUGUGCCUUGCAUCCCCUGUAGGAACUCCAUGUGCAUUACAUGAAACCUUUGUUUUCUUGCCCUGCGCCUUCCUCACCACCACUUUAUACAUAGCAGAAACCCCUCGGGCACCCCCACGCUUUUUCUUUGCUGUUUCAGAUGUUGUAACUGUUGCAUCCGUUUCCUCCACAGAAUUCACAUUUUCUCCCUGAGGUUCUGUUGUCAGCUCCAACCUUUUAUCUGAUGCCUCAUCCGACUUUUUGGAGUCUUCAUGGAAUUGUACUUUGGUUUUUUGCUUUUUAUUUGCCAUUUAUCUUCUUCAAUCUGAAAAUGAAACAUAUAUAAUCCAUUAGUCACAGGCAUAUAUACGAGCAAUUACAGGAUAAGCAGUUAUAAAGUUACAUAAGCCUACAUAAGCCGUUACAAAAUUGUAAAAAUGCAUAACUAAACAUUUACACAGAGUGAAAAUUACAGGAGUCUAAUUACACAGAGUAAAUUACAAAGUUGCAUCACAUAUAUUACAUGACUUGAAAUAAUGUUAUCACAGAGUAAAUUACAAAGUCUCAUCACAAAAUUAACUAUUACAUGACUUGAAAUAAUGUUAUCACUUCUUAACCCAAGUGCCCUUAAUAUUUUCUCUAAUACUUUUCUCAACAUCAUCACCGACAUCACAUGUAGGAAUUUGGCAGCAGAAUGGAGGAUUUUCCAUGGUUGUGUCUCCUAAAUCAUCAUCGUUAUACACCUCUUGGUAGUCUCGAGUUGUAGAGGUUAAUACGACGGACCACUUGGCAUCCACCGGAUCUUCAAUAUAAUAAACUUGCUUUACUUGAUCUAUAGACACGUAUUUAUCUCUCUUGUGGCCUUGUCGACUUAGAUCGACAAGUGUGAACCCAAGAUCAUCCACCUUAAUUCCCUUGUCAUUGUCCGCCCAAUUACAUAAAAACAGUGGGGCUUUGAAUGCAUGAUAAUCCAGCUCCCAUAUAUCUAGGAUAACACCAUAAAAUGUCAAGUCACUUUCUACGGGGUUUAAAUCUUUAGCGCUAGACACUUGGACAGUUUUAGCAACUAAAGACACUCCGCUGUUUUGAACUACCCUCACAUUGUCUCGCUGUUUUGUAAAGUAUCGGACCCCGUCUACUAGAUAAGCUUCGUAAGUCAUAACUGAAAAUGAUGGUUUUCCAGCUAUCCAUCUUACUGUCUCUGAAACUCCUCCAGGAUUCUCCACCAUUUCACUACUGACCUACACAUUUCAUAAACAGAAAUUAUCCUAAAUUACUAUAGAGAAAAUAAAUUAGGCACAAAUGAAACUAUAAAAAUACUAACUUUUUCUAGAAACCAAUCAGCAAAACUGUUAUUGUGCUCUCUCAAGAGCCAAUGAACGCUUUUCUUUUUCCCACGAUGGAUUUCCUCUAGAUACUCCUUAUGCAUUCUGCCAAAAAUUAUAUAUUCAUUAAAGAAGUAGUUUAUACAGAAUGUAUAUAUUAAUUGAACAGCCACAAAAUUAAAAAAAUCUUACAAGAUAUAUGGCUGUACUUCAAGGUUGUUUAGAAGAACGUGUAAAUGAGCUUCAUCCCUCUCUUUUUCUUCGAUUGAUUUCAUUACCGCAACAGAUAAUGGACCACUUAACUUGCCUUCAUCUUUGCGAAGACCAGCAGUGGUGCAAGUUUGCUUGACAAACUCUUGGCAGAAUUCAAUCGAUUCUUCUCCAAGAUAACAUUCUGCUAUACAACCUUCGGGGUAGUAACGAUUGCGUACGUAACUCUUCAACACCUUAUUAAACCUCUCAAAUGCAUACAUCCAUCUAUAGAAGACUGGCCCACAUAACCGUAAUUCCCGAACCAAGUGCACUAUGAGAUGUAUCAUUACAUCAAAAAAUGAUGCAGGAAAAAUUUUUUCUAGCUCGCACAAAGUUACUAUUACAUCUGAUUGCAAUUUAUCUAGUUUAGAUACGUCGACAACUUUGCUGCAUAAAGCAUUAAAGAAGAAACACAAUCUAAUUAUUGUGACCCUGACUUUUUUUGGAAGUACCGCGCGAAUUGCAAUAGGAAGUAAUUGUUGAAGUAGGAUGUGGCAAUCGUGGGACUUCAACCCAAACAUUUUUAAUUCUUCCAUGGAAACACAGUUUUUAAUGUUUGACGCGUGUCCAUAAGGAAGUUUCAUGUGCAUUAACGAUGACAACAUCUUCUUCUUUUCUGCCUUGGACAAAUUAAAAAUCGAAGGAGGUAAAUAGGUCUUUCUUUCUCCUUUUUGUGGAGCUAGAUCAGCCCUAACCCCCAUGUCAAUCAUGUCAAGACGAGAAGCUUCACUAUCUUUAGACUUAUGUUUCAUAUUCAGUAGUGUGCCAAUCAAGCUAUCACACACGUUUUUCUCCACGUGCAUAACAUCUAGACAAUGACGGACAUGGUGAAAUUUCCAAUACUCUAACUCGAAGAAAAUUGACUUUUUCUUCCAUGGACAGUCAACCUUCUUUGACUUCCUUACUUCUUUCCCAAACUGAAAUUCAAUUUUUUCUUGCUGCAAUAAAACCUCUUCUCCCGAAAGAGGUUGACGUGCCUGCCCUAAUUCUUGUUGUCCAUUAAAAGCAGCUUUUUGCUUCCUAUAUGGAUGAUUUCUAGCCAAGUAACGUCGAUGACCUUGGUAACACAUCUUCCUACUAUGGCUUAAAUACUUUGCAACAGUAUCAUCACCACAUAUUGGACAAGACAUAUAACCUUUAUUAACACAUCCGGACAGAUUUCCAUAUGCGGGAAAGUCGUUUAUUGUCCACAAUAAAAUUGCUUUUAAAGUGAAAUACGACUUAGUGUGUGCAUCAUAGACAUUUGGUUCACCUUCCUCCCACAACUUCUUUAAAUCAUCGAUUAGAGGCUGUAAAUAUACAUCAAGGUCAUUACCAGGCUCAUGAGGACCGGGAACUAAAACUGUUAGCAUCAUAAACUUCCUCUUCAUGCAUAACCACGGAGGAAGAUUAUAAGUCACUAGUACUACUGGCCAACAAGUGUAUCUAUUGGUUAGACCGUUAUUAUGCGGGUUUAUACCAUCUGCAGACAACGCCAAGCGAAUAUUUCUUGCCUCACUACCGAAGGCAGGCCACCUAUAGUCGAUAUUUCUCCAAGAAGGAGAGUCGGCUGGAUGCCGCAUCUUUCCAUCUUCUAUUCGCUGCUUUGCGUGCCAGGUAAUCAGUUCAGAUGUAGAAGGAGAUUUAAACAUUCGCUUCAAUCUCGGAAUAAUUGGAAAAUACCACAUUAUUUUAGCAGGAACAUUAAUCCUUACUUUACCAUCCUUUCCUAACUUCCAGCGAGAUAGACUACACUUAGGACACUUAGAAGCAUCAACAUAUACCCCCCGAUAUAGUAUGCAAUCGUUUGGACAUGAGUGGUACUUUAUGUAUUCUAGGCCUAAGUUGGAUAAUGUUUUCUUGGCUUCAUAUGCAUUAGGUGGCAUCACAUUUUCCUUAGGAAGGAGAGAGCCAACAGUAGACAAUAAAUCUGUAAAGGCGCUAUCACUAAUUCCAAACCUUGCUUUCCAAUUAUGCAGUUUUAGCAUCGACUCCAAUUUGGUACAUUCACUACCCUCAUACAAAGGCUGUUGAGCAUCAGCCACAAAUCUCCUAAACUGAUACGACUCAUUAUUGUACUCACUCGAAUUAUACGCAGCAUCACAAACAUUGACUGUUUGUGAUGCAUGACCAGGGGAAUGCAUCGAUGCAGGGUCAAGCGUAGGUGCAGGGCUAGGGGCAUUGUCAUGAACUGUUGAUCCAGUGAUUCCACACCCUUGUGUGUGCCAAAUCCAAUCAAGGUAUCCCAAACUAAAACCGUAUUCAUAUAAAUGUCCCCUAAUAAUCUUAACUGCAAAUUUUUUAAAGUUAACACAUCUUUUGCAGGGGCAUGGGAUUUUUUUAGUAUCACUAGCAUUUUCCUCGGCAAAUAUUAAAAACUCUUCAACCCCGAUUUCAUAGUCAAGUGUAUCCCUAUCUUUGAAAAUCCAAGACUUGUCCAUGUUAUUCUCAAACUACCUGAUUGUCAAAUAUGAUAUCAAAUUACAUGGUAACAAAGAUCCAAACACAAUAUACAAUUACAUUUACAAACUAAACAAACACAAAUAUAUUUACACAGCUGUGCAUAAAACAUAAAAAACAAAUCCCAAGCUCUAAACAUAUAUAACACAGUACAUAAAAAAGAAACCCCAAGCUCCAAACAUAUAUAAAACAUAUAUACAACUACACGUUUAAUUUUCACAUGCAUACAUAUAACUACAAAAAGUUAUACUUGCAACCGAAACAUUUAUAUAAAUAUAAAGAAGAAUAUAGAAGAAUAUAUAUACCUAAAACCCAGCAGCUUCGAAACCCAGCACCUCCAAAAUCCAGCAGCUAUCCAGCAGCUUCGAAAACCCAGCAACUACCCUAAUCUCCAAGCUUCAAAUCUCCAAGCUUCAAAGAACCCUAAUCUCCAAGCUCCACUCGACCCUAAGCUUGAAGAUCGAACCUUAAGCUUGAACACAGCAGCUUCGAAUCGCGCACAAAUCGCACCUAGGGUUUAGAAGAGAGGGAAUCAGUUAAUAGAACAUUUGAAAGGGGGUUUAGAAGAGAGGGAAUCAGUUAUUAAACCAAGAACGAGGAUUGAAGGACUGAAGGAUUGAAGAAAAUCGCAUACCUAGGUUUAGCUGUCGAGAGAAAGGGGGAAGAGCUGCUGUCUGAAAGAAAUAUGUAUAUAUGUCCCGAUUGUUUUCUUUUGAAUGCUUUUGUUUUAAUUUUGAUUUAUUUUUAAUGUUUUUUUAUUGUUUUAUACUGAGGCGGGAGUGAAUGAUAUGUUAAAGGGGGGGAAAACAGUAGGGGGAACUAAUUAAAAAAUUGACUAAGGGCGGGGGAGCGGAGGGCGCGGGCUUUAAUAUUUUUAAAAUUGAGAUUAGACAUCGCUUAAUAAACAAUGUGAUGUGAAAAAAUUUUAAAGUGAGAGCUUAGACAUCACUUAUGUUAAGGACUGAUGUAAAGAUACCAGAAAGACAUCACAUAUAAAACGAGCGAUGUAAAAAAGGCAUUUUACAUCGGUGACACUUCCGACUGAUGUCUAAUGUGCGAUGUCUAUUGACGAAUUUCUAGUAGUCUCCAAAGGAUAUUUAUCUUUCCAUCAUGAUGCAGCAGUCUCCUUAACUGUGAAGGGAACGGAGUAUGAGGUAGCAAAGAACCUUCAUAUUUACACAGCCAUUGAUCUGUCGGGCACCUAAUUUCAGGGUCGAAUUCCAAACGUCACUGGAGAGCUUAGAUGGCUUGCAUUGCUCAAUUUAUCGCAUAAUAGUUUAACAGGACCUAUCCCAUCAUUGCUGAGAAAUAUGAAAGAACUCCAAUCUUUAGAUUUGUCCUCAAAUCGACUGACAGGGGCUAUUCCACCUCAGCUAACUGCAUUGACAUUUCUAGAGGUCUUGAACCUCUCGAAAAACCAUCUUAGUGGAGAGAUUCCUCAGAAAGGACAGUUCAGCACAUUCAACAAUGAUUCUUAUCUAGGAAACUCCGCGUUAUGUGGAUCACCUUUGACGAAGAAAUGUGCAAACACAGCAUCACCUCCACAAGAAGUCGGAAAUGGUGAUGAAGAUGAUGCUGGAGAUGAAUUGACAUGGGAAGCAAUCGUGAUGGGAUAUGGAUGUGGACUGAUAUGUGGAUUGUCAUCUGCGUACAUUGUUCUCAAACUAGGAAAGCCUUGGUGGUUUGUGAGAUAUAUCGAAGUACUGCAACUGAAGUUGAUGAAAAGAUAUGCAUGAAGAAUGGUACUGCACUACAACAAAAACAGCAUCACACAACGGUUUUUGCCCGUUGUCUGAUACCCAAGAAAACCGUGGUCUAUUGCGAUGCCGUCUGAUACGCGCCUCAGACAACGUUUUAUUAGUUAAAGGCUUGUCUAUAAGGCCAUGCUACGAUGGUAACAAAAACACUUGUAUGUUAGCUUCCUGGUCACACAACACUGUAUGGAACCCUUGUUUAAACGGCUCGUAAACAACACAACAAAUAAAACACUUGUCUAAUUACAACAACGGUUUCUUGAAAUAUUGUCUGAAGUUUCUUCACACAUCGGCUCUAAAAACAGUUGUCUAACGUGCAUCAUUACACAAUAUCACAGUUAAGAUACCGUUGUCUGAUUGAAUUUACUAGACAACACUUUUUAAACCGUUGUAGGUUGUAGGUGUUGGACAAUAGUUUUUCGAGGACGAAAAUAAAGUGUUGUGUCUUUGUUUCGGCCAACACUUUUUCCAGCGUCCGUUGUCUGACUAGUGUCGUGUGAUGCCAGUUUUGUUGUAGUGCUGGUUGAUCCAGACGAACUAGAAAGUUGUUGUCCUGGUAGACAUUUCUGAACCAUUUGUGUCCUGGCUGAAUAAGUAUUUGGUAUUAUGUAAUAAUCCGUUUGGUUGGGACUCAAAAUGAUUUCUCUUGCUUCAGGGGUAUUAAUAUUAACCUUCCUAUCUUGAUCAAUGUUAAAUCAAAUUAAAUGAAUGAAAAAACAAAAAGUAUGCAUCAAAUCCGCUCCUGCUGUACCUAACAAUUUAACAGCACCCUUCCACACUGUUCAUACCUAAUUUGCGUGUAAUAUGAAAACUAAGAGGCAUGGCUUUUGUCUUUGAGAGAACUUAUUCCAAGUCUUCUUCGGAGGCCUACUGCCUCAACAACCUUUCAAAGACUAUGCAAUAAUCCACGUGACAGAAAAACCAAAGUCCAAUUAGUAUUAUAAGUUCAUAAAAAAUACUAUAGGAUCAUUAGCAUUAGCAUUACAUUAGCAUACAGCAUAUAUAUAAAUAGAAGAAUGCAGUGUGGUAUUGGAUUCAUAAUCCAAUUGAGCAGAAACAUGGCACACUUUGUAAAGCCUUAUGACCUUCUUCUCUGUGUUUUCUUUCUCUCAUCACUUGAAUCCAUUCUUGCAACAAGACGAGAAGGAGAAGCUCUUGUGAAAUGGAAGAACAGCCUAGCCCCGUCUUCUUCUCUUGAUUCUUGGUCACUCACUCAUCUCGAUAAUCUUUGUAACUGGACUGGCAUUACUUGUAACUCUGCAGGUUCAGUCUCUGACAUUAACCUUUUCAACAAACAACUCACUGGAAAGCUUUUCGAGUUUGGUUUCACUUCAUUUCCGAAUCUCAACAAUCUCACCCUCGCAGAUAACUUCUUCUCUGGUCCAAUACCAUCAGCCAUUGGGAAUUUAACACAGCUUCAAUAUCUUGAUUUGAGCAAUAAUUAUCUCAAUGGUUCCAUUCCGUACCAGGUUAGCCAUCUUUCAAAAUUACACGUCUUAAACCUGUCAGAGAAUGAACUGCAAGCUCCAAAUUGGUCCAAUUUCUCCCCCAUGCCUUAUUUGACCAUCCUCGACCUUUAUCAGAAUAAUCUUAUGUUGGAAUUUCCAGAAUUUAUAUCUAACUCGCGUAACCUGACAUACCUUGACCUUUCAUAUAACAAGUUCACAGGCGAUCUUGUGCGCGAAUCAGUAUUAGCCAAUCCAGGUGAUCUCGAAACCCUCUAUCUUAAUGAAAAUUCUUUUGGGGGGCCAUUUCCACCAGACAUAUUCAAACUUUCCAAGUUGAGAGUUCUUGCCCUGUUCAAUAAUCUUUUUGAGGGGCCGCUUCCGUCAAAUAUAUUCAAGCUCUCUAAACUAAGAUUCCUUUUACUUUGGAGUAAUAAUUUUUCAGGUACUCUUUCGAAUGAAAUAGGUUUGCUUUCUGAGCUUGAAGACCUAGAUCUUCACUCCAAUUUUUUUGUGGGGCCGCUUCCGCCAAAUAUAUUCAAGCUCUCUAAACUAAGAACCCUUUUCCUCUUGGGUAAUAACUUCUCAGGUUCUAUUUCCAACGACAUAGGUUUGCUUUCUGAGCUUGAACACCUAUAUCUCGACUCCAAUUCUUUUGAGGGACCUUUUCCAACAAAUAUUUUCAAGCUUUCCAAAUUAAUACAACUUGGUCUCGCAAACAAUACAAAUUUAUUUGAAGGAAGUAUUCCUCCAGGACUGGGGCUCUUGACUAACCUAGAGGACUUGUCUCUUGCUUACAAUAAUCUUGGUGGCUAUAUUCCGUCUUCCUUUGGAAACCUAACACUACUAGUAUAUCUUAAUCUCGCUCGUAAUCAAUUGGUUGGAACACUAUCAAAGACCAUUUCUAAUCUCACAAAUCUAUGGUUUCUUGAUGUACAUCAUAAUAGUCUCUCUGGGAAUAUUCAGAGUGACUUCUGGAAAAACUCUACAUCACUGCGUUACAUUAAUUUGGCAGACAAUAAUUUUUCUGGGAACAUUCCUAAGGAAUAUAAUGUUCUUCCAAUCCUGGAUCACAUCAAUUUUAGGGGGAACAAUUUUACAGGUAUUUUUCUUUCCAUAUUUUUUCCUUCUGUUGUAUUCAAUUAUGCUAGAAACUACAGCCUCUGUUUUUUCAAAUACAUAUCGUUUAACUUUUUGGCACAAAACUUUAUAAUAAUUCUAACUAAAAGGUCAAUGAACUCAAAAAUGUGUGUCAAAAAGUCAAACGUCAUUUAUCUGAAAUCAGAGGGAGUAUAUAUUACUGUUUUACCAAAGUUUCAACAAUCAUGACAGGUGAGCUUCCACCAACAAUUUGCGAUGCCACUUCCCUUUCGAUUCUUGAUCUGUCAAAUAAUGGAUUUAGUGGUGCAGUUCCACAUUGUUUGGGGAAUCUUGCGGAUAAAUUGAUUUCGAUUAAUCUUGCUAAUAAUCAGUUUCAAGGACCAAUACCAACAAAUUUCUCCGAGAGUUGUCGUCUGACGUAUCUUAACAUCUAUAACAAUCACUUCAAAGGUUUGGUUCCCCAAUCUUUGGCAAACUGUAAGCACUUGCAAAUUCUUGAUUUUGGAAAAAAUGAAAUAGGUGGAACACUUCCGUCAUGGUUUUUUACUCUUGGAGAGCUAGAAGUCCUGAUCCUGCGAUCAAACAGAUUUUUCGGGAGAAUAACUAGAAGGAGCAUACCACGCCCCUUUCCCAAGUUGCGGAUUUUGGAUCUAUCCAACAAUCAGUUCACCGGCUAUCUGCCAAUUUUAUACUUCAAGAAUAUGAAACCAAAUGAUAAUAAUUAUGAUUAUUUCAACAACACAAACGAAGCCUAUUACGUUUAUCAAGUUUCUAUCACAUUAAAUGUGAAAGGAAGCGAGCAUGAAGUGACAAAUAUUCUUCAUAUUUACACGGCCAUUGAUCUGUCGUGCAACAAAUUUGAAGGAAAAGUUCCAGACAUUACCGGAGAGCUUAGAUGGCUUGCAUUGCUAAAUUUAUCUCAUAAUAGUCUUUCGGGGCCUAUUCCAUCACAACUGGGAAAAAUGAAAGAGCUCCAGUCUCUAGAUUUGUCGUCAAAUCAAUUGACAGGUGUUAUUCCGGAUCAACUUACUAGUAUGACAUUUCUUGCUAGUUUGAACCUCUCAGAAAACCAUCUUUCUGGGAAAAUCCCUCGGAAAGGACAGUUCAGCACUUUUGGCGAAGAAUCUUACUUAGGUAAAUCGGCCUUGUGUGGAGUUCCUUUGACAAAGAACUGUAUAGACGAUGUGCCACCUUCACAAGUUGGAAAUGGCAAUGAUGAAAAUGUUGAUGAAGAUGAUACCGUUGAUGAAUUCAAUUGGAAAGUGAUCCUGAUGGGAUAUGCAUGUGGAUUAAUAGGCGGAUUGUCUGCAGGAUACAUUGUCUUCACAGUCGGAAAGCCUUGGUGGUUUUUGAGAUACAUUGAGACACUGCAGCAGAAGUUGAUCUGAUGCGCAACUAGAAACAACGUUAUAAUCUUAGAAUGACUUGUGUCUUUAAACAGAGUUAGGAACUUAGGAUGACUUGUGGUGCUAUAUUUUUUUUUUGAAAAAAAAAAACAUAUUUUUGUAAUUUUUUAGAUACAGAUGUUAAGAAGGUGUUGUAUAUUCAUUUUUUACCCAAAAAAAAAAAGAGGGCUUAUUUCAUGAAAAUUAGAGUUUUAUGUAUUUUCUCCAGAAAUUAGUCCUUAUUUCUGAAAAUAAGGUUAGUCAAAACGGUCACUACACGAUUGGUAGCCUUUCAGUUCUUCCUAGUGUCCACUACAGUUUCAUUCCUUACCAGUUAUUUUAUGCUCUGCACUGCAUUAUGCAGCUUUCAUAUUACUGACAGCUAAUCUCCUUCCAACACUUUGCGAUGCGAAGCAGGGACGCAUAAGUAUUUUUAUAUGUGUAUUAGUUUUGAAGAUUAAAGUUGCAUGGACAAUUGUGUUGAUAAUUUGAGCAAUGUUAACCGGGAUAGGUCUUCUUCUCUCUCCCAAGUCUUCUGAGGACUCAUCGGCUCAGAUUAGUCUAUCCAAAAAUUAUGAUCUGACGGCUAUUGGCACACUAACGAUUUACAUAUCACUUGAAUAUUACUGGAUACCCGCAUCUUGUUUUAAAUGGCGUAUAUCGGCUAAUAGUUCAACGAUGGUGACAAAUCCCGGUGAUCCAAAUAAUUGAUUGUCGCAAAAUUUUCCGCUUACAUCCAACUAACACGUAUUAGGAAAAAAAAUUAUAUAAUUAAACACGCUCAUGUAUCUAUAUCUUUUACAAGAUUGUAAGUCCCCAAUUCUAUGUGAUAUUAGCUAUAUGUGACUAGAAGGUUUAGAAAUACUAGAUUAUCAAGAUUUCUUUUUAUUCUAGCUAGUGUUGAGUUAUAUUUAUUUUCUUCAAACAAUCAAUACUUAUUUUUUAUUAAUAUGUGAAACUCCAAUAUAUAUUAUUAUACGAUAUAUUAUGAAAACACUAUAUUUUGUAAUGUUCAUCUUAUCCUACCAGCAAAAUUACAUCGCUAACAAAAUUAUAUCAAUUUUAUUUUAUAAACUCAAAUAAUUUAAUUUAUGAAACAACUCUAUGAGAUUCUUAUCAUGAGUUAGAAUUCAAAUAAAUAAAGAGUUCAUAUUGAUAAGUGGAAUUGAUGUGCAAGUAAGGGGUAUAAAAAAAUCUCAAAAUAACUCCAAAAAGCACAUGACAUGUUUGAUUUAAUAGAACUGGUACAUAAACAGGGGGACCAUUAUAUUUAUAAGCAAGUGACCAACAAUAGUUUACUACUGAUAUUUUGUGAUAUUUUUUGUGAUAUUUUUUGAGACCUUUAACAUUAUUCUGUGAAGUGGUAUACUACUGUUACUAGUUCUGAAACUUCAAACAAAGUAGGCGCAACAUUGUAAGAGUGAUUAAUAAAGUUGAGAAACAGUGUGUACAUUGAGCAGUAUGACAAUCAGGUUCAGCAUAUAAUACAAUCAGAUUCACAAUCAGGUUCACGAGAAACAUGCUGCAUUCCAAAAAGCCUUAUUAUCUUCUUCACUAAAUAACAAGGCAAAUACAGCAUAUAAAUACAAGUUAUAAGUACAAGUGUGGUAUUAGAUUCAUAACCCAGUUGAGGAGAAACAUGGCACACUUUGUAAGGCCUUCUCACCUUCUUCUCUUUGUUUUCUUUCUCUCAUCACUAGAAUCCAUUCUUGCAACAAGACGAGAGGGGGAAGCUCUUGUGAAGUGGAAGAAUAGCCUAGCCCCUUCUUCUUUUCUCCACUCUUGGUCACUCUCCAAUCUCGAAAAUCUUUGCAACUGGACUGGCAUUACUUGUAACUCUGCAGGUUCAGUCUCUGAGAUUGACCUUUGUGAGAAACAACUUGAUGGAAUGCUGUCCGAGUUUGGUCUCACUUCAUUUCCAAAUCUCAACAAUCUCACCCUCGCAGACAACUUCUUCUCAGGUCCAAUACCACCAGCCAUUGAGAAUUUAACACAGCUUCAAUAUCUUGAUUUAAGCAUGAAAAGUCUUAAUGGUCCCAUUCCGUUCCAGGUUAGCCAUCGUCAGAGCUUGCUCAUCUUAGACCUGUCACAGAAUGCAUUGCAAGCUUCAAAUUGGUCCAAUUUCUCUCCCAUGCCUCAGUUGCGCUUCCUCAAGCUCAGUAGCAAUCAUCUUGUGUCGAAAUUCCCAAAUUUUAUAUCCAGUUCUCAUAGCCUGACUUACCUCAACCUCUCAUAUAACAUUGGAAACCUCAAAAAAUAUAUAUUUAUAUAUUUAUAAUUAAAAAAUUGAAUUACUUAAUAUAUUAAAAAAUUGAAUAAAAUUUUAUAUAUUUUAUUAAAAAAUUGAAUAAAAAUUGAAUAAAAUUGAAUAAAAUUGAAGUACACGAAAAGGUACACGACACGAAAUACACGACUGAGAAGUCGUGUCGGUUUUGUGUUUACCCUUCGGGUACACGACACGAGGUACACGAAAUAAAUAAAUAAAUAUAUAUAUAUAUAUUUACCCUUCGGAUUAAGAGUUGGUCGCGGACAAAUUCAAAGUUUCCCAAUUAUCCUUUAUUUUAUGUAACUUUGCUUAUGUUUAAGCCUAAAUUUGGACAAUAUUUGUAAAAUAUUAAUAUUUCGUGUACUAAUUCGUUACCAGUUUCGUGUAUUUUUUCGUGUAUAUUUCGUGUUUUCGUGUUUUCAUGUACUAUUUCGUAUCGUGUCGUUUUCGUGUACAUGAAAAAAUUCGUGUACUACAGUUCGUGUCGUUUUUACCUGUUUCUAAAUCGUGUCGUGUUCGUGUUUACAAUCGUGUACACGAAUUGAAUUCGUGUCGUGUUCGUGUAUACCCACCAGAUACACGAAACACGAAAGUACACGACACGUUUAUACACGACACGAACGAUUUGCCAGGUCUANGAAACACGAAAGUACACGACACGUUUAUACAUGACACGAACGAUUUGCCAGGUCUAUUCAAACCUAGCAAGUAACCAAGAGGGGGCAAACUCCACCAGAGACAAAUCAAAGACCAUACCUGAGUAUUGCCAACAUAACAUUACAAACUGGCAGGUGAAAAAUAUGUGAAUAAGGUCUUCGUCACCAGAGUUACACAUGGGACAGUCAAGAGAAAGAUUUACUCCCUUAGAUUGUAAUCGACUUUUCACAGGCACAUUAUUCCUGCAAAAACGCCAUAAAAACACUUUGAUCUUAAGAGGAACCUCCAACUGCCAGAGUUUCUUCCACCCACUAGAUUGUGUAACAGUGCCAGUGCCAAUAUUUUGGGCAUGCCAAAACUGGUAACCUGUUUUCACAGAAUUUUGGCCGUUAGUAGUCUUUGACCAAGCUAGAUGAUCCACGGUCGACCUAUAGGGAACAGAAGUUUUUAAAAAUUAUGUAAUUCAUUCAAUUCCGUAUCAGACAAUACAUCUUAUCAUCGGUGAUAAUGGAAAUAGUGUAGAUGUUUGACCUAGUCCAUGUUUGACAACCAAUAUAAUAAGAAAUAAAUUCUUAUUUUUCUAAAAAAUAUAUUUUUGUAUAUAAAUGUUAAAGAGAUAUUUCUUAUUUGUUGUUUGAAAAAAGUAAAGACUUAUUUCAGAAUAAAUAAAAAUUAUUGUACAUUCUCUUUAUUUUUAAAAAUAAGUUUGGUCAAAUCGCCCAUAAUUCUCGUAAUUCAAAAGCCCAUUAUUUUUUUUUUUCUUGCUAAUUGAUCAGCACACGCACACGUUUCCAACUUCCCGCAAAGGGUACCGGAGUACCACCACACCGACGCUUUGUUGGGCCCAAUAAUUGGCUGAAGUUGAACGGGGCUUUCUGCCUCCGCUGGACCCCAGUUGGGAGGACUCUUUCCAAGUCUUUCGGAGACUCUUUCCCAUUGACUCCAACUUUCCAGGGUGUAUACAAAUUUUUUGAAAGAGGGUGUAUACAAAUUAUUCACGGCCAUCAAAUUAACCAGCGUAGCUGGUGAACAAAUAUUAUUGUUUAUUAUAAUUUUAUUUAAUUUAAAUGUGAUUAUAAAGAACAUAAGAGGACGUUUGAAAGUGUGGGUCUUAUUUCAAACAGUAGAUUUCAAAAAAUAUGAUUUCAAUUGUUAUUUAAAAUUCUUAAAUUUAUAUUAUAUUAAAAUGUUCUUAUCUAUACUAUACUAUUAAAACCGAAACAUUAAAAGUUUGGUCGGUCGGUACUUGGGCCGAUAUAUGGGCCUAUCUAUAUAACUAAUUAUUUUUUUUUAAUUUUGGGCCGAAAUACAGGCCUGUCUAUAUAAUCAAUUAUUCUUUUUAACUAAAAUAUGUUAUCUUUUUUACUAUUAAAGCCAAAACAUUAAAAAUUUGAUCGGUCGGUACUUGGGCCGAAAUAUGAGCGUAUCUAUAUAACUAAUUAUUUUUAUUUUUUUUUAUUUUUGGCCGAAAUACAGGCCUAUCUAUAAAAUCAAUUAUUCUUUUUAACUAAAAUAUGUUAAUUUUUUUUACUAUUAAAGCCGAAAUAUUGAAAGUUUGGUCGGUCGGUACUUGGGCUUCUAGGCCGAAAUAUAGGCCUAUCUAUAUCAUCAAUUAUUCUUUUAAACUAAAAUAUGUUAUCUUUUUUACUAUUAAAAUCGAAACAUUGAAAGUUUGAUCGGUCGGUACUUGAGUCGAAAUACGGGCCUAUCUAUAUAACUACUUAUUAUUUUUAACUUGGGCCGAAAUACAGGCCAAUCUAUGUAAUCAAUUACGCGGUAUUCUUUUUAACUAAAAUAUGUUAUUUUUUUAACUAUUAAAGUUGAAAUAUUGAAAGUUUAGUCGCUCGAUACUUGAGCCGAAAUACGGAUCUAUCUAAAUAACUAAUUAAUUUUUUUUAACUUUGGAUGGAAAUACAGCCCUAUCUAUAUAAACAAAUAUCUUUUUAACUAAAAUAUGUUAUCUUCUUUAUACUUUCUAACUAAAAACUCAAUCUUCUAAAUGAACAUGGAAGAAUAUAGUAAUUAUCUUUUUAACUAAAACAAAUUAUCGUCUAUUAAAUCAAAUUAUAACAAACUAUCCAUAAACAUCCUUAAUUUAUAACAAAUUAUUAAAUAUUUUUUAUCAUCUACUAAAUCAAAACAUUAAAAAUUAGAUUACCAUUAUGGAUCAGUAUUUGAAUUACGCUUCUCUUUAACUUAUAAUAUGUUUUAUACUAUAUUAUUAACUAUUAAUAACUAAAUAUUAAAACGCUGAUUGGGUUGUUUCUAUCUGGGUUUACGGGUCUCCUCAAAUUAUAAUCCCUCCGUUCUUAAAUAUCUGCCUUUUGACUUUUUGGCACGCAUGUUAAAGUGUUUUGAAUUUAUAGUAAAAAUAUUAUUUUUAAAUUUCUUUUUCUGAAUAAAAAUUUUAUAUCAAUACUUUUAUUCAUAAAAAGAAAUAUUUGAAAAUAACAUUUCUAGCUAUGUGGUCAAAAUAUCUUAAAAUGUGUGCGAAAAAGUCAAAAGGCAUAUAUUCAAGAACGGAGGGAGUAACAUGUAAAAAAAAUUAUUUUAACAUUAUCAUUAAAAAAUUAUAUAUUUGACCUAAUUAUAAAUUAACUAUUUGAAGGAAUAAACUAUUAAGAAUUUAUUUAGCUGCUAAAUAAAAGUUUUUUUAAUAACAUUAUUCUAUCACAAUUUUACUUUCAAUAAAAUUCGUUAAAUCUAAAAUAUAUGCGAUGAAAUAACAAAUAUUAAAACCGCCCGUGCAUUGCACGGGUUUUAAGCUAGUUCUAAUUAAUGAGUCACUAUUCGUAUUCUCAAGCAUGUUAGUUUGUUAAAAUUUAAAAUUUCAAAUGAAAUUAGGCUAAAAGACCAUAAUAUCAAAUCAAAAUCUCAUUAUCCAAUAUAUUGGUGGGCAAAAAUAUUAAACCUGGCUAUUCAUUAAUAUUGGUUCUUUAUUCAAAUUAUGUCAAAUUUAUAUAAAAUUUCGAAAAUUAUUUAUGAAUAAGAGUCGGCAUUCAUAUAUUUAUUAAGGAUACAAGUGAGAAAAUGUUAUUAAAUUAAUAUUUUUUAAUAUACGUAAGUUUUUUAAAAUAAAUUUGUAGCGUGGGACGGGAGUAUUAGACUGAUUCUGGCUUGGAGUGAAUCAGCCCAUAAAGUUUACAGGGUAGAUGACCAUUCUUAAAUCUUAAAGAAUCUUACGGUGACAGCUAACUGAACGACUCGGUUUCAGAAGUGCUGAAAAGUUUCGACGUAAACUACAAUUUGCCUAGCAUGUAAUUUCCAUGCAUUUUCUCGUUACGAGUAGGUUUGUCCGGAAGUACAAUUCAAAAUAGAGUGCUGUUAAAAAAAAUUGAGUUACUUAUUCAAUAACUUUUUUGAUAUUUAUAUAUUUUUAAUUAUAAUAAAGAUACUAGUGAUUAUGGUUAGCUUUUGGAGUACUUUUGGAGUACUUGGAAAUUUUCUUUUCGAGAAAAACGAGAGUACCUAUUUCAAUUUUUUACCAAAAAUUAUAAUUGAAAACAACGGACUUUUAUACUUAUCAUAACAAUUUUUAACAUCUUGUUUAGAAAUAACCUGUUGUUGUAUUAUGCAAAAGUAAUAUCACUAGUUUCUAUAUCCGUAUUCUAAUGAUAAUAAAAACAUCUCUAAUUCAUUAAAACUCUUACAUAGAAAUUGAUAAAAAAAGAAGAUAUAAAAUAAUUUAUUAAAAAUAUAUCAAAGUUUUUGCACUCGGUUAUAAUUAUUGUGUAAUUUUUUUUUUCAAUUCCAAGAUAUUGUUAUAAGAAAAUUUUACAUCAUAUAUAUAUUACAAAAAAAAUUAAUGUAUUAUAUAUAUAUAGGGUCCUACUCUGGUACAAACCUUUUUAGCGUACAAACUACAAACCAAAAUUAAAAAGUCUCUAAAUCAAAUCAGAAUAUAGCACAUAUGGUAUGGAAAUUGAUCGUUGCGAGAUGAACAAAAAUAAUGAUUAUAAAGUUUGUAUUUGAGCCAUUAUAUAUAUACUUACAAUAAAAGUAAUAAUAUAUUAUAUUCUAAAUAUAGUUAACCACUGCAGUUGGUCGCUUAUAAAUAGAAGUGUGCAUUAUAGGAUGAAACGUACAUCAAGCUGAGGAGAAACAUGGUACACUCUGCAAAGCUAUAUCAUCUUCUUUUACUUGUUUUCUUUUCCUCCUUACUUCCAUCCAUUCUAUUGGCAACAAGACGAGAAGGAGAAGCUCUUGUGAAAUGGAAGAAUAGCCUAGCCCCGUCUUCUUUUCUUGAUUCUUGGUCACUCUCCGAUCUCGAUAAUCUUUGCAACUGGACUGGCAUUACUUGUAACUCUGCAAGUUCAGUGUCUCAGAUAAAUCUUUCCCAAAAACAGCUCGAUGGAACGCUGUCCGAAUUUGGUUUCACUUCAUUUCCGAAUCUCGAAAAUUUGACUAUAAGAGACAACAGCUUCUCCGGGCUAAUACCACCAGGCAUUGCGAAUUUAACACAGCUUCAAUACCUUGAUUUAAGCUACAAUUAUUUCAGUGGUUCCAUUCCGUACGAGGUUAGCCAUCUUCAGAGAUUACGUGUUUUAGACUUGUCGUAUAAUGAAAUGCAGGCUCCAAAGUGGUCUGACUUCUCUCCCAUGCCUUUUAUGAGCAUCCUCAACCUACGGGCCAAUCAUCUUGUGUCGAAAUUCCCAGAAUUUAUAUCCAAUUCUUUUAGCCUGACUUUCCUUGACCUUGGAGACAACAAGUUCACCGCUGAUCAUCUUGUGCUCGAAUCAGAAUUUACCAAUUUGCAAAAUCUUGAAACGCUGUUUCUUGAUGGUAAUUCUUUUGAGGGGACGUUUCCACCGAAUAUAUUCAGGCUUUCUAAAUUAAAAUACCUUUCCCUAUCUGCUAAUAAGUUUUCAGGUUCUGUGCCGGAUGACAUAGGGAUGCUUCGUGAUCUUGAAUCCCUUUAUCUUGGUAACAAUUCUUUCAAAGGGAUGCUUCCACAAAAUAUUUUCAGACUUCCCAAAUUACGGGAUCUUUCCCUCUGGGGUAACAAUUUUUCAGGUCUUAUUUCAGAUGAUAUAAGGAUGCUUUCUAACCUGGAAUCUCUUGAUCUUAAUGGUAAUUCUUUUCAGGGUCCGCUUCCACCAAAUUUCUUCAAGCUUUCCAAAUUAAGACAUCUCGCCCUCUCAAAUAAUAAAAGAGUAUUUAAAGGAAGUAUUCCUCUUGGGUUGGGGCUUUUGACUAACCUUGACUACUUAUGUCUUAAUUCCAAUUAUCUCACUGGCUACAUUCCAUCUGACAUUGGAAAUCUAAAGCUACUAGAACAUCUUGAUCUCAGUUUUAAUCAAUUGACCGGACCGCUCCCAAAGAUCAUUUCUAACCUCACUAAUCUAACGCGUCUUGGUCUGAAUGAUAAUUGGUUUUCCGGCAGUAUUCCAAGUGACUUCUUGGAAAACUCUACAUUAUUAUUUUACAUUGAUCUUUCAAACAAUGAUCUGUCUGGAAGCAUUCCUAAGGAAUUCAACGUUCAUCCGACAUUGGAUUAUAUCAAUUUAAGUGGAAACCGUUUUAGAGGUCUACUUCUCUCUUUAAAUUUUUAUGUUCGUUUUGUAUAUGCUAGUAACCUGAUUAUUACACUUUUACUGAAGCUUCAACAAUUCUAACUGCAGGCAAGCUUCCAGCAACGAUUUGCAAUGCUACAUCCCUUUCGACUCUUGUUCUGUCAAAUAAUGAAUUCAGCAAUGCACUUCCACAUUGUUUGGGGAAUCUUGCUGAUCAACUUCUUUCCAUUAAUCUUGCUAAUAAUUUGUUUCGAGGACCAAUACCAACAACUUUCUCUAAGAGUUGUCGGCUGACAUAUCUAAACAUGUACAACAAUCACUUUGAAGGGUUGUUGCCGCAAUCUCUGGCAAACUGUAAGCACCUACAAAUUCUUGAUAUUGGAAACAAUGAAAUAGGUGGUAAAUUCCCGUCAUGGCUGUUUACUCUUGGAGAGCUGGAAGUCCUAGUCUUGCGAUCAAAUAGAUUCCACGGUCCAGUCAAUGGAACAAGCUCAGCAAAUUUAUUCCCCAAGUUGCGGAUUGUUGAUCUCUCCAACAAUCAAUUUACAGGCGAUUUACCAAUUCAGUAUUUUAAGAAUAUGAAACCAACAGAUAACCACUAUAGUUAUUUUUAUACAGAAAGUGGUUUUUACUAUCAUCAAGCAUCGAUCUCAUUAACUGUGAAAGGAAGAGAGUAUGAAGUGAAAAAGAUCCUUCAUAUUUAUACAGCCAUAGAUGUGUCAUGCAACAAAUUUCAGGGAGAAAUUCCCGAGGUUAUUGGAGAACUUAAAUGGCUUGCAUUGCUCAAUCUAUCACAUAAUAGUCUUAUUGGACCUAUCCCAUCACAGCUCGGAAAUAUGGAAUCACUUUUAUCUCUAGAUUUGUCUUCAAAUCAUUUGACAGGGGGUAUUCCCGAUCAGUUGAUUAGGUUGACAUUUCUAGAGGUCUUGAACCUCUCGGAAAAUCAUCUGACAGGGCCUAUCCCCCAAAAAGGACAGUUCAGCACAUUCAACAAGGAUUCUUACCUAGGUAACUUUGCCUUGUGUGGAUUACCUUUAACUAAUAACUGUACACACACUGUGUCACCACCACAAGAAGGCGGAACUGGUGACAAUGAUGCCUAUGAUGAACCCGAUUGGGAAGUGAUCCUCAUGGGAUAUGGAUGUGGACUAAUAUGCGGAUUGUCCACAGGGUACGUUGUCUUCACAUUCAGAAAGCCUCAGUGGUUUAUGAGAUACACUGAAAGCGUGCAACAGAAGUUGAUGAGAUGAUGCAUGUUGAGUACCGUUCAAUCAUGAAGCACAACUGGAAACAAUGUUAUCUUAGGAAAACAUGUGUUCUGAACCAGUAGUGUUUGCACAAAAUUUGUGGUGCUAUGUAAUACUUAUAUAAUUGUACGUAUGAUUAUUGAUUAGUCGUUGAGAAAAUGCAUUUUAUUUCAGUGUCAAUGAUAAUCUACAUGUUUUGGAUACUUCCAGCUUCUCAUACUAAUAUAGGAACCACUUGAAAAAUUUUGGACAGGCUCUGAGGAUGCUAAUGCUGCUGUUUAGUUUCUACCGCGGAAUUGACUUUAGCAUAUACUCGUAUGACAUAUUACUAGAUAUAUGGUUGUUAAAUAAAAUUAUCUUUUUGUGGAAUAAAUAGGAAAGCAAAAUCAUAGAAUAAUGUAUGUUAUAUAGGAAGGUAUUGUCCUCUUAGAUAGGUAUCAUUUAUGCCUCAUUGGCAUGUCUCAGAAAACUUUUGGGUUAACACAAUGUUUACUUAGAGCAUUGCCAUUCCUUAAAUAUAAUAUAAAAUAUUGGAUCUUAGUGACUUAAGAUGAUAAUAGCUAUUCGCACCUCCAACAAUAUUCCUUAUAUUCAUUCCUUAUAUACUAUUUUAUUAUUAAAAGUUACCAUUAUUGCAAUAGGUGAAAAGAGAGAACAUGUUUGUAUUCAAAAUUUAUUGUAAAAUAAUAUUUAGGAGAGGAGAGAGGUUACCUAAAGAUAAGGCAUGGCUAGUUAUUUAGAGAAUCACUAGGAUACUGUUGGAGUGGAUUAUUUUCCCAUAUUACUCAUAUUUUGGUUUAAGAUUCCUAAUAGGGAAGCUGCUGGAGUUGCUCUUAGAGCAUCUCCAAGAGAUUCUUCAUUUAAGCUCCUAACUUGAGAUUUGAGUAGGGAGAGGAAAAAUGUUGCUCCAAGAGACUCUUAAGUGGCUCUUAAAUCACUAAGAGCCUCUUGUUUCUCUCUCCUCUCUCCUCAAAGUUAAGAGCCACCACAUUGCUCCUAACUUAUUUUUUCACAAUAAAAAAAUCUUUUCCUCCAAUUCAGCUCCAUCUUUCCAUCUCUUUUGUUAUAGUGGAGCCCAAUAUAUGAAUAAAAUAUGAAAUAGAGAAGAGAUGUAGAGAGUAUUGUUGGAGUUUACACUCUUAACUUUGUCUUAAAUUGCUAAGAGCUAUUUUUUUAUAUUAUAUUUAGGAGCCAAUAAGGAGGCUCUUGGAGAUGCUUUUAGUACUAAUUGUUAGAAUAUGAAAAUGCAGUUAUGAACUAUUAUGCUAGAGAGAGAAAAAUUCAACAAACUUCAUUUCUGUAAACUACAACUAUUAGUCUGUUACAUUGCUGAAAGCUACAUUUAUACAUUUACAGUUUACAACAAACUAUGAAACUGAUUUUCCCGCGUCCUCCUCACUUGUCCACGUGGCCUGACUGGCUUGGUGUCCUUGACACUCUUUAUUAUUGCUAAUAUAUACUUAACACUAAUACCUCAAAGCAGGGUAUAAAUUCAAUAGCACAGCUUCUGGAUAAUGGAAAUUUAGUUAUCCAGAGGUCUUGGUUUUACAUAUCACUUGUAUAUUAUGUCUCGGUCUCAUUGAAGCAUACCAAACGAGAUUUUGGGUUUGUUAAUAUUUUUUUAGUCCAAAUUUGAAUAAUACUGUUAUGCUUAUUCACACGGUAGACGUGUUUUUAUUAAAAUACUGCAACUGAAAUUGAUGAAAACAUGCACAAAGCAUAGCAGACGAAAGACUUGAGGAGAUAUUGUCUUAGGCGAUGCAAUACGUUCUAAUAUAAUGCUAUAUUAUGCAAUCUCGUUUAAUACUUUCAUCAUUAUUCUCCAAGAUGUCUGAACAUGUAUUUUCAAAGAAUUCUCAGUUCACCUUUAGUCUUAUAGCGACAUUUUGAAGGCACUCUCAACUUACACCCUAUAUAUACACGUACGGUUCACUUCAGUACAAAGAUUUUAUGAUACAACUCUCAUAUUAUGAACUAGUUCUGUCGAAUACAUGAAUAUUGAUCAAUCAUUUGAACUCGAGUUUCCCAGCUGGCCAGAUACCCAGAUUAUUAGCCAUGCAAAACAUGCAGAACCACUAGUAAUGCAGAAAAACAAUAUAUUAGUUUUCUCCGGUGUUACAGAAAUCAGGAAUCGGACCUAAUCGGUUUAGCUACCGAUUUAGGGAUUAAUAGGAAAUAGGGGAUUAAUCGGAGUGAAAAUCGGAUUUAUUUUAAUAUUAAAAUAUUAUUUAAUAUUUAGUUAUUAUUAUAUUAGCUAUUUAGUAACUAAUAUAUUUACUAUAUUCAUAAACUCUAUAAUUAUUCGUAUUGAAAGUAAUAUAGUAUUUUAAUUUUAAUAAUUUACUAUAUAUACUUCGAUUAAGAAAUAUAUAUAUAAGGAUUAAUCGGAUUUCAAAAAUCGAAUCGGUGGCCAACCUUGCAGAGGAUUAAUCGGGGAUUAAUUGGUUGAAUCGGGGAUGUUUAGAACACUGGUUUUCUCCAAAUAUCACUACAACAAAACUGCCAUUUUACGACGGAAAUCUAAUAUUCUAAAGGGUUACGACCAAACUAUGUCGGUGGACUUUAUUUUAAUUUACCGUUUAACAGUAGUUAAUUUUGGAUAUCUACACUUGCGAUGGAAAACAUACGACAGUCUACUUCGUGAGAGAAAAUCAUUUUAUUUUAUUUUUUAGCGCCAGAAUUUUAAUACUGAAAUAUUAUAUAUAUGAAGGAAACUGAUCUCUAAUGUUUUCAGCUUGCUCAUCCAUCGUAAGUAAUCCGUCGAAAAAGUUAGUUUGUUGUGGUGGUGUCUUAUCAUGAGAGAAAAUGAUAAUAUCGCAAAAUAUUUGCAACUGAAAGAUAAAUUAUAAUUCUAGAAACCAUUUAGGUAACGAUGCACGAAGUUAUUUUCACUCACUUAGAAUUAAUGNUGAAAACAUGCACAAAGCAUAGCAGACGAAAGACUUGAGGAGAUAUUGUCUUAGGCGAUGCAAUACGUUCUAAUAUAAUGCUAUAUUAUGCAAUCUCGUUUAAUACUUUCAUCAUUAUUCUCCAAGAUGUCUGAACAUGUAUUUUCAAAGAAUUCUCAGUUCACCUUUAGUCUUAUAGCGACAUUUUGAAGGCACUCUCAACUUACACCCUAUAUAUACACGUACGGUUCACUUCAGUACAAAGAUUUUAUGAUACAACUCUCAUAUUAUGAACUAGUUCUGUCGAAUACAUGAAUAUUGAUCAAUCAUUUGAACUCGAGUUUCCCAGCUGGCCAGAUACCCAGAUUAUUAGCCAUGCAAAACAUGCAGAACCACUAGUAAUGCAGAAAAACAAUAUAUUAGUUUUCUCCGGUGUUACAGAAAUCAGGAAUCGGACCUAAUCGGUUUAGCUACCGAUUUAGGGAUUAAUAGGAAAUAGGGGAUUAAUCGGAGUGAAAAUCGGAUUUAUUUUAAUAUUAAAAUAUUAUUUAAUAUUUAGUUAUUAUUAUAUUAGCUAUUUAGUAACUAAUAUAUUUACUAUAUUCAUAAACUCUAUAAUUAUUCGUAUUGAAAGUAAUAUAGUAUUUUAAUUUUAAUAAUUUACUAUAUAUACUUCGAUUAAGAAAUAUAUAUAUAAGGAUUAAUCGGAUUUCAAAAAUCGAAUCGGUGGCCAACCUUGCAGAGGAUUAAUCGGGGAUUAAUUGGUUGAAUCGGGGAUGUUUAGAACACUGGUUUUCUCCAAAUAUCACUACAACAAAACUGCCAUUUUACGACGGAAAUCUAAUAUUCUAAAGGGUUACGACCAAACUAUGUCGGUGGACUUUAUUUUAAUUUACCGUUUAACAGUAGUUAAUUUUGGAUAUCUACACUUGCGAUGGAAAACAUACGACAGUCUACUUCGUGAGAGAAAAUCAUUUUAUUUUAUUUUUUAGCGCCAGAAUUUUAAUACUGAAAUAUUAUAUAUAUGAAGGAAACUGAUCUCUAAUGUUUUCAGUUUGCUCAUCCAUCGUAAGUAAUCCGUCGAAAAAGUUAGUUUGUUGUGGUGGUGUCUUAUCAUGAGAGAAAAUGAUAAUAUCGCAAAAUAUUUGCAACUGAAAGAUAAAUUAUAAUUCUAGAAACCAUUUUGGUAACGAUGCACGAAGUUAUUUUCACUCACUUAGAAUUAAUGCUAAAUAUUUGCAACUGAAAGAUAAAUUAUAAUUCUAGAAACCAUUUAGGUAACGAUGAGCGGAGUUAUUUUCACUCACUUAGAAUUAAUGAUAAAUAUUUGCAACUGAAAGAUACAUCAUAGUUCUAGAAAAGGAUCCACGAAGUUAUUUUCACUCACUUAGAAUUAAUUGUAAGUUAUUGUGAGUUUUUGAAUAUGAAUUAUCUCAAAUUUUAUUAAAACACAUGUUGAUUCUUAUAUACAAAUUUGCCUAUCUAAUAUUAUAAUAUUUAUGGAGAAGGUGUAUGAACAAUUGUGUAGAUAAUUAUACUUUACAAAGCAUACUUCUGCUAGCUGAAUUUUGAUUAAAAAAAUCGAAAGGGAUAGGUCUGGGUCUCUCCAAGUCUUUGAGGACUCAUUCCAAGUCUUCUGAUGAGGACAAAAUAUAUUGCUGGAAGUCUUUCAGUCCUUCCUAGAGUAUUUUGUGCUCUGCACUGCAUUAUGCAGCUCUCAUAUAACUGACCGCUAACCUCCUUCCAACACUUUGCGAUGCAAAACAGUGGCAUGUUAUAAGUAUUUCCGUAUGUGUAUUUAUUUGGAUAUUAAAGUUGCGUAACAUUUGUGUUGAUAAUUUGCGCAAUGUUGAUGAGGAUUGCUCCCAAGUCUUGGCGGACUCUUUCCAAAUCUUCUGAGGACCUAUGGGUUCAAAUUAGUCCAUUAAAAUGAAUACCAUUGUUUUGUGAUUAAGUUGUAUGGUUAAGAGCUUAUCCUCUGUCGUCCCAGGUCCUGGGUUCGACCCUGGCUCACCCCGAGAGUUUCGUAGAACAGAUACUCAUUAUAAGGCUAUAAGCCAUAUUUGUCAAAAAAAAAGUUGUAUAGGCAAUAUGCAUUGCAAAAUCAGCAACAGAAUAUAUACUAAUUAAUUACCUGAUAUCGGUUUGAACAAAUACUUUCUAUGUAGUUGUAAUAUUAGUCUUCUUUAAAAGUUAUCAUGAGGGAAGAUAUAUAUUGUGAUGCGGGGGAAAUAUUGUAACCGAAAAUAAUUAUAAUUCUAAAAAUUUCCAUUAUACACUUUUUUUAGUGUUCGUACGUGGUAAGUACUUCAGACGACAUUUCUCGCGUAUGCCUCCAAUUAAGAAUUUGAUGUUCAGCCUAGUCCUAAACUAAAAUUAUUAUAAAUGUGUAAUUCAAAAUUAUAUUGCUGGUAGGCUCUGAGAUUAACCUUAAACAAAAACAACUCAGUGGAACGCUUUCCGAGUUUGGUUUCACUUCAUUUCCAAAUCUCAACAAUCUCAACAUAGCACGAAACAACUUUUACGGUCCAAUACCACCAGCCAUUAAGAAUUCUAUUUUAAUAUGUAACAUUCUAUUUUCUAAAAUAAUAAAUAUUUUUUUUAAUAGUUGGUCAAAAAUUAGUCAAUUUGACUUCUCAAAAAGCAGAAAGGACAUGUAAAUUGAGACGGGGGAGUAUUUAACGGAAUUCAACGAAAGGUGUGCGUAUCGUUCUUGAAAUGUAAAAAUAGGUGGUGCAAUUCGAGUUUCCAAACCUAUGGGUACAAUAUCGUUUUUAAACGUAAGCUAGGGGGUCCAAAUUACAAUUACAUGUAUAUAUAGUGACUUAACGGAGUGCAUAUAGUUAACGGAAGUUAACGGCAGGGAGUGCAUCUCGGGCUUGAAUAGUAAAGAUAAAAGGUGCGAGUUGAGUUUCUCAAAGUAUGAGUACAAUAUCGUUUUUGAAUGAUAGUUAAGGGGUGCGAUAUGCAAUUACCUCAAAAAAAUAUGAUCAUUAGUAUAUUAUAUUAGUAUCCACACACUUAUAUCUCAAAAUCUAUCCUCCAAAAUUAUCAUCUAUAUAGGCUAGCCACAUAAAAUAAAAAUUUAAAGAUAUUAGAUAUUUAGUUAUUUCAAUUAUAUAAUUUUUCCACGCAAAAUAACAAAAUAUCUUUAUCAACUUAUUAUUUAUGAGUUAAAUAUUCAACUUAUAUAAUUCGGGCAUGCUGGGUAUAAAUAGAAGUGUAACGCCUAAUUUCCGGGGUCUGGGAGUAGUUAGCGGGGUAUGAGAGAGCAGGCUAUUUAGAAGUCUUGGUCAUGAAAACUUCCAAGCUAACUUCGACAACGGAAUCUUCUGAGGCUACUAUUCUAAAGCACGCAUAAUCAUUGUAUUCAUUUUCCUCUAACACUGGCAAAAAGUCUAUUUAAGCAAAUGAAAUACAAACAACUGAGUGGAAUGCUGACCGAAAGUCUUUUUGGCUGAGCUUAUGAUUUAUUAGUACAUGAUUAAUAUGAUAAGCUAAGCUGAGAGCAUAAGAUAUCGUGUGUAUAAUUUUGUGUUUAUUAAUGACUUAUAAAUUAUUAAAAAUAUAAUAAGAAAAAUAAAAAUGAUUUAUAACUAAUUUAUGUUUUAUGAGUAAUUUUUAUUAGAAAAAAGUUUUAAAAAAUUAUUUCACUGAAAAAAAAUCCUCCAACUAACUUUUGGCUCUAAGUCAGUUUUUGAUUUAUUUAUGAUUUUAAGUCGGAUUCUGAUUUUUACACAAACAGAAAAUUUCCAGCUUAAAGUUAAAAACAACUUUAAGCUCCGGUUUUAAACCUCUGAGUUUGGUUUCACUUCAUUUACAAAUCUCAACAAUUUCACCAUCAAACACAAUGACUUCUCCAAUCUCCGGUCCAGUUCACCAGCCAUUGAGAAUUUGGCACAACUUCAAUUCCAUACCAGGUUAGUCGGCUUCGGAGGUUACACGCCUUAGACCUGUCAAAUACAAAUUUCAAUCUCCAAACUGGUCCGAUUUAUCUUCUAUGCAUUUUGUUGAGUCCGGCUCAUCUAAAACCUGAAGGUGUUAGAAGAAACCCGAAUGAAUCUUAUAUAUGAAUCUUAUAUAUGCUAUAUUUAAACAAUUCUGAGCACACUCAACCUUGGUAUUAAUAAUAUCGUGUCGAUAAUUCCAGAAUUUAUAUCUAAUUCUCAUAGCCUAACUUUCCUUGACCUUUCCAUAUAACAAAUUUACAGUUAAUCCUGUGCUUGAAUCAGUAUUUGCAACCAAAAUUAUGCAAUUAUAGUGCAGGUAGUCUUCCAGUUCUUCCUACUCUAUGCUAUAAUUUCAUUUGAUACCAAUAAUUUUACGCUCUACACUCCAGGAUGAGCUCGCAUAUUAUUGACAGCAAUAAUCCUUCCAACACUUUGUGAUGCAAAGCAGGGGGGCGCCUGUAUUUUCAUAUGUCUAUAUUAUUGGAGAUUAAAGUUGUGUGGACAAUUGUGUUGAUAAUUUGCCCAAUGUUAACAGGGAUAGGUUGGCUUAAAAAUAUAUAAGGUCACUUGUGCAUCGCUGUUCACACACUUAGACCCUGUUUGUGUAAGCUUUAAGUCCGGGCUCAAGCAAUUUCGACUUAAUCACUUCCGAGGACCAAUACCAACAGCCUUCUCAAAGAGUUGCCAGCUAAGAUAUCUAAACAUGUAUGACAAUCAGUUAGAAGGACUAUUGCCCCGAUCUUUGUCAAACUGUAAGCACUUAAAAAUUCUUGACAUCGGGAACAAUAAAAUGGGUGGUACAUUCCCUUCAUGGCUAUUUAAUCUCGGAGAGCUAGAAAUCCUAGUCUUGCGAUCAAAUAGACUGUACGGUCCUGUAAGUGGAAGGAGCACAUCACAUCCAUUCCCCAAGUUGCGGAUUCUAGAUCUCUCCAACAAACAAUUCGCGGGCUAUUUGCCAAUUCUAAACUUUAAGAAUAUGAAACCAGCUGCUGAUGAUAACGCGUAUAGUUAUAAAAAUAAGUCACAAGGACUAAUUAAUUACAUCUAUGAAGCAUCUAUCUCCUUAAAUGUGAAAGGAACAGAGUAUGAAGUGAAGAACAUUCUUCAUAUUUACACAGCCAUUGAUCUAUCGUGCAACAAAUUUCACGGAGAAGUUCCAAAGAGAGCUUAAAUGGCUUGCAUUGCUCAAUCUAUCUCAUAAUAGUCUUGCCGGACAUAUGUUCUGAAUUAUUAUUAUGCUUUCAUCAAUAUUUUCAAACAUUUCUCAAUAUGUAUUUCAAAGAAUUCUCAAGCCCUGGAACAUUUGGACCGGUCCUUUCGAAGCCAAGAUGCCCAGGUUAUCAUGGCCAUGCACAAAAAUGAAUAAAUUAUUCCAAGUCUUCCAUGACUCAUUCCAAGUCUUCGGAGGAGACCCUGAGCACAAAGAUGCUCAGGGUCUCCCCAAGCCUUCCAGGACUCAUUCCAAGUCUUCGGAGCACGGCCUCGACUCGCCCUUUCAAAGAUGUGAUAGUAGCUCGAGAGUGAUAUAAAUUAUUUUCCGGACACUAAAAAUAAAUAAUCAGAUCAAAUUAAUCAAUAAUAAAUUAAGGAUGAAAUCCAAAUUAAUCCUAAAUUUUGAUAAUAUAUAAAAAUUAUAAUUAUAAAUUAUAUAACCAAAUCAGAAUUGAAUUAACUUCCUUGGCACUAAAUUGAUAAGGAAAGUAUAAUAAUUUAAAUUUAAUUGAUGAAAAGUCAAAGUCUUCUAAUAAAUCCAUAAAGAAUAUGAUAAUCAAAAUAACGAAAAUUAUAAUUGAAAAAUCAAAAUCAUUAGUGUAUUGGAAUAGUGUUCACACACUUAUAUAUCAAAAUUUGUGGUCCAAAAACUAUAGCACAAUAUCCUAAAUACACCACAUUAAAUAUUAGUUCAAAAAUAUUCUGUAAAUAAUUGUUUUCAUUCAUCAUUUUGUUAUUUAAAAAACUAAUAAUUUGGGUUGAUGUUAACCUAUAUUUUAAUAUAUAAUUAUAUUAUUUUCGUAUUAUUUUAUUUAACUAGAAACAAUAUUUUUAUCAGACAUCAAUUAUAUUAAAAGAUAUAAUUUUAUUAAAAAAAAUUGAAUUAAAUUAAUAGGAUAACUCUACGCCUCACCAAGUCUACAAGACUCAUUUCAAGUCUACCAAGGACCACUACCUCGGUCCUCAACCAUUGGGAGAUGUGAAAGUAGCUUGAGAGUGACAAAAAUUAUUUUCCUCACAAUAAAAUUUAAUAUCUGAUAUAAAUUAAUUAAAUUAGUUAAUAAUAAAUUAAAACUAAUCAUGAAUUAUGAUAAUAAUUAAAUAAAUUAUAAUUAAAUUAUAUAAAUCAACUCCAAAUGAUACAAAUGACACUAAACCUUAGUUACUUUAUUGGUAAAUAAAUAUAAUAUAAUAAUCAAAUUGAUGAAAAAUCAAAAUCAUCUAAUAAAUUCAUAAAAAAUAUAUGAUCAUUAAUAUAUAUUAUAUUAGUAUCCACACACUUAUAUUUCAAAAUCUAUCCUCCAAACUUAUCAUCUCUGUAAACUAGCCACAUAAAAUAAAAAUUUAAAGAUAUUAGAUAUUUAGUUAUUUUCAUUAUAUAAUUUUUCCACACUAAACAACAAAAUAUCUUUAUCAAAUUAGUAUUUAUGAGUUAAAUAUUCAAGUUAUAAAUCCAGCAUGCAGCGUAUAAAUAGGAGAAACAUGGCACACUCUGCAAAGCCUUCUCACCUUCUUCUCUUUGUUUUCUUUCUCUCAUCACUUGAAUCCAUUCUUGCAACAACACGAGAAGGAGAAGCUCUUGUGAAAUGGAAGAAUAGCCUAGCCCCGUCUUCUUUUCUUGAUUCUUGGUCACUCACUCAUCUCGAUAAUCUUUGUAACUGGACUGGCAUUACUUGUAACUCUGCAGGUUCAGUCUCUGAGAUUUACCUUUAUGAGAAACAACUUGAUGGAAUGUUGUCGGAGUUUGGUUUCACUUCAUUUCCAAAUCUCAACAAUCUCACCCUCGCAUACAACUUCUUCUCCGGUCCAAUACCACCAGCCAUUGAGAAUUUAACACAGCUUCAAUAUCUUGAUUUGAGAAAUAAUUAUCUAGAUGGUCCCAUUCCUUUCCAGGUUAGCCAUCUUCAGAGCUUGCUCAUCUUAAACCUGUCAGAGAAUGCAUUGCAAGCUCCAAAUUGGUCCCAUUUCUCUCCCAUGCCUUUUUUGCGCAUCCUCAACCUCAGUCACAAUCCUCUUGCGUCGAAAUUCCCAGAUUUUAUAUCCAAUUCUCAUAGCCUGACUCACCUUAGCCUUAAUUAUAACGAGUUUACUGGUGAUUUAGCACGUGAAUCAAUAUUUGCCAAUCUGCAUAAUCUUGAAGUCCUCAGUCUUAAUGGCAAUUCUUUUGAGGGGCCAUUUCCACCAGAUAUAUUCAAGCUUUCAAGAUUAAAACGUCUCUUCCUGGCAGUUAACAAAUUUUCAGGUUCAAUUCCCAAUGACAUAAGGUUACUUUGUGAUCUUGAAUACCUAUAUUUAGGCAACAAUUCUUUUGAAGGACCGCUUCCACCAAAUUUAUUCAAGCUUUCGAAAUUAAAGCGUCUUUUUCUUUGGAGUAAUAAGUUUACAGGUUCUAUUUCCAAUGAUAUAGGUUUGCUUUCUGAACUUGAAACCCUCAAUCUUCAAUUUAAUUUUUUUGAGGGGCCGCUUCCCCCACAUAUAUUUAGGCUCUCUAAGUUAACAGGUCUAGAACUCGGAGACAAUAGAAAUUUAUUUGAAGGAAGUAAUAUUCCUAUCGGACUGGGACUCUUGACUAACCUCAGGUACUUAGAUUUACAUUUCAGUAAUCUCAGUGGCUAUAUUCCAUCUGACAUUGGAAACCUGAAGCUACUAGUACUUCUUAGUCUCGGUUCUAAUCAAUUGACUGGACCGCUUUCAAAGAUCGUUUCUAAUCUCACAAAUCUUAUAUUCCUUGAUGUAAGUGAUAAUAGUCUUAGUGGAAAUAUUCAGAGUGACUUGUGGAAAUAUAACCAUCAUCCUACUUUGGAAUACAUCGAUUUUAGUGGGAACCAUUUUACAGGUAUAUUUUUUCUCUAUAGAUCUUUUCCUUUUGUCAUAUGUAACUAAGCUAGUAAUCUGAUUAUUGCAGUUUUACCGAAGUUUCAACAAUCUUGACAGGUGAGCUUCCAACAACAAUUUGCAAUGUCACUUCCCUUUCGGUUCUUGAUUUGUCAAAUAAUGAAUUAAGUGGUGCACUUCCAAACUGUUUCGGGAAUCUUGCUGAUGGAUUGCUUUACAUUAAUCUUGCUAAUAAUCAGUUUCGAGGAACAAUACCAACUACUUUCUCCAGGAGUUGUCAGCUGACAUAUCUAAACAUGGAUAAUAAUGAGUUUGAAGGAUUGUUGCCCCCAUCUUUGGCGAACUGUAAGCACUUGAAAAUUCUUGAUAUAGGCAAUAAUAAAAUAGGUGGUACAUUUCCGUCAUGGCUUUAUGCACUUGGAGAGCUAGAAGUUCUUGUCUUGCGAUCAAAUAAACUCUAUGGUACAAUAAGUGGAAGGAGCAUAGAAGAUCCCUUCCCCAAGUUGCGGAUUGUGGAUCUGUCCAACAAUCAAUUCACAGGCCAUUUGCCAAUUCAAUACUUUAAGAAUAUGAAAUCAACUGAUAAUUUGUAUCGUUAUCAGAAUUCCACAAAAGUUUUUUCUUUCCAUUAUGAAGCAUCUGUCUCAUUAACUGUGAAGGGAACAGAGUAUGAAGUGAAAAAUAUCCUUCAUAUUUACACAGCCAUUGAUCUGUCCUGCAACAAGUUUCAAGGAGAAAUUCCUGACGUUAUUGGAGAGCUUAGAUGGCUUGCAUUGCUCAACUUAUCUCAUAAUAGUCUAACAGGACCUAUCCCAUCAUUGCUGAGAAAUAUGAAAGGACUCCAAUCUUUAGAUUUGUCUUCAAAUCAACUGACAGGGGCUAUUCCACCUCAGUUAACUGCACUGACAUUUCUAGAGGUCUUAAACCUCUCGGGAAACCAUCUUAGUGGAGGGAUUCCUCAGAAAGGACAGUUCAGCACAUUCAACAAUGAUUCUUAUCUAGGAAACUCAGCGUUAUGUGGAUCACCAUUGACGAAGAAAUGUGCAAACACAGCAUCACCUCCACAAGAAGUCGGAAAUGUUGAUGAAGAUGAUGCGGGUGAUGAAUUGACAUGGGAAGCAAUCUUGAUGGGAUAUGGAUGUGGACUGAUAUGUGGAUUGUCAUCUGCGUACAUUGUUCUCAAACUAGGAAAGCCUUGGUGGUUUGUGAGAUAUAUCGAAGUACUGCAAUUGAAGUUGAUGAAAAGAUAUGCAUGAAGAAUGGUACUAGCCGAUCAAGAUGAACUCGAAAGUUGUGGUCCUUGUGGACAUUUCUGAACCAGUAGUGUUCUAUUCUCUUUGUGGCUGCAUAAGUAUUUGGUAUUGUGUAAUGUUCUGUUUGGUCUUGAAUCAUAAUAAUUUUUCUUUCUUCAGGGGUAUUUAUAAUAUAAACCUUGGUAUUGUGUACUAGCUGUAAUAUUCUGUUUGAUCAAUGUUUAUACCAGUAAUUUUAUGCUCCGCACUGCAUCAUGCAGCUCUCAUAUUAUCUUCAUAUGUGUAUUUAUUUGGAUAUUAAAAACAUAUGGGAUAUGUGUUAACAGGGACAGCUCCCAAGUCUUGGAUAGACUCUUUCCAAGUCUUCCGAGGUCCUAUAGGUUUAAAUUAGUCCAUUAUCUGCAUACUAAUUUGUCCAACUGAAAAAUCAAGGAUAUUAUGUAUUAACUGUUUUAAUAACAAUUUACAAGUAUAAAUUUCAUAUAUUUUUUCAUAGAAUAUAAAUUAGUUGACGUACUAAAAUCACUAGUCAAAUUAAUUUAAAUAAAUAUAUUGAAAAGAUGAUAAUAAAAUUAUGGUAAUUUAUCACUACAACAAUUCUGGACAUUAAUUAUAUGUAUACUUAAAUAUAUUGAAAAGAUGAUAAUAUAGUAGAAUACAAAUGGUUAUGAUUCCGUAGUAACUACACCGUCGUAAGUUCACAUAAUUAUAUAAUUAUAGUUAUUUGAAAACGAAAAAUAAAUGAGAAAAUAUAUAGUGACCAAAUAUGAAUCAAUCUAAAAUUUUCAUUAUGGAGAUCGUAAGAAACGUGAUGAAGAACUGGAAUGAGAAUUCCUUACAAAACAUUUGGGUUAUAUUAUCAAUGAUGAAUGUUGUAUAUUAUACCUAUGAUUUCAAGUCUCAUACAAAAUUAUAUUGCUCAUAGUCUUUCGAUCAGUUCUUACUAGUGUAUGCAAUAGUUUCUCAUUCCAUACCAGUUAUUUUAUGCUCUGCACUGCCUUAUGCGCGCAGCUAUCAUAUUACUGACAGCUAACCUCCUUCCAACACUUUGCCAUGCGAAGCCUGAAGAUUAAAGUUAACAGGGAUAGGUCUUCUUCUCUCCCAAGUCUUGGACGGACUCUUUCCAAGUCUUCUGAGGACCCAUCGGCUCAGAUCCGUCCAUUAAAAAUUUAUUAUUGAUUACUUAUUAUUAUUGAUUGAUCUAAGAUUCCAAAGACAUGUUCCCGUAAUUUUCAGACUUAGCCAGUUGGUGUGGGCAGAAGUUUUAGAAAUAGUAGAUUAUGGGGAUUUUAUUUAUUCUAACCAAUUUUGAGUUAUUUAUUUUCUUCAAAAAAAUCAAUACUUAUUUUUUAUUGUUAUGCGGAAUUCCAAUAAAUAUUAAAAUAUAUAAUUUUGAUUAUUAUCAUAAAUUUAUUUAUUCAAUAAAUAUUAUUAUACUAUUAUGGAAACAUUUUAUUUUGUAAUGUAUAGUACACCCUUAUCCCACCAACAAAACUACAUCACAAACAAAUUAUAUCAUAUUUAAUUUAAUAAACUCAAAUAAUUUAAUUUAUGUAACAACUCUAUAAAAUUAGAGUGAUUGAUACUUUGCACCCCUUAUGUUUAAGCGUUUUUUCAAUUUGGUUUCAAACAAUUUUUUUGGCAGUAUGCACCCCAAAAUUUGAAAAUUGCUUCGCUUUGCACCCUUUUAAUCGCUCUCCGUUUAAUUGAUAUUGACCGUUAAAGACUUAAAGUUGACAGAUAUGGGUUUACAUUUUCAACACCACAAUUUUAAUUUUUUUUCAUGGGUAUUUUGAAAUAUUCAGACGACUGGGAUGAUUCAAGUGUCUUCAUGUUAGACAGUGCGAUAGGUCGGUCGAGGGGUUUUCAGAAACUGGGACCAAAGAUUGGCGCCAUCAGAUUGGAUUUAUAUCAUUGGAAACUCUCUGUACACCUCUAUAGAAACUGGGACCAAAGACAAGAGGGAGAAGCUCUUGUGAAAUGGAAGAAUAGCCUAGCCCCGUCUUCUUCUCUCGACUCUUGGUCCCUCACCAAUCUCGAUAAUCUUUGUAACUGGACUGGCAUUAAUUGUAACUCUGCAGGUUCAGUCUCUGAGAUUAACCUUUGUGAGAAACAACUUGAUGUAAUGCUGUCUGAGUUUGGUUUCACUUCAUUUCCAAAUCUCAACAAUCUCACCCUCGCAGCUAACUACUUCUCCGGUCCAAUACCACCAGCCAUUGAGAAUUUAACACAGCUUCAAUAUCUUGAUUUGAGAAAUAAUUAUCUAGAUGGUCCAUUCCGUUCCAGGUUAGCCAUCUUCAGAGCUUGCUCAUCUUAAACCUGUCACAGAAUGCAUUGCAAGCUCCAAAUUGGUCCGAUUUCUCUCCCAUGCCUUUCUUGCGCAUCCUCAACCUCAGUAGCAAACCUCCUGCGUCGAAAUUCCCAGAUUUUAUAUCCAGUUCUAAUAGCCUGACUCACCUUAGCCUUAAUUAUAACGAGUUUACUGGUGAUUUGGUACGUGAAUCAGUAUUUGCCGAUCUGCAUAAUCUUGAAAAGCUCAGUCUUGUUGGCAAUUCUUUCGAGGGGCCAUUUCCGCCAGAUAUAUUCAGGCUUUCCAAAUUAAAACAUCUUAGCCUGUCAGAUAACAAACUUUCAGGUUCAAUUCCCAAUGACAUAGGGUUGCUUUUUGAUCUUGAAUACCUAUAUUUAGCCAACAAUUCCUUUGAAGGACCGCUUCCACCAAAAAUAUUCAAGCUUUCAAAAUUAAAAAAUCUUGUUAUUUGGGGUAAUAAGUUUUCAGGUUCUGUUUCCAACGAUAUAGGUUUGCUUUCUGAGCUUGAAAGCCUCUAUCUUGACUCCAAUUUUUUUGAGGGGCCGCUUCCGUCAAAUAUAUUCAAGCUCUCCAAAUUAAGGAUUCUUUUCCUUUGGCAUAAUAACUUUUCAGGUUCUAUUUCUAAGGAUAUAGGUUUGCUUUCUGGACUUGAAACCCUCUAUCUUGACUCUACUUUUUUUGAGGGUCCGCUUCCCCCACAUAUAUUCAAGCUUUCCAAAUUAACAAGUCUUGACCUCGCAUACAAUAGAAAUUUAUUUGAAGGAAGUAUUCCUAUUGGACUGGGACUCUUGACUAACCUCAGAUACUUGAGUCUAUCUUCCACUAAUCUCGGUGGCUAUAUUCCAUCUGAAAUUGGAAACCUGAAGCUACUAGAAGUUCUUGAACUCAGUUCUAAUCAAUUGAAUGGACCGCUUUCAAAGAUCAUUUCUAAUCUCACAAAUCUCACAGUUCUUGAUGUAAAUGAUAAUAGUCUUCGUGGAAAUAUUCAGAGUGACUUGUGGAAAUAUGACGAUCAUCCAACUUUGGAAUACAUCGAUUUAAGUGGGAACCAUUUUACGGGUAUAGUUUUUCUCUAUAGAUCUUUUCCUAAUCUCAUAUGUAACUAAGCUAGUAAUCUGAUUAUUGCAGUUUCACCAAAGUUUCAACAAUCUUGACAGGUGAGCUUCCAACAACAAUUUGCAAUGUCACUUCCCUUUUGGUUCUUGAUUUGUCAAAUAAUGAAUUAAUUAGUGGUGCACUUCCAAACUGUUUCGGGAAUCUUGCUGAUAGAUUGCUUUUCAUUAAUCUUGCUAAUAAUCAGUUUCUCCAGGAGUUGUCAGCUGACAUAUCUAAACAUGGAUAAUAAUGAGUUUGAAGGAUUGUUACCCCCAUCUUUGGCGAACUGUAAGCACUUCAAAAUUCUUGAUAUUGGCAAUAAUAAAAUAGGUGGUGCAUUUCCGUCAUGGCUUUAUGUACUUGGAGAGCUGGAAGUCCUUGUCUUGCGAUCAAAUAAACUCUAUGGUACAAUAAGUGGAAGGAGCAUAGAAGAUCCCUUCCCCAAGUUGCGGAUUGUGGAUCUGUCCAACAAUCAAUUCACAGGCCAUUUGCCAAUUCAAUACUUUAAGAAUAUGAAAUCAACUGAUAAUUUGUAUCGUUAUCAGAAUGACACAGGAGAUAUUUCUUUCCAUUAUGAAGCAUCUGUCUCAUUAACUGUGAAGGGAACAGAGUAUGAAGUGAAAAAUAUCCUUCAUAUUUACACAGCCAUUGAUCUGUCCUGCAACAAGUUUCAAGGAGAAAUUCCUGACGUUAUUGGAGAGCUUAGAUGGCUUGCAUUGCUCAACUUAUCUCAUAAUAGUCUAACAGGACCUAUCCCUUCGUUGCUGAGAAAUAUGAAAGGACUCCAAUCUUUAGAUUUGUCUUCAAAUCAACUGACAGGGGCUAUUCCACCUCAAUUAACUGCAUUGACAUUUCUAGAGGUCUUGAACCUCUCGGGAAACCAUCUUAGUGGAGAGAUUCCUCAGAAAGGGCAGUUCAGCACAUUUACAAAUGAUUCUUAUCUAGGAAACUCCGCGUUAUGUGGAUUACCUUUGACGAAGAAAUGUGCAAACACAGCAUCACCUCCACAAGAAGUCGGAAAUGGUGAUGAAGAUGAUGCUUGUGAUGAAUUGACAUGGGAAGCAAUUGUGAUGGGAUAUGGAUGUGGACUGAUAUGUGGAUUGUCAUCUGCGUACAUUGUUCUCAAACUAGGAAAGCCUUGGUGGUUUGUGAGAUAUAUCGAAGUACUGCAACUGAAGUUGAUGAAAAGAUGCUUGAAGAAUGGUACUGGUCGAUCAAGACGAACUUGAAAGUUGUUGUCCUUGUGGACUUUUCUGAACCAGUAGUGUACUAGCUGCAUAAGUAUUUGGUAUUAUGUAAUAUUCUGUUUGGUCGGGAAUCAUAAUGAUUUUUCUUGCUUUAGGGGUUUUUUUUUUUUUUUUGAUGAAAAAAAAAUAUAUUAAGAUUGAACAUCAUCGAACACAAUCAUCUGCAAAUUGAUAGGAACAGACCCCCUAUCAAUAACUCGAUCUGGAAAUGAAUAUGACUCCCUCGCUAGCAAGUGAGCGGCCAUAUUAGCAGAUCGUUUAAUAAAAAAACAAAGCAAUAUUUAAAUCCUUCACCAAAUUUCUGCACUCCAUUAUUAUAUCGCCAAAAGGAGAGUGCAUUGGAAUCUUGCUUCGGAUAGCCUGAACAACUGCUAGACAGUCCGACUCAAUCAUCACCUUUUCCCAUCGAUUUUCCUUGCUCCAGCUUAGAGCUUCUUUUACUGCUAUUGCCUCUGCAACAUUUGGUCGAAUGUUUCCUUGAAACAGCUUCGAUUUCCCCUCCAGAACUUCACCUGAGCUAUUUCUUGCUAACAUCCCUACGCCAUACGCAGCUUCUUCAGCAAACAUUGCAGCAUCGACUGUUAUCUUGACUUCAUCAUUCAAAGGUUUAACCCACUUAUCUGCUCCGUCCCCAAGUUCUACAACCUGGUACAGAGCCUGUGAAGAAAAAGGUUGGGCAUGCUUCCACUUUGCAAGAUACUGCUUCAUCGAUGAAACUACAAAGUUAACCGAGGACUUUGUUAUAACCUUAUAUCUUGAUCGAUGUUAAUGCAAAUUAAAAUGAAUGAAAAAACAAAAAAUUAUGCAUCGCAUCCGCUCCUGCUGUACCAAGAUCCAUUAAUUUAUUUUCUUUGGUUUCUUACAUAACGAUUUAAUAGCACACUCCCACACUGUUUGAAAGAUUUAAUAAUAAACUCGAGUUUUCCAGGACGGACACCAAAUCCACAUAGUCAAUAUCACACAUUACCGUAUUAAUUUGGUGUCUGGUAUGAAUCAUUUUGCCUGCAGAUGUAAAGAAACAAGAUAUUAAUCUUCUUUAAAAAUUACCAUUUAUAUCUUAAUAUUAAUAAUCUUACCAGCCAUAUAGGAUGUGAGCGGCAAGUGCAACAAUAAUACAGAUUCUAAGAACUAAUAUAAAAUUACUAGUUACUAGCAGAAAUGCAUAUAUAGGAUGGAAUGUGGAAGACAAUGAACUUUAUUAUGAUAUAUAUGAGAUUAAUACAAUUUAACUACAAAGUAUUUUACUUUCAAUUGCAUUUGUAUUAAAUUUGAUCUAGAUGAACAAAACAGAAUACACAUGAUCCCGAGACAACAUUUUGUCAAUGUUAUCGUCUUCAUCGAACUCUCUUCUUCAUGCGUGUCCUUAUCAACUUCAGUUGCAGUAAUUCAAUGUAUCUCACGAACCACCGAGGCUUUCCCAUUUUGAAAGCAAUGUAUCCUGAAGACAAUCCGCAUAUCAAUCCACAUCCGUAUCCCAUCAGGAUCAAUUCCCAGUUGAGUCCAUUGUGAACAUCAUCUUCAUCAUCACCAUCAUUUCCGACUUCUUGUGGUGGUGACACUGCAUGCAUGCAUUUCUUCGUCAAAGGAAGUCCACACAAAGCUGAGUUACCCAAGUAUGAAUCAUUUCCAAAAGUGCUGAACUGUCCUUUUAGAGGAAUUUCUCCGGUAAGAUGGUUUUCAGAGAGGUUCAAGACCGCAAAAAAUGUCAAACUAGUUAAUUGAUUAGGAAUAACACCUGACAAUUGAUUCGAUGACAAAUCUAGAGAUUGGAGCGUUUCCAUAUUCCCCAACACUGAUGGGAUAGGUCCUGUAAGACUAUUAUGAGAUAAAUUAAGCAAGGCGAGUGAACUAAGAUCCCCAAUGACCUUUGGGACUUUCCCUUGAAAUUUGUUGCACGACAGAUCAAUGGCUGUGUAAAUAUAAAGGAUUUCUUUCACUUCAUACUCUGUGCCUUUCACACGUAAUGGGACAGAAGCUUGGUAAAAGUACUGAAAAUCUUCUUUUGAAUUGUUAUAAUCAUAUCCCUUUCUAGUCGGUUUCAUAUAAUAAAAAUAUUGAAUUGGCAAAUUUCCAGUGAAUUCAUUGUUGGAGAGAUCAACAAUUCGCAACUUAGGAAAGGGAUGUUUUGUACUACUGGCACUUACUUUACCAUGAAGUCUAUUUGAUCGCAAGACAAGGACUUCUAGAUUUUGAAGAGUACUUAGCCAUGAUGGAACGGUACCACUUAUGUGGUUGUUUCCCAUAUCAAGAAUUUUCAACUCCUUGCAGUUUGCCAAAGCUUGGGGCACCAUUCCUUCAAAGUGAUUGUUUUGCAUGUUCAAAACUUCUAGGUGACAGGUAUUGCUGAAGGUUGUUGGUAUUAUUCCUUGAAAUUUAUUAUUACCGAGAACCAUGGUAUGCAGAUUGUUGGCAAGCUUUCCCACACAAUGUGGAAGUGCACCGCUUAAUCCAUUAUGCGAUAGAUCAAGAACCUCAAUGGACGUGACAUUGCAAAUUGUUGAGGGAAACUCACCUGUUAAAAAAUGUUGAAACUUUGGUCAAUUUGUAACCAUCUAAUUACUGGCGUUAAAAUAAAGGUGCAUACUAAAGAAAAUAGCACAAAGUGAAAUAAAAACCUGUAAAUUGGUUUCCACUUAAAUCAAUGUAAGUAAGAUUCAGAUUAGUAUUUAAUCCCAGAAUGGUUCCUGAAAAAAGGUUGUCGCGACAAUCCAUGUAUAACAAAGAUUUAAGAUUUUUCCAGAAGUCACCAGGAAUAUUGCCAGUAAACUUGUUAUUAGGUAGACCAAGAACCUCUAGAUUACUGAGGUUAAAAACGGACUUCACAACUGGUCCAGUCAACUGAUUAGAACCGAGAAGAAGUUGAGUCAGUAGCUUCAGGUUUCCAAUCUCAGAUGGUACAUUUCCUGUCAGGUUAUUGGAAAGAAGAACCAAAAGGUUGAGCUUAGUCAAGAGGCCCAGCUCGGAAGGAAUAUUGCCUGUAAGAUUAUUCAUAUCGAGAUAUAAUUCGCUGAGAUUAGUCAAAAGCCCCAUCUCACGAGGAAUAUUGGAAUUUAAAUGGUUAUACGAGAGAUCUAGAAUUUGAAGCUCCCUAAGUAGACCAAUAGAAGAAGGUAUACUUCCUACAAAUGAAUUAGCAAACAAGCUCAGAUAUUUAAGAUCAUGAAGCAUCCCUAUAUUCUGGGGUAUAGAACCUGAAAAGUUAUUACUUGAUAGCUCAAGAUGUCUUAUUCUGGAAAGAUUGAGUAUACUUGGCGGAAAUGGCCCCUCAAAAGAAUUUUCCAUAAUACUGAGGAAUUUGAGAUCUUGCAAAUUAUUAAAUACUGAUUCACGCACCAUAUCACCUGUUAGAAAGUUAUGUGAAAGAUCAAGUUUAGCCAGGUUAUGACAAUUGGAUAUGAACUCGGGAAAUUCUGACACAAGAUUAUUGAAUCUGACAUUAAGUGUAGUCAAGAAAGGAAUAGGAGAAAACUUGGACCAGUUUGGAGCUUCCAAGAGAUUAUAUGAAAGGUCUAAGGUGCGCAAUUUUUGAAGAUGGCUAACCUGAUAAGGAAUGAAACCAUUGAGACUAUUAAAGCUGAAAUCGAGAUGUUGAAGCUCUGUUAAAGUACCAAUCUCUGGUGGAAUUGGACCUGUGAAACUGUUGCCACUGAUGGUAAAAUUGUUGAGACUUGGAAACAAAUUGAAGCGGAACUCAGCUAGCGUUCCUUCAAGUUGUUUUCGUGAAAGGUUGAUUUCAGAUACUAAAGCCUCGGAGUUACAGGUAAUGCCAGUCCAGUUAAAAAGAUUAUUGAGAUUGGUUGAGGACCAAGAUUCGAGAAACGAGGACGGGGAUAGGCUAUCCUUCCACUUCACUAGAGCUUCCCCUUCUUUUCUUGUUGCGAGGCUGGAUGGAAGCAAGAGGAGGAAGAAUACAAGUAUAAGAAGGUGACAAUAAGGCAUUUCAAAGUGCUUCAUGUUUUAUACUCCAGUAGUAUUAUGCACACUUCUAUUUAUAUCUCAGAUUUCUUAAAAAAUUUGCACUGUGUCAGAAAGAACACUCGGUUUUUUUAAUAUCAGAGAUUAUGAUAAUUAUUGCAUCUCCACAGAAAUCACUAAUAAAGAAAGAAUCCACCACAAAUAAGUUAUGAUUUUAUUAAAGACAAUGAGCGUGUCUUGGAUUACCAUGUGGACUUUUGAAUGUGUGAAAUUAACUAAUUCAACUCUGUGAAAGGCAGUAUGCACACUGCUAAUUAAUCAAAAUGACCUGAGCGGAAGGUGUGGCAAUAAAAAAAUAAUGAAACAAAUGGAAAAAGGAAUAUCGGCAAUUUUGGAUAAUGGAUGGGGUUGGUGGAGUUGUCUUACCGAUCUACUUUUAGUUUUUGGAUCAAUCCUAACCGGAAAAGGGUCGAAAAUAUUAAUCAAACUUCUCAAACUCAUAUCUGAAAUGUCAUAUGUGAAGAGCUUGUUCAUGAAAUCGAGGAUAUGAAUUUUUUAUAUUUAAAAGAGGAGGCAGGUAUUAAGUAUGAAUAUAGAUGAAUAAAUCUUUUUUUAUAUUUUUUUUUACAUUUUUUAUAAUUAUAUAUAAAGUAAUGAAUCAUAAAUGUAUAAAAAUAUUAAUUAGUAUAAUAUUUAAAAUAUAUAACAUAAAAAUAUUAUAAAUCACACAUAUUAAUACAUCACUCAACACUCUAUGCCUCUAAACCCAAUUCAUUUUUCCCAUUACUACUCGAUUCAAAAAUAAUGCACAUCUAUUAUUUGGAUUAUAUAUAUAUUUCACCAUUUUUUUUAAAUUCAUUUUGAUAAUCAGUUAGCUAUAUUUUUAAAUUAUAUGACUAGUAAAUAAAUACAUAUACAUGUAUAUAGACAAAUGAUAUAUGGUUUCAUCAUAUUAUCAAGUCCAUUCACAGGUAUGUCCUAUUCAAGUGAUAGACGUAUUUUUAACUGCAUAAUGUUCGGUGGCUUCCAAUCAUUUUUCAAAAUAAAGGUCGUCUUUUCUCAUUUAAAAGUACUGUAUUAAAGUUCGACUUUAAAGAAAAAUUUAUGUUUUUGUUAUACAAAAAUUCCAAAAGGUUUAGAAAGUUUUGAGCUAUGACUUUGAAAUUGUUUGUCGUUAAAAAUAAAGAUUGUCACUUUUUAAGUUAUAUAUUAACAUAUGUACGUCCUGUGGUGGUAAUUAAUUUGUUAUUUUAUUCGUGAAGUGUUGCACACGAUAUUUCUGUAAAAGUAAAAGUCGUUGGAAUUUGCAUGAUAGCAUGAUGAAUAUUUGAAGUUUCAGUUAAAAAUUUCACCAAAACAUUUUACUUGUGGCUUAAGGCCCGGAUUGACCAAUUCCGCUUAUCACAUUUCUAAUCGACCAAUUCGGCUUAAAUAAAUUAUAUAUGAACUAUAUAUUAUUUAUAAAUAAUAACAAAUUGUUUUUUAUUUUGAUUUUAUACAGAUCCUAGAUAAAAUUUCGUAGAGUUAAUAUAGAGUUUUUAGAAUUUAAGCAUAAUGAUUCAAAUCUCAUGAAUUUUGAUGAGCUUUCAAAAUAUUAAUUUAACAUACACAGAACAAUCCUACAAAAUACAUCAAUUUAUGAAGUCCAAAAAAAUCAUCAAACAUUUGAAUACCAUCAGAUUUUAAUGGAUUUCAAAUAAUCCCAAUUAAAUACUAUCGAAUUUUGUAACAUAAUUUAAAAUCUUGAUUAUAUAUCACCAAAUUUUAUAUCAUAAUUUAAGAUUUCAAUUAAAUACCCAAAGAUUCUAAUACUCAUUUUCUAAAAUUUGAAUUAGGUACAUCCAGAUUUCAUGAAUAAAAAAAAAUCUUUUUUCUUAAAAAAAAAAAAAGAAUCUUUUAAAAUCUCGGGUGAAUAUAGCCCUUGAUGGCACAACAGCUUCUAUCCAAUUUCCUGAGUUGGUGGUGGGGGGCCGGUGCUUCUUGUGUUUCUUCCUGAGUUGGUGGUGGGGGGCCGUGCUUCUUGUGUUUCUUUCUUUUCAUUAUUGCCAUUGUUAUUUAGGUCCUUCCUUCUGGGCUCCUCUCAUUUGAUUGAUCAGCUGAAUUAGGCAAAGUUUACAUAUGCUCAUGAUCAUAGUCUCCCAUAUGCGCAUUAUAGUUUAUAAUUAUAAUGUUAACGGGGAUUUGUUUUUGUUUGUUUUUUUUGCUAAAUAUUAACGGAGAUUUAAGUUCCAUUUCCCAUUAAUAAUAAUAUAAAAUUUAAUAAAAUAAUAUUUUUAAGAGUAAUUCAUGCUAGUCAUCCAAAUACGUAGAAAAAAAUAACAAACAACAUCAUUCAUUCACACAUUCAGAUUAACUCAUAAGUUCACUCAUCCAGAAAUAAUCAUCCAGAUUUAACAAAUGACCCUUUUGACGGACUCUUUUCGAGUCUUCCGAGGACCCAUCUGCACACUAAUUUGUCCCCCUAACUAAAAAAUCAACGAUUUUACUCUCUCUUUUUUCUAAUGACGUUUUGAUUUUUGACACAUAUUUUUAUAUGGAUUGAUUGUAUAGUAAAAAUAAUUAUUCUUGAUUAAUCUUUUGUGGAAAAAAAUUGGUUAUAUAUUUUUAUUCAAAAAAAGAAAAUUUACAAAAAUAAUAUUUUUAACUACCCAGUCAAAAUACUUGAAAGUGUGUGUUAAAAUCAAAGCGUUACAUAAAAAACACGGAGGGAGCAUGUACUAACUGUUUCCAUAAUAGUUUAUAAGUAUCAAUAAAACUCCCGUUUUUUACAUGACACUUUGACUUUUGGCACACACUUAUAAUAUUUUGACCAGUAGUUAAAAGUAUUAUUUUUAAAAUUUAUUUUUUUGAACAAAAAUGUAAAACCAAAAGUUUCAUUCAAAAAAGAAUUUAAUCAAAAACAAUAAUGUUUACUCUCGGUCUACCCAUCUAAAAUGUGUCAAAAAUCAAAACAUCGUAUAAAAAAAUAAAUGGAUAUAUAUUUUUUCCAUAGAAUAUAAAUAGUUGGGGGUACUAACAAAACCUCUAGUCAAAUUAAUUAAUACAUGAGUUAUAAGGCUUAUAAGUUAUAAAUAGAAGUGUAGUAUUGGGUUGAUGGUCAAGUUGAGUGGAAAUAUGGUACACUUUGUAAAGCCUUGUUAUCCUCUUCUCUUUGUUUUCUUUCUCUCAUUACUUCAAUCCAUUCUAACAACACAAGAGGGAGAAGCUCUUGUGAAAUGGAAGAAUAGCCUAGCCCCCUCUUCUUUUCUCGACUCUUGGUCCCUAACCAAUCUCGAUAAUCUUUGUAACUGGACUGGCAUUACUUGUAACUCUGCAGGUUCAGUCUCUAAGAUUAACCUUUUUGAGAAACAACUUGAUGGAAUGCUGUUUGAGUUUGGUUUCACUUCAUUUCCAAAUCUCAACAAUCUCACCCUUGCAAACAACUUCUUCUCGGGUCCGAUACCAUCAGCCAUUGAGAAUUUAACACAGCUUCAGUAUCUUGAUUUAACUUACUCUUCAGAAUCGAUAAGUUUGGAACACGUAGAUUUAGCACAAGACGAAGGCCACACAUGCGCAUCGUCUGAUGCAGCUAUGGUGCCUUUACAGUUGCUCAUAUAUAUAGUGAAACAAUAAGGAUCAACUCCUCCAUUGUGCGUACACAUUUUCAUACAAGCUAUAAAGCAUGGUGAUGGAGUCUUUGCAAUCUCGUCACGACGAGCACAUCCGAUCAUUAUAAACUCUAGCAGGAUCAUCCAAGUAAUAGUUUUCAUAAUGAUAUUAAUUAUCAUUGUGAAUAGUUGCAUUAGUUAUGUAUGUGUGUAUAUAUAUGUAAUGAAUUUUGCGGUUGAGAAUAUCUAUUAGAUUUUGUAUAUCCAUAACAAUUAUUAAAAUUUAAACAAUAAUAUCCAUUAUUGGUUGUGGUUUGACUAUUGUAGUAGUCGAAGAAAUCUAUGCAAGUGAAAUCUAUAUUAUAUUUUAAAAAAAUUAUACAUGAAAUACAAAAAGUUUU
rnacentral:lncRNA from 1 species